UCGAACUCGCUGCAGCAGUAGAUCUCCACUAGUCAAAACAGCCUUGGCACCUCCUUCAAUUCGAGUAUGCAAAACAGUAACACUAUCACCAUUACUCUUCAUUGGAGUAGAUGUAAUACAGCUACGAGCUGUACUCACGAUUGGGCAUGAGAGGAAGUCCAGUGGAUUCGUCUCACACUGAAGUACACACCCAUCUAUAGUUAACCUUCCACUCCGAUGGAGCAAGCAGCAGCCAAGCUCUGCUUUCACUGUUAAAUUCGCCAGCUUGCAUGUGGAUAGAAACUCCAAGGCACUGCCCAAACAAAACAAAUAUUGCAUAGCAAAUUUUGUUGCUUGAGAUAUUAUGCCGGUCAUUUUCGAGGAUCCUACUUCAUAUUUUUGGAUAACUAAAUCUAAAGGAAGAGGCUUGGUAUAAAACAGCUCAACCUUAAAAUAUAUAACAAGAUCUUGAAAAAGAGCAACCAGCAGCACAUCACAAUUAUUCAUCUUAUGUGAUGAUUUAUUAUAUCUACCUGUGAACCAUGCAUAAAGUCUGUUGAAUUAAAGUGUCACUCCUAUUAAAGGUAUCUUCUGUAAAAUCCAACAAUAUGAAAGGGUCCUCAUGUAAUUGUAAUUAAUCUCCACAAAACAGUAUAACUUAAUCUGAAAUAAAAACCAGAAAAUUUACAAACCUGUCCGAACCUCGAGAACAGAUGAGGGUUGUUUCAUCAGGAAGCUCACCUCCACCGACCUGGAAAGUAAGUUCAGAGAAAAGGAAAAAGUGGAAAACAUUUAGAUGACAGAGAUCUUAUUUCUCUCUCUUCUGCUUUCCAACCAAGAAUAGAAAGUGAGAAGCCAUGUUUUUAUCUUCAGUAGGCAAUUACUUUGCGAUCAUAAUACAAAAAGGAAACCAAGGAAAUAAGUGACAAUAGCCAGCUUUCAUGAGUUGCGCUGAAGGCAGAUUUGUCACUCAGACAAAGCUGGUUUACUCAAUCAUAUCGUUUCUCAUAUUGGAUUGAUUCCUUGAACCCGCAUGAUAAUGGGAUAAAUCUGAUGUUGACUUGUGCAAUAAAGUUCCCUAAGGUUAACCAAACUAUGAAUUUCAAAUUCACCAGUCCUCAUAUGACUGCAAAACUUAAUUAGUGACCAUCAUUAUGAGCCCUAUAUGAGAAUAGGGUUUAAAUUUUGGGAUUUAUGGUUUAGGUAUCUGCAUUAAUCUGUCUCUCUAGUAUAGAUAAUUUUUAUUUACUUUCUAUAUGAGCAUGCCAUUCACUCUUUUUUCAUUUUGGGAGAAGAAACAGUCAACCUACAAAGAUAAUAAAAUUCAAGCAAAUAUAAUAACAACUAAUGUCAACAAUAGCCCCAAGAGGUGAAGAAAUUUUACCCAUCACCUCACACAGUUCUACCACAAGUCAGUUAAUCCAAAUUCAUUAGUUGGGGGCAACGCCUCAGGUCAACUUCGAAUCAACUUCAGAAGAAUAACCUUCCAUCAAUAACUUAUACAAUUCAUUUUUAUAUUAAUUUUAACAAUAAGUCUGUAUCAAACAUAUCUUGCAGCUCAUUAUGUAGAAUAUAAAUUAAAGAAUAAGAAUUCUGUUGGACUAAAUGACUGUAAUGAAAUAUGUACAGUAAAAGGACAAAUAGUGUGCCCCUCUUUUUUCUUUUUGCCUUUUUAAAUUUUCAUGAUAUUAACAGUCCAAGAGACUUUCCUAACCAAGUUUCUAUAGUGUAAAUUACAUCGCGGAAUGGGAAUAAUCCUUUAAUUGUUCACAUGGGUGUCUUAUUGAGAACAGGAACGAUUGAAUAACGACCAAAUUAAGUCAGGCACAGUGGUUUGUAUUCGCACACAAAUAUGAAAUAAUGUUUUAUAAAACAAACAACAUACCAGGCACAGUUGUUUUUUUAUCUGAAUAUUAGAGACAGGAUGACUACCGCCUGCUGCAAUUAAAAUGGUGUCGCCCGGUCUAUGAGGAACAAUGUGAAGAUCAGGUUUUAUAGUCCUAGCGUAUCCCAAAAAUCACAUACAGGCAGUCACAACAUUACAAACCUUGCCACAGAUACGGCUGUCUUAAGGUCGGGGAAAACUCCAGGCUCUGAGAGAUCCUUAACAGACUGAUCUACCCGCAGCCACAAGCGAGGAUGACAUGCCAAAUAAUUCCAUCUGUGGCAAACGAGUGCGGUGUUAUACCGAUCUGCAAGCUCCAUAACAAUUGUGAAAGCGAUCGCACAAAAUUAUAUCAUACAUGCAUUUGGCAGACAUCUAAAACAUCCAUCUCAAUGCCAAACAAUCAUCAUAAAGACAAUUACAUAUAAAAUAUGUCAAAAUCAUCAUAAAGACAAUUAUGCAUAAAAUAUGUCAAGCUUACUCAACAAUAUCUAUUAAACCCCAGAAAUCUUGAUGUAAUUAUCAUGUCUUUGACAAUAAUUUCUAUCCGAUCCUUCUAGAUUUCUUUUAAGGCAUGUGAAGAAUGAGGAUAUACAGCGCUUCUAAGGGACACAAUAUACUAUUUUACGCACAAAAGAGUAUCAAUAACAUAAAUUUAGCACAGAGAGUUUUUGAAACAGGAAUUUAAAAUUAAUAGACAAUUGUUCACAACAGAAAUGCCCAUAUUCUGAAAUUCCGCAUAAAUAUAAAAUUUUUGUUUUUAAAAAAAAAAUAAAUAAUCCUCUCAAUGUACAAAAUAAAUUUCAGGAAAAGUGAUGAAUUGGGCAAAACCCAAUAGGGAAAAUAAAUAAGACUCCCAACACAAAAGUCAAAAACCCGAAGCAAACUUCUAAAAAGGCCAGCAACAUUCAGCUCACAAAUACUACAUAACUUAAUGACACUAAACAUUUAUAAGAAAGAGAAGAUUUUUUUUAAUUAAAUACAAAUAAUUCCCCAAAAAAAGAUAGUCACCUGGAAUUGGGGAUAAGAAGCUGAAUACGUGCAUAAGGCAGCCAUCAUCAAGAUUGUUUAUUGGAGCAAUAAAAGAAUUAUUUUUCAUAGUUUUGCUUUUGAAUCGUUUAGUACUUCGUUCACUGUUUAUCUUCUCUUCAUCUUCCAUUUGUUCAACAAACUCCAAGUCGACUGUUCACUGAAUCAAAAUCUUUCUUUUAACGUUUGCUAUGUUUGACUAUCAUCAGGUAUUUGACUAACCGACAACACUAACAGCACCCAAUUUUUUCAUUCACCACCCACAAGAAACCGACAUGACCCACGCCACGCACGAAAUUACUUCUGAGUUAGGCCCAAUGUUGGCCACCAGAAUUGCUUUUAAGUUUUCGCCCAAAACAAGCCAGCUGGGCUUUGAUGUCUGCCCCAACUUUUUCUAAAAAAAAGUAUAGUUAGUAUUAUUGAAUAAAAAUGUUAUAAAUAUCAAAUUCUUUGAUAAAUUUUCAUAAUUAUUUUUAUAAAUAUCAUGAAAUUUUAUUGUAUGGCAAGUGAUUUAUCAAACAUUCAGCAAGAAUUGUGGUUUUUUUUUUUUACACAAAAUAUGUAGGUUAAAUAUUUGUUUAAUAUUGAGGUGCUUUAACUCGAAAAUUACGAUUGCUGUAACAAAAUUCAUAUAAUUGUGAAAUAAAAAUUGAUAAUGUGUAGUAAAUAUGACUUUUAAUAAUUUUAAUAAAAUAAUAAAGACAUUAUAAAUUUUUAUCAUAAAAUUAUGGAAUAAAAUUAACUUAACUUCUAAACUAUAACAAUAGAAGUAUACUAAACACUUUAGGCCCUAUUUGGAGUGUUGUCAAGUAGCUUGAUUGCCAUAAUGGAGUACUUACUCAUUUAUUGCUACAACUUUUAAGGUACAGUGUCCAGCAAAAUACUAAACAGAAUUAAAUAAUCGAAAACAAAUUGUAAAUGUUAACAAUGUUUAAAUAUAGCUAAGAACAUCAAUAUAUAUAGAGUUUGUAAAUAACACAUACCUAAAAAAGUAUAGAAAGACAAAGAUAGCCUUGAGUUUUGUACUAAAUUGGAGAAAAAAAUAAAAUUAUUUUUUCCAAAAAUAACCACAAAGUUGUUAGUAAUAAGUAGAGAUGGUAAAAUGAGUUGUUAUCAUGACACGAUAACACGACAUGGAUGUGGCACGAAUUUUGUAUAUUCAUGUUGAUAAAUAUUGAUGCAAUUAAUUAAAUAGUUGAUACUAUACGACACAAUAAAUAACCGUAUGGUUUUCAUGUUGGAUCACCUCAGCAUGAUUACAUGUUUAUGGCAUGAAUAUCAAUUAAUAUAAGUAAUAUUAUUAAAAAAAAUUCACACACACACAGAGACACACACACAUAUAUUUGUGUUGGUAAAUAUUGAAAUGAUUAAUAAAAUGGUUGAUACGAUACGAGACGAUAAAUAACCAUAUUGUUUCAUGUUAGACCACCCUAACAUGAUUACAUGUUUAUGACAUGAAUAUCAAUUAAUAUAUGGUAAUAUUAUUAAAAAAAUUAACAUAUAUAUAAACGAUCAAUAAAUGAGUCAUACCCAUAUUUUGGUAUUUUAAUAUUGAUGUUUUGAUAUUUUGAUACAAUUAAAAAAAAUAGAUCAUGUCAGUGUUUUCUUAACUUGAUACAACAUAGUUUAACUCAAUUAAGUAACUCACAUGUUAAAAAUUCUCUAGUAUUCUCACAAACUCUGUAGCUCCGCUAGUGGCUAGUAGUGUGGGAGUCAUUGUGUGAGCCUUUGUUAUUUUCUUUGACACUAUUUGUUUUUUAAUUGUUAUUUAUUCCUUUCUAAGUUUCUAACUAUUUUUAUAAGUUCGCGAUGAAGAUUUCAAACUAGUUAAAUUGUGUGGCUCACUUUUGUUGAAAGAAAAAGUUGCUAUGAUUGUGGUUUCAGACAAGACAUAUCAUUAUGGAAAUGUGUUGACCGCCACUAGUUUAGUGGGAAACGUUUUGAUGUAAUCGGUGAAUAAGGAUGUCUUUAUUUGUAGCGUUGCUCUGAUUUGAAAGUUCAUCAAGGGUGUUGGGAGUAGAGCAUUUAGAACAAAAUAUAUUCUUGUUUCCUUUUCCUAAUGAGAAUGAUCACUGUCAUAAUUUGUCAAUGAGACAUUGGCUUUUUUUUUUUUUUGAAUUACAUGAGACUAAUGUUCAAAUUACAACUCAUAUUAUAUGAGAUUUACAACUGAUAUUUACAAUCAGACAAUUACUGGGCCUAAUUUACAUUAAUUCUUAUAUAGCACUGCCCAGAUUUUACCCUCUCUAAUAUUCGAGGGGUGUCUACUCCACUCACAUUUCGAAAGGGAGAAGACUGCCUUCACUUAAUAAUUAAGGAAGGAAAUAAACCCCUACAUGCAUCGUGGGGGCUCGAACCGCUGCCUCACAGUUGUGAGGGCAGGGUCCUGGCCACUGGGCCAAGGCCCAGUUGGUUAGACCUUGGCAUUUUAAUCGUUCUUUAUUGGCUCUCUUUCCUUUAGCUAGCAAUAGAGAAUAGUCUAGUCAACAAUUUACUAUAGUUUUUUUUGGGUUCAUAUUUACAAUAUGUCGUUAUGUUACAUGUCGAAGGAAAUGGUUGAUUUCCUCGGAGGAAUGCUUGGAGGAGUGAAGAAUUUGGAUGCUAGUCUUAGUUGUGUUUUGUAUGAAAGUUCUUUUGCAUUCAAGUUUUAAUUGAUGUCUCUAGGCCACUUAAACUUGGUUUGCUAAUUCAGUUUCACACUAAUGAUGAUGUUCCUGUGCUCCUAGUGGUUUAUAAAAGAUUAUCAUAUUUUUGUUAAUAUUGCGAUUGUAUAGAUAAUUUAUUUCCAUAUUGUUCCGCAUUUGACUUAGCUAAAGUGGAGCAGGGUGUGGUCAUGGAGUAUGGAUGCGGGCUGAUGCUGGUAGUGUUUUUCGGAAGUCAGAGGGUCGUAGACAAGUAAAUCAUAGUGGUAGAGAAUUGGAUUUGGGAUAUCAUAAGGUGGCUUUUAACGCGACAAUAAAUGCUCCAAGUGUUACGAAUAAUCAUGAGAGUAAUGAUAUAAGAAAAGAGGAUAGUGGGAGAAAUGAGCAUGUCUGUGUGAAUAAUGCUUAUAUUUACGAGAUAGUGAACGAGAGAAAUCAAGUUCAGUGAUUAAUAAAAAGACAAAUCGUGGAUGCACUUAUAAGAAUUUCAAAUUCUGAUUGUAUAUGUGUUUUACAACCUUUUAUUACUAAUAGUCACUUGCCUAAGGAAACAAAGAAGGCAUCAUGCACAGAAUUUGUUAAAGAUUUUGUGAAGGAUUGAAUGGAGUUUAUGGUAGUGACGUGGUUGGCCAUGGGCCUUAUGUGCCCCAAACUGGAGUUAUGGCUUCUUGUCUUGGUGAUGAUUCGAGUGACAAAAAUGAAUCUAGUAAUGUUGCAAGAUUGAAAAAUUAGAGAGAGUAAAGAGAAAAAAUUUACCACAAUGUGAAGGGGCUACGAAAAGGAAAAAAUGAAAGCGACUGGCAUGAAAAAUUCUAAAAGAAAAGUCUCAUAUUUCUCUAACUUUGGGAUCUAAGUAUAGUAAUGAGAAGGAUAUUAGAGAUUGGUCUAAUCAAUGGAAAUGAGGCAGGAUGGUUGCUGUUGAAUCGGAGGAUGGUGAUGAUGGCGUUUUUGCAGACAAUAAUUUGGUUGCGUAGUCUAUGGCUUUGUCAAAUUUAUCAACAAGAGUUAACGUUGAUUAGCCCCACCGGUUGCCAUGAUAUCCUAACCUAAAAUGUCCAAGGUUUGGGGAAUCCUUUGAAUCCCACACUCUUUAUAAAAUGCUCCGUGAGGUUAGACCUUCUGUUGUCUUUUUAUGCGAAACUAGAUUAAUGGCGGCAAAGAUGAAUUGUAUUAGUAUGACAUUGGGUUUGGACAAUUGUUUAGAUAUUGAUUUGGUUUUUUCUAGAUAAACCUUUGCUAAUAUAAGCGAGUGGAUGGCCCUCUUGCAUGAGGACUGCUCCGAUUCCCCGACCGGAAGCAUCGCAUUCUAUAGAAAAUGGUUUGGUGAAAUUCGGCAAGGCUAAAACUGGAGUGGAAGCCAUGGCUUGGCGGAGCUCAUCAAAUGCUGCUUCAAUAGUAGGACUCCAAGUAAAAGAAUCUUGUUUAAGCAUGUCAGUUAAGGGAGCAGCAAUUUUUCCAUACCCAGCAAUAAAUUUAUGGUAGUAUCCCAUCAAGCCAAGGAAGCCUCGUAAAGUUUUGAUAGUGGUAGGUUUAGGCCAUUCAAGCAUGCACUGAACCUUUUCAGGAAUGACAGCUACGCCAGUAGCAGAAACAAUAUGACCCAAAUAUUCAACAGAUGACUGAGCAAAAGAACAUUUUGUAAGCUUGACAUAAAGUCGAUUUUGUUGCAAACAUUGAAGGACAGCAGAGAGGUGUCGAGCAUGCUCCUGUAGAGAAGUGCUGUAGACAAGGAUAUCAUCAAAGAAAACUAAAACAAAUUUGCGAAUGAAGGGUCGAAAAAUCUCAUUCAUCAGGUUCUGAAAUGUGGCUGGCGCAUUUGAAAGGCCAAAAGGCAUCACAAGAAAUUCGUAGUGGCCAUCAUGAGUACGGAAGGCUGUUUUUGCUAUAUCGGAGGGAUGAACUCGAAUCUGGUGAUAGCCCGAGCGAAGGUCCAGCUUACUGAAAACUGAUGCACCAUGUAAUUCAUCUAAUAGUUCGUCAACAACUGGAAUCAGAUAACGGUCUUUGAUGGUUACCUUGUUGAGAGCACGAUAAUCGAUACACAUACGCCAAUAACCAUUUUUCUUUUUAACUAAUAAAACCGGAGAGGAAUAAGGACUAAUACUAUGCUGAAUGAGCCCGGCAUCCAAAAGCUAACGAAUCAAGCGGUCAAUUUCUUGUUUCUGAAAAUGAGGAUAACGAUAAGGUCGUACAUUGACAGGAGAGCUUCCAGGAAGUAAUGGAAUAUGGUGAUCAAUUAAGCGUUGAGGAGGAAGUUCGGUGGGUUCCGCAAAAAUGCCAGAAUAUGUCUCUAGGACCUUAGUAAUAAUUGAAGGUGCUGAUAUAUCAGCUACUGAAGUGGUUAUUGCCAUAAUAUGGAAAAAAAAAUGCCUUGCUUUUCUUGAAGCAAUAACCUAUUAAUUUCACCAUGAUUUGCCAAAACCGGUGGCAGGGAAUUAUAUCCAGUGAGUUGAACCGGUUGGCCUUUCCAAGUGAACUGCAUAGUUAGCUGUGAGAAGUCCCACAAUAUAGCACCUAAUGAUCGUAACCACUCAGCACCCAACACAAUGUCACAGCCACUUACUGGAAGUAAGAAUAAAUCCAAGUGAAAUUUAAAGCCUUGAAUAUUCACUGGGACGUGAGAACAUUUUCCCGAGCUGCUGAUCACUCCACCAUCAGCUACAGUAACUUGAAACUGAGUUGUAGUAGUGAUAGGGCACCCACAUUGCUUAGCCAAUGAUGGAUUCAAAAAAUUGUGAGUAGAACCAAAGUCUAUUAAUAUAGUGACACACCAUGUUUUUUUAAAUUCCCUUUCAGUCGCAUGGUGUUUUGUGGGGUUGCUCCAGUGAGAGCCUUUAAAGAGACUUCUACUGUUUCUGGGAAAUCCUCAAAAGCCUCAAUGUGUUCAUCUUUAUCGUCGAUAUCUGCAUCCAUUAUUAAAGUUGAGGAGCUUUACAACGAUGCUCAGGUUUAAAUUGUUCAUCACAAUUGAAACACAAUCCUUUGGCUCGUCUUUCAGUUUGUUCGGCAACUGAUAGACAUUGAAAUGGUGGGAAUCCCGGAGGGGGUGGGCCUAAUAAAGAGGGCUGUGAUGACCCCCCAGUUUUGGUUAUUGUGGGAGAUGAAUUAAGGAGUGGUGAUGGCCUGCUUAUACUAGGCCGAGGUGGAAUCCUUCGAUUAGAAACAGCCGCGUAUUCUUCUUGGAAUCUUGCAAGCUCAAAAGUUCGUAGGAGACUUGCAGGUUUCAACAUCUGCACUCCAAUUUUAAUAUCCUCUCGUAAUCCCGAAAGGAAGCAACUAAUGAAGAAUGAUUCAGGUAGAUUCCGAGUUCUAUCAGCCAAUCGUUCAAAUUGUCGUUGAUAUUCAAUAACAGUCCCAGUCUGUCGUAGUUUGGUAAUGGACCCGACUACAUCACCGUCUUCGAAUGUUCCAAAUCGAGUAACUAGAGCUCGUUUGAAUUGGGCCCAAGUCAUAUUACCCAUAGUUUGCUCUAACCAGUGAUACCAAGGUACCGCAUCUCCAUCGAGGUGUCUGAUAGCAAGUGACAGCACAUCUAUCUCAGGCAAGGCAGCCAAUCAUUGAUACUGUUCACAGCAAAAGAUCCAGCUUGAUGGAUUUUCCCCGCUGAAAACUGAAAAAUCCAGCUGUAUAUGGCGGGGUUGCACAAGGGCUCCUCCAAUACGUCCUGCAGGUUCAGGUUGUUGAUUAUUGAUUUGUAACGGUUGGUGGUUGUUUCUAUUUUCUUGAAACCAGAUGAAUUGAUCGCGGAGACUUAAGAUUAAUUCUUGGAGAUCGUUGGACUGUUGGGAUAAGACCUCAACUUUCUCAUUGAAUUGAUGAGAUAAUUGUUCCACCCUUUCCUCCAGUUCCUUAACAGUUAUUAUGCCCAAGAAAAAAAACUGCUCUGAUACCAGAUGUUAGGCCACUGCUUUGAGAUAGUAGUUUAGAAGCGACGAAUUGAUGAGAAGAGUAAUAAGAAGAAGUGGCCAAAGGGGAAACGAGAGUUUUAGAAGCAAUUCUUAUUAUUUAUUAAAGUAGCAACAGUUCCUUAUAUAAGCCAAGAGAUCCUACGAAAAUAAUAAUUCCUAAUAACAUAAUAACUUAAUAACUAAUCCUUAACGGAAAAGGAAAUAAUGGAGGUCUAAGACUAGGACUCUAACAGGGGUUUGUUAGAUAAUGAAGGAAAUCGGGUUACUUCUAUGGUUGGUAUUAAGGAAAUUAUUGAGGAUUAUUUUUAUUCUUUUUUUUCUUCCUUCAAUGUGAAUGCUGAGGAGAAAGAAUCAGUCUUGUCUUUUUUGCAAGCUAAAGCAACGAAUGAAAUGAAUUGGGAGUUGGAUAUUGAAUUUACUAGUGACAAAUUAAAGAAUGCAGUUAUGCAAUUUGAUCCUGCAAAUGCACCUAGGUCGGAUAGUUUUUUACCAAUUUUUUUCUAAGAUCUUUAAUCAGUACAACUUGUUUAGCUAUCUUAAAUGGGGAGGCUGCACUUCCUGUACAAUAAUUGUUUAAUUCCUAAGGUAGACAUACUUAUGUGACAUAUUGGGUUAUAGUUGAAGUUUUUGCUAAUCAUAUAAAAUGAUGUUACAUGAUGUUAGCUCUAGUAAUCAAAGUGCUUUUAUCCUAAAUCGUCUAAUUACUGAUAAUGUCAUAGUGGGCUAUGAAUGCUUGCAUAAAUUGCGAUGCUGUCAAAAGAGUUAGAGUGGUUUGGUAGCAUUAAAGCUUGAUGUCAUUAAGACAUAUGAUUGAAUGGAAUGAGAUUUUUUGGAACAACUAAUGGCGUGGCUUGGUUUUUCCACAAGAAGGACUCGGCUUAUAAUGAGUUGUGUCAACAUCGACGUUAUCCUUCUUGAUUAAUGGUGAGGCUCAAGAGCAGGCCUGUCCAAGUCAAGGUAUUAGGUAAGGCUGUCCACUCUCUCCCUAUAUAUAUAUAUAUAUAUAUAUAUAUAUAUUUUGUUCUCUGUGCUGAAGCUUUCUUUGCUAUGCUAAUUGCUUUUGAAAAAUCUAAUUUAAUCCGGGGGGUUAGAUUUGCAUCAAAUUUAUUUGUAUCCCAUUUGCUAUUUGUAGAUGACAGCAUGAUACUUUGUAGGGCUGUGUUGGCGAAUUAUCAUUAUUUAAGGGAUAUUUUUUAUUUGUACUCUUAGGGCUGAAGUCAAAUUUUUAACUUUAAUAAGUCCAAUAUUUUAUUUAGCCCAAAUGCACGUAAGAGUUUUACAGAGGUCUUUGGAUUUUUUAAAGUUUCAGCGUAUGAAAAAUAUAUAGGAUUUCCAGUGAUGAUUAGAAAGAAAAAGAAAGAGUUUUUCUAUGUGUUGAAAUUUAGGGUGUUGAAAAACUUGAGUAAUUGGUAGGAAAAUUUUUUUCUGUUCUGGUGGAAAAGGAGAUUCUAAUUAAGGCAAUGGCACAGGCAGCCCCUUCAUAAGCUAUGAGUGUGUUCCUAUUACCAGUGAGUAUGUGUGAAGAUCAUCAACGGAGGUUUAUCGCUUUCCGAUGGAUUUCUACAAAGAAUAAGCGGAAGAUACACUGGAUGGAAUGAAAUAGUAUGAGUUAGGAAAAAAAAAAGAGGAAUGCAUAGUUUUUUGAGAUCUAGUUUACUUUAAUAAGACAAUGUUGGCAAAGCAAGGAUGACAGUUGCUUAUUUAUUAUCAUAUACUUGUUUUGGGAGUAUUAAAGGCAAGAUAUUCUGAUGAAGCUCUUUUCUUGAUAUGACUAUUGGUAGUAAUCUUUUAUUUAUUUGGCGAAGCAUUAUUGGGGUGUGAGUUGUUACAAUAGAGGAUUUAAUAGUGUGGGAUCAGGAAAACAUGUUCGUAUUUAUUGUGAUAAUUGGGUGCCUAGACUGAUAACGUUCUGACUUAUCCCAACAGUAACUUUAGGCGAAGAUGCAAGGACUACUGUUUUGUUAGAAAAUGAGAAUUCUUGGAAUAUGGCCUUGUUAUUGCCUUAGGAUGUACAUUCUAUUGUGAAAAUUAAGCUGCCUUCACAAACCUGUCAUGAUCGAGUAAUGUGACACUAUGAUCGUUGUAGGGAUUACACUGUGAAGUCUGGGUGCCAUAUUGUAAGGAAGUGGAAGAACUUGACUGGUGUUACAUCAUCUAAUGGUUCAACUAGGCAGUUAGAAGACUAUUUAGAAGCUAAUUGUUCCUUCCAAGCUUAAAAUGUUUUGAUGGUGUGCACUUUCAGGUUUCCUUCCGUCUAUGGAAAACUUGGAGCUGAAAAGUGUGGUAGCUGAUUCGCUGUGUAGGCUCUAUGUAUAAUGUGGCGAGUCUAUUAUGCGUGCUUUAUCUAAUUGCCCAAGAUGUAAGGGAAUUUGCUUCAUUUGUUGAUUUUGAUUCUUUUGGCCACGUUGUAUGUUUGCGGGAUGUGUGGGAUAGUGUAAAUUCAAAAAUUACUUGUACUGAGAUUCAACUCUUGUUUUAAUAAUAUGAGGGAUAUGAUGGGAGAGAAAUAAGAUUUUAUAUGAUGGAGCAGUGGCAUCUCCUAAUUGUGUGGUGGCUUCUGCUCAAGGGAUUUGGAUGGUUGUGAAAGAAAAAAUUGUAUGGAUACAGUUGAUGUGUACAAGUUUGAAUCCUAUGAUUUGGGAGCCACCAUAAAUAUGGUGGUUUAGAUUAAAUAUUGAUGUGGCUGUGGAUGUUCAUAGUGGUAAGGUUAGCUAUAAGGCUAUUAUUAGAAAUCAUGAGGGGUUGGUUUAUGUUGGUUGGAGAUAAUCUUGGGGUGUAUACUAAUAACGUGGCUGCUGCUGAGGCAAAGACCCUACCUUGGUAUUCGACAUGCUAAGGAGAUUGGUUUGUCUCCUUUAAUGGUUUAAUCGGACUCGUUAUAUCUUAUCCAAUUGAUCUAGGGAAAGUAGUAUACUCGUACAUAGCUUUUAUAGACAGUUUCUGAGGUGCAACAACUAAUGUCACUACAAGUAUGACUUCAAGAUUCGACAUAUCUUAAGGAGAUGUAAUCAAACUGCGGAUGUUCUAACUAAGUUCACUAUUUGUAAAUGUUUAUCUUUUGUUUUACUAGAAGAUUUUUCACAGUCAUUAAAUUGAUAUCUUUGAGCUUUUUCCUAAUUUAAUAAGAAUUACUUAUUUAAGAAAAACAUUGAUACUACAUAAGACACAACAUGAUUACAUAAAUUGACACCCAUACUAAUAAGUGAUAUCUUGCCAAAAAAAAGAGUGGGUUAUUUGAAUGCAUUAAACUUUUCAUUGAACCCAUUUACUAAAUAAACUUACCUCUAAUUUUUAAAAUUUAAAAUUUUACUCAAUAAACCCUCUUAAGUACCCAAUACACCCUUACUUAACUCAGUUUUUAUAAUAAUAGUGUUUUUACUGAUUAAACCCAUUAAAUUAAUUUAUAAACCUUUAAUAAAUGUUUGUUUUCUUUUUUUUUUCCCAUUAAAUUCAAAAUUUUCUUUAUGAAUGUGAUUAAAAAAUAUAUAUAAUUACAACAGCACACAUUCAUACCUCUUCCCAUUUCACACCAUCUCAACCUUUGAUUCAAGAUGUAGAUUAUUCAAGUUGUUCAUGAAGGCAACAAACAAACAAUAUCUAUUCCUAUCAUUGCUUCUGUAGUAAUCACCAACAUAAAAUAAGCCCCAGCCACUGGAAGUAACUUUUACAGAUUGAAUGCGAGGAAAAAUAUGCAACAGAGCUGAUAGAUGCAGCUGCUUCAACGAACAUCAAGCUCCUCCUCCCGUUCCCAUUGCUGGCCUCAACAUUCAAUCUAACUUUUUCUCCUUCAACUUCACCAUUUUUUCCCUUUUGCUGCACUUGCAACAACUACAAGUCUCUGGCCAGUGUUGACCCAAGCCUUGCUGGUGCUACAUAGGAAAGAGGCUAUCAUGAUCAUUGAUGCCAUUUCCACAAUAUUCAUGUGCUUUCCUUCAAUGUUUCAUUAAAUUUCUCAUGUAGUUAUUCAAAAUCCAGAACAUCUAUUUCAAUUUUUCAAGCUGAUGGAGCAAUACGAUGAGAAAGGAACAUUUAAAUAAUUGCAAAAAUGAAUUGCUUUACUUCUCCGGUUCUCCUAAAAAAAAAGAAAAAAGAAAAAGAAUCGCUUUGUGGCAAAGAUAAGAAUCGGUUUAUGGCCGUCAACAACACUUGUUUUUCUAAUCAGAAUCUUUACUGUGCAUGCAAGGGAAAAAAAAUCCUUAACAUUCUGGUGUUCCUGAUUUGUAGUAAAAUAAUAGAAAAGAUCAAUAGACAGCAGCACAGAAGCUAUUACAACCAAAAUGAUGAAGAAGAAAGAACUUCAACACUGAAACAUUUUAAAGUAAACACGACUUGAAAUUUCAUAAAGAUCCCAACAAAAUUCUUAGCCUCUUUCUGCCGCUUCUUCUCUUCUUUGCGUAUUGUUGCCCACUGUCAAAUGCAAACAAAGAUAUAAUCGCCAAUUUUAUUACCUGAAUCCAAUCUAAUAUGCCUAAUUAACAAAAUUAUGUGGUUUGGGAAAAGAAUUAAGCCUCUAAUUGAUUAGGGUUUAAUGAAAAUAUGAUUAUAAUUUAAUAAAAUUAUAUAGAAUGUAAAAAUAAAUUUAAAUAUUAAAAUUUUUAUUUUUUUAUUAUAUUUUAACAUCCACGAUUAUAAUUUAAUUUUAGGGGAAAAGCUUUUCUCAUCCCUAGAGUUUCAUGCAAUAACUCAUUUAAUCCUUAUUUUUUAAACAAUAGUUCAAAACAUCCUUUCGUUAACUCACCGUUAAUUGAAUGUCAUUUGUUAGUAAUUCAUUAAGGGUAAAAAAAGAUUUUUCAUAAAAAAAAAAUUAGAAAAAUAAAUAAAAAUUGACAUAUAACUAAAAAUGAUUUUAUCUAAUUUCACUAAAUCAGAAAUACCAAAAAAGAUGAAAAACUUCUAUUUCAAGCAUUUUUUUUCACUUCUUUCUAUUUUGGCGGUAUGAAAGCCCUAUAAAUCCUAGAUCUAAUUGAAUGUCGUUUGUUAGUAAUUUAUUAAGGGUAAAAAAAGAUUUUCUAUCAAAGAAAAAAUUAGAAAAAUAAAUAAAAGUUGACAUAUAAUUAAAAAUGAUUUUAUCUAAUCCCACUAAAUCGGAAAUACCGAAAAAGAUGAAAAUUUUCUAUUUCAAGCAUUUUUUUUUUCACUUCUUUCUAUUUUGGCGGUAUGAAAGCCCUAUAAACCCUAGAUCUAAAUAUAAAAAAUAUCACAAUUUUCUUAUUCAUAUAAGUAUACUCUCUAAUUGCACUGUAAAUGACUUGAAUUGAGUUGAAGAUAAAGAAAAUAUUCAACACAUGCAAGCACAUAAAAAUUAGUGGUAUUUUUGAGUUUUUCUUCCAAUGAUUUAAAGAUAUUGUGUUAAUUACAGUUUGUUCCUUAUGACAAUUAUUCAAUGGCUAUAUUAAUUUAUAUCAUCGUUGAUUUCAUUUAAGAAAAAGUUAAUGAAUUUUACAUAUUUUGUAGUGUUAUUUAAUUGUGUAAAAAAAUUAUUUUAAUAUAGUUUGUAUUACUUAAAUGAAAAAUCUUAUUUUGCCCUCAAUGAAUUAUUAGUUAACGGCUUUACACUAGUGGUGAGUAGAAAUAAAAUAAGUUAUUACAUUAAAUCUUAGAGAUGAAAAAGAUUUUUUCCCUUUAAUUUAAGAGUAUAUUAAUCAUAAAAAAUUAUUUUUAAAAAUAGAUUUAAUAAAUAAUUUAAUGAAUUCACAGAGCCAAAAAAAAAAAUUUUUACUCUUUUAAAUAUUUGUAACUCCACUUGUCCUUUUCCCUUAACGUAGCAUUGUUGCUUCUACAGAAACAGUGACAGGGCCGUACGUAGAAGCGCAAGAAGCGACCAAAAGGAGCAAGAAAGCGAAACGAAUUCCGGAAAUGGGCGGCAGCGGCGGCGGCGGCGAGUGCAUAACGAGGAGCAGCCACGUGAUGGAGGGAGGCGGUAGCUUGGAGAGUUACAGAUAUUUCCUCUCUCGACGCACCGUUCUGCAAAUGCUCAAUGAUAGAGGCUACGCGGUUCCCAACUCGGAACUCACUCGUUCACUCACUGAGUUCCGUUUUACUUUUGGCGACAAAUGUGACCUUGAAAGUCUCCGUCUUUGCCUCCCUCUCCGCUCCAAUCCCUCCAAAAAGGUAACAUUUUUAUUUCCAUUUCAUCAUCAUCAUUAUUAUUAUUAUUAAUUUAAUUUUUAAUAAUAAUAAUGCGAUUCUUAUUUUAUUUUAUUUAUUGGUAAGAUGCUGGUUGUGUACUUGGGAACUGAAGAAAUCAGGACGCAAGCCAUUCGGGGCCUUUACGGUCAGAUUCUUAACAAGGAAGCUUUACAUGGACUCAUACUGAUUUUGCAAAGCAAUAUGAACACUUUUGCUCGGAAAGAAGUGCUAAAGUUUCCAUUUAAAGUUGAGAUUUUCCAUGUAGGUUACCCUGGAACUCCCAUGGCUAUGUAGAAAAAUGGCUCAGCUCUUAUAGACUUAUGGGUGUUGUUAUGAACUGGAACUAGUAUUGAUAAUUAGUAUGUUUUAAAUGUAUUAUAGAAGAUAUCUCAUGCUAUUGUUUGAGUUGUCGUUGGUUUUGUUGUUACAGGUGACUAAGUGAGUCACAAAUUUUCAUCGCUUUUGUGGAAAUUUGCAGAACAUGUUUGGGGGUUGAGAUUGGGAUUGUAAACUUUUCAGUUAUGAACUAUCUAAAUUCUAAAGAUCUUCUCAAAAAAAAACAAAAAAAUUCUAAAGAUGAAGAAACCUUCUAGAGUGGUACAAGAGGUGUGGGGUUAUUUAUAUUAAAAAAAGAGUACUAAGGAUUAAGAAAUUUGCUUUAGGAAGUUUUUUAGGUUUUCCUUGAGGCUGCUCCAAACACUUUGUGGUGCUUUGUCAUGGAUCCAUAUUCAAUUUAUUCUAUUUACUGCUGGUUUUCCAUCCAAGGUAUCAGUUGAUAUUGCACUUUAAAUGUUUGAAGAGUGCUGCUUAACCCUGCUAAGAUGUAAGAUCUGGCAAGUGGGUCUUCUAUUGUCUAUGGUACCAGUAGCUUUAGUAGCUAUAUAUUGUUGGGGUUUGAUGUCUGUUAAAUGUUUUUGCCUGUGAUGAUAGCUAAUGAUUAAUGCAAUUUUUUUAUAAUCAUUUUAAUACUUUGAGACUGCACAAAUGCUAUGGAUAAUUGAGGUUUUGGUUCUGUUUAUUUGAAUUUGACAACAACUUACGUUGGCUUUCCCUUUUAGAUCACUGACUUGUUGGUCAAUGUUACAAAGCACAUUUUGCAACCAAAGCAUGAGGUGCUAUCUGCUGGGGAGAGAGACAAAUUAAUGAAGAAGUACAAGAUAGAAGGCAAGCAGGUAAUAAUUUUAGUUACACAAUAAAUGCAUCCUUUGACGUUCAUAAAUUUAAUGACUCUACAUUCAUAUGCAUACUAUUGAUGGAAAAAGUUCUUGGGGUAUGGGAUCAUUAACAAAUGGAAGCCAGUACUUAAGUUGACUUGUGGAAGUUUUUCUCUGUCUUGGAGUAACUCCCUUUUAAAUUUCUUACCAUCCAUCCCAUUGUUGAUAUUCAAAGCCCAUUUGUUGAUGGUUAACUUGUUCAAUUAGAAUGCCGGUUGCAGUAAAGGAAAAAGGAAGCAAAGAUGUGAUCAAUUUGUUGGAUUUUUUGCGUACUCAAAUUGGCCAUAAGUUGUAGUUCGCUGGUUUAAACUUAAGGGUUCUGUUUUUAAUAAUCAAAUGCUGCAAUUUAUGCCAGUGCCAUUGACCGAUGCAUCUUGUCAUGAACGUCCUUUUGCUGACCUUUUGUUCAUGAAUGGAGUUCCCAUCUGCUCAGUCUCUUGCUAAUUCCAUCUGGCUGGAUAUUUGGAUUUCUUCAUGUCUAGAACUCAGCAGUUGAGAGUCAGUGUGCGGUAGUACUGGUGGUUUAUGGACAUAAAACUAAUGAGAAAAAGAUGUCUAGAAGUUGUGAGCUCAGUUUUAUUGGGCACAACUUAAGAUCAAAGUUGAACUUGCGAUAUCUAAUUAAUUAAUAUAUUAAGCCAGGUAGAAUUUUGUUAGGACGCUUUGGAGCUAAGUAAUCUGCUCAACCAUAUAAUGCAAGCUUAGGCUGCAUAAAUGAACUUCAGCGACGUGGAAAUUUUUUCUGGGCAUGAAAUUAUAAAUGAAAUAUGGCCUAUACGCCUGAUAGUUCUCAAUUGAAUUCAUCGACUUUGAACGUCUGGGGCCUACCUCUUAUGUCUUGAUUGGCUUAUCUCUUUAGUCUGAGCAAUAUGUUAAAAAUGGGUUGUGACUUAGAAAGAGGCGUCAAUGAGCCUAUGUGUCAUGAAUCAGGAAAAGAAGUAUGCCAUGUAAAGAAUAUGGUGGAUUCUUUUUUAUAACAGUGUUCGUUUGUCUAUGUAACUGCUCAUAAGUUUUGUUGCAUGAUUGAUCAAAGUAGAACACCAACCUACCUCUAUUUUUAUCUUGUCUUUCAGCUCCCUCGAAUGCUGGAAACUGAUGCGUUUGCUCAAUACUAUGGACUGCAGAAGGGCCAGGUGGUGAAAUUUACUUACUGUUCUGGAAUUGCUGAAUUUCUUGAAACCUACCGCCGCGUUCUCUGAUGCUUCCCUGUGUAUUAUAUGCUCAUUAAAACAGUGUUGACAAGCUAGCUAGAUACAUAUUAUAUACAUGGGAUGAAAACAUAUAUCAGGAUACAUGCUGACCAUGUGUACAUGUACAAGCAAAAUGAGCUGUAUAUUUUGACUAGUUUAUUUCAGAAACUCAAUGGCUCGAUAGAAUUUCAUUUGCAGAAUUGAAAAAAUUGCCAUUUCUUUUAUUUAACACAUUGCAUACCUCGUAGCUGCUUCUAAGCCGAUAGUUUCUAAACAAAUGUUGUGAAUAUUUUCUACACCAAUCUGCUUCACAACACUGCAAUCAGUGGGAUCAAUCCGUGAAAGAUCAACAAUGCUACUUUGACAUAAAGUAGAUUGAAAAUUUUUACACGAAAAUAAAAAUGGCACCGCUUAAUUUUGUUUUUAAAAAAUAAGAAAAAAUUGAAUUAAAAAGUAAAUUAAAAAGUAAAUUAAAAAAGAAAAGAAAAGCAAAAGUCACUGUAACAAAUAUAAAAAGGCCACCUUGCUUCUUUAUUAUUAUUAUUAUUUUUUUAACUUAAUUACCCAUCAAAUAUGAGAAGCUUCUCUUUUUGUUUUUUCAAUUAAAAGGUUGUGUCAAAUAUAGCAAACGCAAACCAGCACUCCAGCAGAUUAACUGAAAAUUUUUUAUUUAUUAACUUCGUUGAUCAGCAAUAAUGUCUAUGAAUAACUCAAUUUUCAUAAUAUAAAUAGAAAAUAAAUUCACAAAAUCUUGCUACAUAAAAUGACCAUUAUACAUUAAUAAUAAAAAAAUAUCAUGAUACCCAAUUGGCACAGAAAAAAAGACAGUAGCGUUUUUAAUUUUAAAUGAAUAACAGAAAAAUUAUCAGUCGUUAACAUAAAUUUAUCCUGUUAUAAAAUAUUAUAAAAGUUAGAAUUUAUUCAAUUUUUCACCAUAUGUUUACAAAUUGUGUCAACCAUCCACCAAAAAGGUAACAAUACACUUGUAAAAUAACUACUAUUAUAAUUUAUUUUUCCUUUUGUUUGGUCAUUUAUAAGGGUAAUUAUAUCUUUUUUGUGGACAGUUGCAAAUUACAAACUUAGGUGGAAAAUUAAAUAAUUCAAAUUUUUGUAAUAAUUUUUAGAAUGGGUAAACUUUUUGAAAGAAACCAUAAAAAAUGUGGGGGUUUAAGCCGGACCCCUUCCUAUAAAAUAAAUCAGUAAAUAAGUAAAUACAUAAGGAGGGGGACAUAAAUCAAAUCUCCUAAAGCAAAUAUAAGUCAAUAAAAAUAGAAAGAGAAGUAUAAAACGAUCAAUAAAUAAGCAAAUACAUAAGUAGGGGGACGUAAACCAAACCAAACAUCCUAAAGUAAAUGUAAGUUCAUAAGAAUAGAAAGAAAAGUAUAAAAUGAUUAAAUGGAAUAAAAAAGUCAUCAAUCCUAACUUCUGACAUGAGGACCAGUCUCUGCAUCCAAAUACAGAAUACCAGAUAAGCCUGCAGGAAGAUCCCGAGAACACAAGAAAUGUCGAUUAACCCGAUGAGUACAAGCCUAAUUGGCCAAAAAAUCUGCAGCAGAAGUGGCCUCUCAAAAGACAUGCCUCACCGAAAUUAGAAAAGAAGAAAUCAAAGCACACACUCGACGCAGCGAAUAAACAUAAUCCCAACGAACAUGACCGUAGGAAUGAAUCCACGAAACCGCCGUGGCCAAGUCUGACUCUACCUCAAGCACAGAGUAAUCAAGCUAAACAUCAAGCUCCUACCCGUCACAAACUAUCAUAAGCUCAGUGUAAAGGAUCGGCUAGUAGCCAAGAAAAGACCGAAAAGUAGCCAAAAACCACACCGUGAUGAUCACAGAGAAUAUCACCCGAAGCAGCCAUCCUAGGAUUGCCCCUAGAGCAACCAUCCACAAUCAACUUUGCAACCCCAGGAGGCGCCCUCAUUCAAGAAACUAUUCAAAACGGUCUCUUGGGUGGAGUUAUGAUCGCAAACCCUCCACAAUCUGAGUACACAAAACUUCCCUCAACUGAGCAGACUUAAAACCAAAGAAGUUAGCAAACCAAAGGAAUUAGCAAGCCUGAGAUCUGAAACCACCCUAUAAAUAAUCGUAUCAAUAGAGAAAGGCUAGGAACCUGAAAGUAUUGUGAGCCUUCCAAAGGUUGCUGCUUCCAUGAAUAGGGUAAAGUUAAAGUGGAGGAUUAAUAAUUCCCGUUAAUAAUAAAACAUAAUUCUAAUGUAAUUUAGAUUACAUUAUAAAAGUCUAUUUUAUUAAAAAAAUGGUAAUUAUUCACCAACUACUUAUUUUUUUGAGUUUUUUUAAAAAUACACAAUUCUUUUUUUUACUAAAUUCCACUUGAAGUUAUAUUUUUUUGCACAUGUACACUUCCGUUUGAGGACUGUUAUAACAUUAUUAACGUCAUAGGGGCAAAUUGGUCAUUUCACCAGUGCAGCCCCAAAACGAUGUCGUUUUGCAACUUUGAUUAGAGAGAAAGGAAAAGAAAAAGGCAAACUAGUCAAGAGUAGGGCAAAUAAUGAGAAUAGUCAUUUUUCGUUCACACAUUAGGUGACCCACCACCAUGCAUGAAGAACCAGCAAAGAAUUAUAAUUUUUUAUUUAUGGGGCAAAACAAUCAUUUGCUCAAGAUUCCAUUAGUUUUCUUAACAUUCUCCAGACAGAAGUGGACAUGUGCAAAGAAAUGUAACUUCAGAAGGAAUUUCGUAAAAAAAAAUUAGGUUUUUAAAAAAAAGUUUGAAAAAAUAAGUGAUCGAUGAAUAAUUAUCUUAAAAAAAAGGUAAAAGGAAUUUACCAAAAACACUGAUGGCUCCUUUGGCGGCUGUUGCGAUGAUAAUUUCAAAUUAAAAUUUUCAACAUAAAGUGCUCUGCAGCUUUGUACUUGUCAAAGUGGGAGUAGGUGGAAGCUAGAGUGUUGGAGUAGCUAAGGGCAAAUAAGUGAAAAAAAUGAAGUAGUGAGUAGUAAUUGAAUGUAAUUUUAUUUUGAAAAUGGUGGUAAAAAUGUAACUAAAUACUUUAUUGUUAAUAAAACAAAAAUUACUUUAUACGAUCUGGGGAAAAAAAAAGGAAGAGUAAUGGACACAUGUCCAACACACAAACGGUGAGUGAGUCAGUGACUGGCACCCAAAACGAACGAUUGACCACAACACUGCUCUGUAUGUUUUAAAUUAUCACUACUUCACCAAUUAAUGAAUGUGGUUAAAUUGGUCAUACCAACUUAGAAUAUCAAGUUAUAUAAAUUAGGAAAAAUUGUGGUGCAACUGUAGUACCGUAUUACAGUUACAUUCAGCUGUUGGAUCUCAAUAUACUCCACCUAUUCAAGUGGAUCCAACGGCUGGAUGCAACUGUGGCAUGGUACCACAAAUACACUGUAGUCAGACCCAAAUAUAAACUUAUAGGCUUUUUACUAUUUCAUAAUUAAAAAAAAAUCAAAGAUUUAUUUAUGGGCGAAACCUUAUUAGGUUUCAAUACACUACUUCUUGCUUACAAGGUGUUUUAUUUCCUCUCAAAAGAUUAAUCUCAGUUACAUAUUCUAAAAUUAAUCUCAAAAGAUUCAUUUCAAUUUCAUUCAGCAUUUGAAAUGAAAAAAGAUAAAAUAGGGCCAUUCUAGUAAAAAAAAAAGUACAUUAUCAGUAGUGGGAAAAAAUUGAAUUGUUGAAUAAGAUCCAAUGGUUCAUAAUAAUUAAUUAAGAUUAACUUAAAUUUUUAAAAUUGACUGCCUUUUUAAGUGAGAGUAAUUAAGACAAAGAGCUGAAAAAUAAUGUCCGCAUUUUUUUUCACAUGGUAGUAAUCUACCAAAACACAAUUCUUUUAAUUGAGAUUCAACAAUAAAAGCAGUACAAAUAUGACCUUUGUAAGAAUAAAUCUAACUAGUUAUACUUUGUAUCACAACAUUAUACGUCAAUUAAAGAAGACAUAUAUUCAUUCUUAUAUAUCAUUACAUUUUUGCAUGAUUGGAUUAAUAUUUUAUUUUAUAAAAAUUAGAGAUUGGGAGCUGGCCAUUUAUGUUUAUGCACUAUGAGAGUAAAACCUUUCCACUCAUAAAGUUAUAAGAAAUAGUCUUUUGAGGAUAAUAAAUUAUUACUACCUUUUUAUAUGAGUAUGACAUUCAUGGGAGGUUAAUCUUUAAUAUUAGAUUACGAUGGUUAGACUCCGAAGUUAAGCUUAUCAUUGUGAUCACCGAGAGGUAAGUAAACUAGAGCUUAGACUGGGAUCACAAUAAACAUAUGUAUUUGUGUGGAUUUUGGAAAGAUUAUUUUGAUAUUUGCAUUAUAAACGUUUUUUACUAGUAUAUUUAACAUUGUGUUUAUAUAUGCUUUAGCAUAAGCACGGGUAUGCAAAUUUUUCUUUCAAGUCUUCAUAUGAAAAGAAUUAUGUCACUACUAGAAAAAUGGGCUUUACUGACGCUUUGCAAAAGUGUCAGUAAUUAUGUACAUAUACACCAUUUUCCACUUUUGAAAAAUAGGAAUCACAGAUUAAUGAUAAUGGGGUGUCAGUAAAUUAAACAUCAAAGAUCACUGACAUCAAAGUAUCAAAGAUAAAAAAAAAAUUCAUAAAAAUUUGUUUUAGCUCCAACUCGAACCUGAGAGCUCUAAGAUUUAAAGCUUUAAUGUUUGGAGCACAGACCAUCAAAUCUCGAUGAAUCAAAGUCAUAAUAAUAUUUAAAUUAUUAAAAAAUAAAAAUAUAAAUAACAACAACAUAAAACUCACACUUAAUGACUUUUCCCCAUCUACCCAGACUGUACAUCGACUAUCUCUAUCUUGGUUUUAUCGUUCUCUUUCUCUUUCAUUUUUCUCUUCUCGAUCUCUUCUGUUUUGCACUAUCCAUUUACAAAUGAAAUUCAAUUAAUUUAGAUAGAUAAUGAAAAGCUAAAACUCCGUUUUGUUUUUCCAUUUUCCCCAAAUUGAAAAACAAACCAAAACCCUAAUCGCUUGUUAUUGAAGGGGUUUUUUCUCCAACUAAACCAUCCAGUGCCUAUAUUAGGCAAGCAAGUAAAAGCCAUCGACAAGGGGUGAAGUGGCACCAUCGGUUGCGUAUUCAAGUAAUCUCAUUCUCCCUCACAAGUUAAGUUCAGAGAAAGAACUGUAGAGGAGGUUAUCAGCUGGUAAUGGCUGAAUAUUUUAUUUUUUUGGGCAAUUUAAUUAAUGGGUUUGUUUUAAUUUGCCUUAUGAAUAAUAUUUUUUAAUUUUAAUUUUUGGGUUGUUUCAGAUGUUCAGAAAUUGAACUGUAGUGCGACCCUGGUGGGUUUUGUUUUCCAAAAUUUUUUUAUUUAAUUUUAACUUGAAAUUUUUGUUCUUAUUUUUCUAUAUCUUCACUCACAUACAGUCCAAAAAUACAUGCAUUUUAAGUGGUGCAUUACUUAAACUCAAAACACUUGUUGCUGCGACUCUAUUUUUUCUGCCACAUUUGAGGUCAGUUUAAAACUUUUGUGCAUGUGAUUUACUGUCAUUGUUAUUUAAAACUAAGAAAGUGCAUUUUUUUUAGUUUAUGAAAUAAACUAUUAGUUCCGUUUCUUAACACUAUUAGUUCCGUUUCUUAACUUUGAUUAAUAAGUUAGUUCAUUUUGAAUGCACUAAAAUAUGAAAUUUCAUUUUAGCUUUUGCCUUUCUGAUUAGGAGAUGAUUGUUUGGGUAUUAUAUUGGUUGAAUGAUUGUGUAUUUAGUGGUUACGAACUAUUUACAUCUCUGUUUCAUGUAAAGAGAGGCAAAUUUUGUUAUAUAAUUUUACUUGUUUAUUUAUUCUGUUUUGGUUGGAAGAUUUGUAAUAGAGACAAUGACUAUGAUAUGAAUUAAUUAAGUUCGUGGUUGUGAGUAUUUUGAGAUUGUAUAAAGUUGAUGAUUUGUGUUUGAUUCAAGAAAGAAAUAUUUGUUUUAAGGUAGUUCUGCAUGUUGUAUUUGACGUUAAAAAGUGAUUUAUAGAAUCUUAAAAAAUGGUUUGCAAAGUGUUAUGAAGACAUUAUUUAUUUGAACUCUUAACUUUUGUUAGUUUCUUGACUUAUGAAUUAGUUCGACUCCUUAAAAAGCCAUUAGCGCUCAUCUUACCUAUUAAUCUCCUAUUUAAGUUUCAAAGCUUCUUUUGUUUCAAUUUCAGGAUUUUGUCUAAAUUAUUAUUAUAAUUAAUGAUUUAUAGGGGCUAUUAGUGAUUUUCCAGAAUUAUGAGUUUAUUAUUGCAACUAUAAUCAUAAUAACAUUGAACAUUAAAUUAAUCAUGCAAUUUAAUUAAACUUAAACUGACAUUACAUAUGUGAACAAGUAAAAUAUUUGAAAUGGACAGAACUUGGAUAACUUGUGAUAGAUUGUCUGUAGAGUAUCGUUCUGGAGUUGCUGAUUUCUUAGAUUUUGCCAUUUUGAAUAAUGAAAACCGAAUGUCAAUUAGAUGUCCUUGCACCUUUUGUUGUAAUAUGGAGUUUCAUACUCCUCAACAGGUGAAGGAUCAUUUAUUUGAAAAAGGUUUUCUCCCAAGAUAUAUUGUUUGGACUUGGCAUGGUGAGACUGACUCUAAAUCUACAUUUACAAAGUGUGAAGACCAUUCACAUAGUCAAAGAUUUAGAUGUCAUGAUUACAGUAACAUAAUUGAUAUGGUUGAAGAUGCUUACGAGCAUUGUGAUAGAGAUCAUAGUUCUUUUAAGGAUAUGCUUGAAGAUGCUGAAAAGCCUUUGUACCCGGGUGCAAAACAUUCAAAGUCAUCUAGUUUAAUGAGACUUUACAAUGUGAAAGGGAAUUAUGGGUGGUCCAAUAAAGGGUUUUCUGCUUUGUUAGAAGUCCUUGCUGAUAUUUUGCCAAAUAAUAAUACUUUACCUAAGUCAAUGUACGAGGUUAAGAAAACAAUGAAAGUGCUAGGCUUAGAGUAUGAAAAAAUACAUGCAUGUUCAAAUGACUGCAUUUUGUAUAAGAAUGAAUUUGCUGAUCUUGUUGAAUGCCCAAAUUGUGGACCAUCUAGGUAUCAAAGAGAAAAAGAUAGCUCAACAAAAUUUAGGAAAUGGGUUCCUAAAAAGGCAUUAUGGUAUUUUCCACUUAUUCGUAGGUUGAAAAGAUUGUUUCAAUCACUACAAACAGCUCAAAAUUUAACAUGGCAUGCUAAUAAAAGAAUUAGAGAUGGAAAACUUCGCCACCCAGUAGACUCACCAGCCUGACAACUAAUUGACAAUAAGUGCCCAAAAUUUGCACGAGAACCUAGAAAUCUCUGUUUAGCUCUCUCAACUGAUGGGGUUAACCCACAUAGUACACUUAGCACUACUUAUAGUUGUUGGCUUGUUAUAUUAAUAACAUAUAAUCUUCCUCCAUGGUUGUGUAUGAAGAGAAAGUUUUUGAUGUUGUCUCUUUUGAUAUUUGGCCCUGAAUAACCUAAAAAUGAUCUAGAUGUAUACCUAGCACCUUUGAUUGAUGACUUAAAAACUCUAUGAGAUGUAAGUAUUGAUGUUUAUGAUGCUUAUAGAAAAGAAACCUUUAAUUUACGGGCUGUCUUGAUGUAGACAAUCAGUGACUUUCCAGCAUACAAAAACCUCUUUGGUUGUACUGUUAAGGGCUAUUAUGCUUGCCCAAUUUGUGGGAUAGACACUUGUGCAUGUUGGCUGCCACAUAGUAGGAAAGUCUCAUAAAUGGGCCAUCGCCGCUUUCUACCACUUGGUCACCUAUUUCGAAAACUGAAAAAAGUUUUUAAUGGGAAGUAAGAGUGGAAUGAGCCUCAUAAAACUUCAUCUAGUGAGAAAAUCUUUAAUAUGGUGGAAGAUAUUGAUAUUAAGUUUGGGAAAAAGAAGGCCAAAAAGCGGAAACAUGAUGGCGGUGGUGGCAGUGAUGGUGAUGAGAACAUAACUGAAAAAUUGUACAAAAAAAAGUCAAACUUUUUUUACUUAGAUUAUUGGAAGCAUUUAUUAGUUUGCUAUCAAUUAGAUGUGAUGCACAUUGAAAAAAAUGUGUGCGAGAACAUAUAUGGCACAUUACUUCAUCAACCAGGCAAAACAAAAUAUGGGAUUAAUGCUAGAAAAGAUCUUGAGUCUUUGAAGAUCAGGGGAAAACUAAUUCCUGAUGAAACAAACAAAAAAAACAAAGUCCUACCUCUAGCUCCAUACACUUUGAGUAAAAAAAAAAUAUAUAUAGUUUUGUGAAACCUUGCUGAGUGUGAAAGUCCCUGAUAGGUAUUCUUCCAAUGUCCAAAACCUUGUUUCAAUAGAUGAUUGUCGGCUUCAAGGCCUUAAGUCCCAUGAAUGUCAUACUUUGAUGCAAAAAUUUCUACCACUAGCCAUUUGAAAUUGUUUGCCUAUAAAUGUGAGUAGGGCCAUAAUCAGGAUGUGCUUCUUUUUUAAUACAUUGUGCUGUAAAGUGGUAGAUCCUAAUACUCUUGACCAAUUGCAAGAGGAACUUGUAAACACUUUAUGCUUACUACAACAGUACUUCCCACAUAACUUUUUUGACAUAAUGAUCCAUUUAACAGUCCACGUAGUUGAACAAGUUAGGUUAUGUGGGCCUGUUUAUCUUCGAUGGAUGUAUCCUUUUGAGAGAGAAAUGAAAACUCUCAAGGAUUAUGUUCGUAAUCGCUACCGCCUUGAGGGUUGUAUUGUAGAAAGUUAAAUUGCAGAAGAAGCACUUGCAUUUUGUGCUGAGUACCUCUCAAAUUGUGAUGUUAUUAGGCUGCGUACUGGUUGUCCAAUUGAUUUAUCUGUCGAAAGACCUUUGGGAGGUGCAAACAUAAAGGUGGUUGAUGAUCCUUUGCUGGCACAAGCACACCGGUGUGUUCUAAUGAACACCCUUGAAAUCCAAAUAUAUAUCGAGUAAGUUGUUAAUUUUUCCAAAAAAAUAUUACUAUUGUAUUAUAAGAUUACUAUACUAGUUUUUAAAUCUUAAUAUGGUCUCACUGUAGGGAGCAUAUGCAUUAUUUGGCAUUAAGAAACCCCUAUAAGGCAAAAACAAAUCUGUGGUUGCAAAAUGAACACAUACGUACAUUUUCUGGUUGGUUACAAGCAAAGGUUAGAAUAACUUAACUAAAUACAAUAUAGGAUAUAAACUUAAAUAAGAUUUUUCUACAUGUAACUAAUUAUUGUACUUGUUAAUUUAAAUUAUAAGUAGCACAUGAUAAAGCAAAUAAUGUGCUGAUUGACGAAAUAGUUUGGUGGUUGGCAAACAAACCACGCUCAAGCGUGGUGACCUUCUCUGGCUACGAGAUCAAUGACUUCAAUUUUACAACGAGGGACCGAGACAGUAAUCGUGUGACCCAAAAUAAUGGUGUUAGGGUUGUCACUAACACUCUACAAAUUUCAAGCUCAAAAGAUAAAAGUCCUCAUUCUGAAGACAUGACGUUUUAUGAAGUCAUUGAUGAGAUUUGACAGCUUGAUUAUCUAAUGGUUAAAAAAACACUUUUCAAGUGUGAUUGGGUAGAUGAUAGAGGGGUUUGCACUGACAAUUUAGGUUUCACUGUAGUUAAUUUAAAUCGGAUUGGCUAUAAAUCUGAUUGCUUUAUUCUAGCUUGUCAUGCAAAACAAGUAUUUUAUGUAAAGGACCAGCUAGAUAAUAAUAAAUCAAUAGUUUGUUCAGUGACUGACAAAGCUUAUAAGUUAAAUGGGGAAAGAUGUGAAGACGUGGAUGUAUUUUCUCAAUUAUCUAACAAACUUCCAAUAUGUGAGUUGGAUGAGAAAGAUGACAAGGAAUUUAUGACAAAAAAGAUUGUGAUGCUAUUUCAAUAGAUAUUGAUUUAGAAAAUCAGUGAAUGCAUUAUUGUAGUUAGUUUCCAGCACCAAUUUUCACAGUUUUCCAGUAAGUGAUUUAUUUAUUUCAUUAUAUGUUUUUGCUCUUGUAUUAACUUAUUAAUCUAAAUGAUGUACUUAUUUAUUUUAAUCAUUUUCAGGAUUGUAGGAGAUGGCUGAAGAUGCUGAGUUCACUCUUUCGGAGCUCGACGGAAGACCAAGGAGAAGAAAACAACAAGGCUUGCAAAAAUAAGAAGUUAGUCAUGCAGGUGCAAUUGAGUACAAUUCUUAUGGUGUUUCAGUUGGAAAGGGAAGAAAUGAUCUUAGGAGUUACAUUGGAGUCAUUGUACGUGAAACAAUUUCAAUUUUACUUGAUGAUUGGAGGCGUGUGCCACUAGAGAUGAAGGAAACUUUGUGGCUUCAUUUUCAUGUUUUGUUUACUUGUUUAAUAAUAGUUUAAAGAUUUUAUAUAACUUCUAGAUUUGUUUAAAGUUGUUUCUAAUCCAUGUUAUUGGUUUACAGAAAAAUUCAAAUUGAGCUUGAAAUGCAAAAGCCAAGUGUUAAAGUGGAUGAUGGUUGCAUCAAGAAACUUUCGAAGUGAAUUGGCAACUGAAUUCAUUCUACCUAACAAGGACGAUCGAAAGUCACUAAAGUUGCCUCAUAUUGAAUAUCCGAGCAUUAAAAAGGAAGAUUGGAAACUUUUUGUUGACAAAGUUUUGUCUGAACAAUUUCAGGUGUGUUGUUUGUUAAUAUUACCUGAUUUAUUUAUUGCUAGUUACUAAUAAUCAAUGGUAACCUUUUAUUCUUCAUAUAAACUGUUUGUACAGGAAAAAAGUAAAAAGGCAAAAGACAAAAGAGCAAAGAAUGUCUACAACCAUCGCUUGGGUAGCACAGGAUACGGUGGCAUGUUGUAUAGAAAAGUAUGUGUGGUAAAUAAUCUAAUUACAGUAACAUAAGUAAUCUAAUACAUAUAAUAUAAUAGAAUCAAUUAUUUAUGUUUUAUGUCACCUUGUAACAGAAAAAUGAGAGUGGAGUUUCUGAGCGGGAGAUUGACCGCAGUGAAGCUUGGUUAAUGGCACGAGCAGAUCGAGAUGGCAAAUAUACUUCUGAUGUGACGCCAAUUGCUGAGAAAAUAGUAAGUCACUUGUAUACUUAAUUCUUAUGAAUUUUCUUUAUAAUGUGUGUGUGUGUGGGUAAAUAUUUACGUACAUAUAUAAUGCUUUUUGUAAUAAUUGUAUGGUAACAUUUACAAGUGACAGAAGCUCAAUAAUACUUUAUCAGAACUUAUUUGUUCGCAUAUAAAAAGGUUAAAACUUGUGUGCAUGUGUGUUUGUAUGUGUAAUGAAAGAGAUGUCUAGGAGAUCAAGCGCUUGUGCGAGGUGCUGUCUUAUAAUAUUUUAUGUAGUUUCAAUUUGAACUGUAUAUGGACUUGCUCUGUGUUGAAGAUUCAAGAAGGAUAUUAGUUUAGUUUAGCUGAUGUCUUGUACUCGCAAUUGCAGAUUUACAAUAUUUUUUUUUUUGUAGAAUGAGCUGAAGAGUCAAGUUGAACAAGGAACAUUCCAAUCACAAGGGUCACAUGACAUUCUAGGCGAAGCUCUUCAGAAGCAGCCAAAUGGAAGCAGGGUGCAAGGAGUGGGGCAAUUCGUCACCCCAUCUAUGUACUUUUAUGUCCCUGAUGCCACUGAGUUAGCAAGAGAAAGAAAGAUGUAUCAAGAGAGUUUCCAAUUCAUGUCUGCUCAAUUAGAACGCAUGAAUGCAAGGUUAAAUGCGUACAUCAAUACUGAAGUUGGAAGUUCUAACUUUCCUAAGCCCAAAACUUCCACUAGUGUUCAGAUUGACAAUGAUCAACAAUCCCCUAAAACUCUUGGAAAAAGAAAGGUAUAUGGCCUGUUACAUGUCAUUAUUUUAUUUCUAUCAUGUAUUACUACUAAUGGUAUGUAUUUUGAUUAUUGCAUAGGCUGAUUUCCCAUCGGGCAAGUCGACUCUAAAAUCUGUGAAGAGUAAAAUGAAGGACACUCCCACCACAAUUUCCCAAGCAACUCCUCAACAAAUCCCCGAAAAAGUAGAGUGUGAAAUUACUUCAAUUUAACAUGGUAUCAGAGCCAUACUAAAAACAAAAAUGGCGUUCUCAAGCUCAAAUCCAAACACAGCAAUCUAUGUUUCUUCAUUUACUUUCACUUCUCCUAUUAAGCUUGAUCAAUCGAACUACACAAUCUGGAAAUCUCAGAUUCUCUCUUCAGUACGUGCAAAUGGUCUUGAAGAUCAUCUUGAUAGCUCUAAAUCAUGUCCAGAUCAAUUUCUUCAAAGUGAAUCUGAGAACUCUGAAGUUGAAACUCAAACAAAUCCAGCAUUCACCACUUGGAAAAGGAAGGAUCAGAUGCUGCUGAGCUGGAUGUUGUCUUCCAUAAAUCUCGAAAUUCUCAGCCUUGUGGUAAACUCUGAAACUUCACUCGAACUUUUGACUAGUCUUGUGCAAUAAUUUGGAUCUGAAACCUUUGCUAAAAAGGUUCAUCUUAAGAUGAUGCUUAAUAAUCUUAGAAAAUGUUCAAUGUUUAUGACUGAAUUCUUUGGAAAGCUGAAAACAAUAACUGAUGAUUUAGCAAUAGCUGGAACCCCUGUUACCUCUCUGGAUUUUAUUACACAUCUGAUCUCUGGGCUAGGCCAACCAUACUACCUUGUGGUCGUGUAUAUUGAAGCAAAUCUUGCAAAAAUGACUGUUAAUGAAGCUUACUUAAUGCUUUUAACUUAUAAAGCUAGAUUAGAAGCACAUCAGUCAAAUGCUAGUAAGGAAACUAAAUUGACCUAUGCUGCAAAUGUUGCUCAAACUGGAACCAAUACUAAAUUUGGAGGACAAAAUAAUGCUAACUGGAUUAGGAAUGGAAAUAAUAAUAAUGGUGGCAGAGGAGCUUUUGGUAGAGGCUUUUCACAAGGCCGGGGUAGAGGAAAUUGGAAUGGUGUUUGGAAUAAUAAUGCCCAGCCUGGAAAUUAUCAAGGCAGAGGUGGAUAUGGUGUUAACAAUGGCAAUAACUUUGGUGCUAAUAAUGGAAAUUUUGGUGGCUUCACUAAUGGAAAAGGUGCUUCAGAUCCAAAUGGAGCUGUUGUAAUCUAUCAAAUAUGCUUUAAGCCAAAGCAUACUGCAGCUGAAUGCAGGAACAUAUUCAACAAAGAAUUUGUGCCUUAUUACAAUCCAUAUUCAGGCUAUAAUUCAUAUCAGAAUCCUGGACCAAGAGCUUUCUAUCCAAAUUCAGCACCAAGAGCUGCUUUUCUAGCAACUUCUGAAGGUGACAUGGCUGAUCAAGGCUGGUAUGUUGACAGUGGGGCAACACAUCAUCUCACCAACAGUCUGCAGAACUUGAAUCUUAGAAGAGAAUAUUCAGGUAAUCAAUUAAUGCAUGUUGGUAAUGGCCAAGGUCUGAAAAUUACACACAUUGGAUAUACUUGUCUUCCCACUUCCUGUGAUUCUUUUAUGCAUUUACAAGAUAUCUUGUGUGACCUUAUCUCACUAAAAAUCUCAUAAGCAUUUCCAAAUUACUUGAAGAUACCAAUUUAAUCAUUGAGUUUGUUGCCAAUAUGUGUUUUAUUAAGGACAAGAGGAAGGGAGUGCAUCUGGCUCAAGGGAUUGCUAGAGGAGGAUUGUAUAAGUUGCUGUCUAAGAAUGAUUUUCUCUCCAGUUCAUGUGUCAUCAAUCAUAAUCCUAGUUCUAUGCUUUCUGUUUUUAACCAGUCAGCUUGUAACUUUUCUGGUUUGUCUUUGAAUGAAGAUUGUACUCAAACAAGUAAUCCUCAUAGUAUUUUGAGCACUGUUAACCCAGUUAUGUUUGCUAAUGUGUUACACCAAAGAUUUAGUCAUCCUAAUAAACAUGCAUUGAAAGGCAUAUUAUCUUCUCUUGCACUUCCUGCAUCUAUUCCUGAUUUUUGUGAUGCUUGUCAAUAUGGUAAAAUGCAUCAACUUUUUUUCUACUCUACAAGCAUAAAAACAAAAACUCCUUUAUGGAUUGAUGUGUGGGAGCCACCUCUCUAGUGCCAAUAUACCGUGAAGUGCCAUGAAUAGUGCAAAGUGCUACAUGCAGGGUAUGUAUUUUUGAAAAAGACAAUUGAAGUUUUAAUAAGUUUGUUAUUUACUUAUUAGGCACCUAUACACGUUCAUGUGGAGCCUUUUGAUAUGUGUGGUCUUUCUUUCAAAUUAGUAGAUAACUCAUGAUCAUUAUAUGAUAUAUGAUAUAUGUAGUCUUACUAAGUAGCAACAAUUGUGGAUAUUCCUAAAAUAAGUAUGAUAAGAUUUAUUAAGUGAUUCAUGAAAUAUGAAGCCUAUGAAUGAAAGUAAGUUUAUACUCAUGCCAAUCCAUGCAUAUGCAUUGUAUAUAUUAUGUAUUUAGUUCGCUAUAUGAAAAACUAAUUUCCUUAUUGAGUUUUUUACACACAUUAUAGUUUAUUGUGACUUUCAGAUGGCUGAUGGAUCUAACGUGUGAUGGAUUUGGCAAAUCUGCUCACAUUCUUUGGUUCCCUUAAUUUUAGAAGAUUUUUUGACAUGUGUGUUUUAACUAGAUUUUGGCAAAGAGGGAAAACUAGCUAAAUACAAUGAAUUUAUAAACUACAAGGGUUGUGGUGCUUAACAUAGCUAGGUGUGUUGUUUGUUUGAACUUUCCUUGAAGCUUCAAAAAUAAUGGAAAUGAUGGGGGCUUGGAUGAAAUCUAAAUCUAGAGAGGAUUGGUUUGGAGGGCUAUGUUUAACCUGCAAAAUGGAGAAGACUAGUUACAGGUAGAGUUAGCCGUGGCUGGUGACUACACUUUGAUGCUCAAGUUAGUUUUGAAGCUAUAUUUUUGUCCCAAGAGUGGUGACUAGAGGUUGAAGAAAACCCUCAGCCUUAUUAUUGCGUAUGUUUUUAACAAGUGAGAAAAAUAUAACUUGAGCAUCUUUAUGUAAAGCACUUGGGGUUACAUCUUUCACCAUGCCACCUAGUGCAUUUCUAUUGGUGUUAUUUGUUGCCUUGGUAAGGAUAUUUCUAUCAUUUUACCCAUACGACCUUUUGGCCCUUUAAAGCAUGCUCAGAGAGUAAGUUGGCGUGUUAUUUUCAUUAUUACACGUGUUGGACUCUACUAGGUGGUCCAGCAUGUCUUUACAAAGACCACCCUGCAAUUAAUGGUGUGUUAAUUAGGACAAAUGAUCCCAACUAUUUUAAUGAGCCGUUUUUGGCUUUUUUACAAGUGUGGCAACCUACUAUUCCCUCUUUCUAAGUAGUUCCUUAUUGUCCGGUGUUUUCCUACCUAUUGUUGUCUUGCUUCUCUGAUUGUCCAGUGUUUAAAUAUAUACAUGUAAAUAUUCCCUUUUUGACUUGUAUACAUAUUACUUCUUGUAUUUUAAGCCUUGUAUCAGCUAUUAGGACUGUGAAAGUCUGCUUCACCAGAAAGCCUGAUCAAAUAAGGGUAUUUAUCUGCCACUUCCUACUGUUAAAAUUUUUCAUUGUUAGUCAAAUGGUACGAAAUGCCUUAUGUGUAGAGGCGGUAACCAAGAUUCAGAACUCUUAAUAUGCAUGAGUUCAUUUAUUUCUUAUUGUUUUCAUUCCAACUUCCAUUUUUGGCAAAUGUUUCCUUUGUUUAACACCUCAUUGAGUGGAAUAAGUUUUAGUUUGCAUGAGAGAAUUAACUACCGGAAUUCCACUGUAAACUUUUCUUUAGCUGCAAGAUCAUGCAAUGAUGAGUACGAAGCUUGGGAGCUUCUUAUUGAGCUGGUUGAUGGAUUUUUUAAGGUACUAUAUUUGACCAUUAAAGUCUGAUCCAUUAAUUGCCCCUAUUAUAGUCUUAAGCCAUGUGACUGUACAUUAUAAUUAUUCAAAAAGGUGCACUUUAACAUUCCCCUCACGUGUAAGGCUGGCAAAUGAUAAUCAAACAACAAUGUGAACAACACGCAGAGCAAAUAUUAGUAACCAAAUAAAGUACAGAAAUAGGGUUGGCCAAUACCGGGAUUGCUCUACCCUAGGUAUGUAACAUUAUUUAGUACUCUAUUUAGUUUACUAAUUUUAUUUGUGCCAAUCUGAAAACUUAUAAUUCAAGUGCUAACUUUCUCUCACUAUUUUUCAACCUUUUAUUGAAGUGAUCAAGAAGACGUUGGGAGUUGAGAUCAUGCAAAAAGGGGGUGUUCUAUGAGUUGUUUUGUUCUUUUCCUAGCUUAUCCCUUCUAUCUCUACUUAAUUGAAUAUUAAAAAUCCAAAUUAAAUUUUGUGUAUGUUUGGGAAGGAAAUAUGAGGCCAAUGAUGAAGCGCCACGUGUCGAUAUUUAAGAGAUUAAUUUAUCUCGGGUACCUUAGGUACCUCGGGUAUCCUAGGUACGCCGGCUACCCUAAGCACUCCAGGGGUACCUCGGGUACACCAUGAGAGGAUACAAAAGUCUUCGUAAAUAUGUGAAGGGAUAUGUGGGCCCCGAAUCUCAAAAAGACCGGUUUGAUACGUGUCAAAAAAUAAGGAAAUCUCGUGCCGCAAAGGAGGAGACAGCGGCCUGUCACGCCAGCGAAUCCGCUAAAAGUGUGAUAUUGUGACAGUUGGGACCACCAACUUUUCCUGCUACGCCUGCAAAAUUACAACGGAAUUGCAGAGGUACGCGGGACCACUCCACUACGCCCAGCACGUGAAUACGCCACAAACUUGCUCUCCACUCAUAAUUUUGAAACGUUUAAACCGCCAUACACAUGAAAAUAAGAAUAUUACUGACAUGACAAUAGGCAAGGCCACUAAAAUAGCGCCAGGUGGCACGACAACCGGGGUACACCAUAUAAAUACUCAGGUUUGAUUUUUAUCAAGGAGGUAAACACACUCACCACCAAAGAAACUAGGGGUUUCUUCAACCUCAAAACCUCCAUUACCGAGAGCUUGUAAGCUCUCUAACCUGAGAUAACCCAACUCUGACUUGAGCGUAGGAGUGUCGUCGCCGACCACCCUCGGCUCCACCUCUGACCUCUUUUUUGGUUGUUUCGCAGGUUUAAGGCGAGUUUCACCAGCCCUCCACACCUGAAGUCAGCCCUCCUCCAUAUCCACCGCCAUCUCAAUCCUCCUCCACUCCACAAAAAGCCUAAACAGCCUGCACGUGCUGAACAAGCAAGGUACCCCACUCCCCGAAAAAAAUAUAAAUUUAUUGCUCUUGGGUUGGUUUUGUGGUUUUUUAUUCAUUGACCCAAAAUCAACCGCAAACAGUGUACAUUUUUUCAAACAUUUAUUGCAGUGACAACCAAAUGUUCAAUAUGUUUCUAAAGAUAUUGGGAAUAUUGGCACUUGAGGAGUGUUUAAUCCUUGUUUUAGCUCUUUAUUUAUUUAUUUAGCUUCGUUUAUCAUUUUUAUUAUUUACGACAAACAUGCUUAAGUGUUUUUUUUUUUUGGAUACUCUGACUAAUUGGGUGUACUUUUGCCUAUAGGAUAUAACCUCUGAAAGUUCUGUAAAAGUAUUUUCUAGCAACUAUUCUAUAUAUCUGCUUCGGGAUGCAUGGCCAUAUGUAGAGAAACGCAAGCUUUUUCUUUAUUUUUUCCACAAAUUUUUACACUUGAAUUAUGGUCGAUCUCUAUGUUAUAUGAGUUAAUUCUAUGCUUAACUCCUCUCACUUAGUCAUUUGUUUGGUUACAGAAAGGCUACAUGGAUUCUUCUUAAUUGUCAUUUUCCAAUCUUAAAGGGAGCUUUAUUGUCGUGAUCUCAUGGACUUCUCAACUCGUUGUUUUAGUUGAUCGUGAUUAAUAUUGGAAUUAUUUUCUCCUAAAUUAGCCCUCUGUUGUGUCUGUCUUUGUCCUCUCCAUCUCUUUAUCUCUCUGUAUGUAAUUGUUUGGGUUAAUCUUCUUUUCCCAAUAACAGCUAUUUAUUUGGUUGUAGUGAUGCAUGGUGGUGCCUUCUUCCUUUUUUAUUUUUAUAAUAUUUUAAGUAGAAUCAGGUGUCGCGGAUUUCUCCAAAAAAAAAAAAAACUAUGAGUUUUCAAAGAAUAUUGAGAUAUUAUGCACUAGUCAAAGGGCCUGAUAUUCAUCUCUUUCCAUAGUUUCUUUUCAAACACUUUAAAUUCAACUUAUUGUUUCGUGAUUUCUUUCGUAAUAUGGCCUGUUAGAUGAAUUCUUGGGAAUAUUUUGAAGGCGGUGUGCUAUUUUCCACUUUGUUGUAUUUUAGUAUCGGAGUCAGUGUUCUCACGUUCUUGUUUGGUAUGUGUGCUUGCUCCACAAGGAAAAGAUUUAAGCAUGGUCUCUUAUCAAAUGCUGCUUAAAUAUCAAUUUUUGCUACUGAAAUUAUUAGUUUCUCUGAUCUUAAAGAGAAAAACUGUUGUUGUGGACUUUUUCAAUUCAUUGUUGGAGCAGCUAAGGAAUAUUUGGAUUAUUUUCUCUUAAUUUAGUUUUCCCUUAAUUUUCUCUUUGUUUAGCCAGUCUCUCUCUGUGUGUGAUCUUUUGGUUAAGUCUUUUGCCCAAUUUGUGUGAAGUUUUUUUGCUAAAGAGAAUGACUCAAGUGCUGACAAACUCUUGAGGUCAAUUGAAUGACUUGGAAAAUCCUUAUUUGUCAAUUAUCCAAGAGCCUACUGUUUCGAGGAUUACUCGGUCAUAAUGUUAUUCUUCUUGCAAGCGGCGAUACACUUUUCAUUCCUGAAGGCUGGUAUGAUUAAACACUAAAUUUUUACGACAAGGGUUUCCUUUGCCUGCAUCAAAAUCAAGAAUCUCUUUGUGGUUAGCUUUUCUUUCUUAAUUUGAUUAAUCACAUAUUGUUUUGUUAGUUUAUUCUGGAGUACGCUUACCACUGGUCGAUUGUUUCAGGACUUGAUGCAGGCAAAAUGAGACUUGACGGGUGCUAAAUCAAGCUUCUGCUUGUUUGUAGCGUAUUCGCAUGUCAGGUUUUCUCUUCACUUUUAAGAAGGCUGUGGAAUCAAGUAUGCAGCAAGGAACAUGUGCUUUUAGAUUUUGAAUACUUUUUUUCUUUUCUUUUCUUUUUUCAGUUCUUUCUCAUAGUUUUACUCCUAUAUAUAUCUGUUUGAUCCAUAAGUUUUAUGGCUUAUUUUUUCAAUUUUGUGAACUCUUAUUAUAGUGAUAGACGAACGGUCUUAGAACGUCUGUGAAUCUUACUGUCUGGUUUACUUAUCUCCCAAUUUGAUUAAAUUUUGGUAUAAGAUUAGCUCACAAACAUGAUUGUGUAUAUGACUUUGUUCUAUUUUCCCAUGGCUUUUAAGGAUAAAUUAUUGCUACUGUUUACAGUUUUAGGAUAACCCUUGUGCUGAAUCUAUGACCGCAGUCUGCCAAAGUUCUUGGACUCGUGGAUGAGGAAUUAACAUUUUAUAUUGCAUAAGACUUUGGUUUAAGCUGACGUUGAAUGAAAAUAUGUUAUAAUUUUUACUAUUUUUUGUUUUUUUAUUUCAAGUUUAUUAUGUUAUUCCAGAGUUUGGUUGGAAAAACUUAAAUCUUAUAGACUUGGAAAGAUUUCUUAUCUUUUUUUAUUAACUUUUGCAAUUUAUGUUGGGUCAAGUAAUAUUUCGGUUCUUUUAAAAAAAAAAAGGUAAUAUUUUUUGGUUGGUUCCCUUGAUUUUUUAAUAAAGUUUUACAAGUCAGUAGCUUUCUUUUUCCUUCAUUUGAUGAUACUUCAAGUUUCUUUUGAUUAACUUAGAUGAACUACAAGGACUUUCAUCUCCUAACUCUGUUUCGUUGAUUCUGGUUAUGAUAUAGUUUCGUGCAAUAUUGUUUUUUUUUUUUUUACUAGUAAGAGAUCUUUAUUAUCUACUGUAAUUAAUGUUAGAUAAUUUUUAUUUUUAUUUUUUUACUACUUUAUUUAAUCAAGUUGUAUUCCUUUUUUUUUCCUUAGCUGGUAAGUAAAGAAAGCUUGUUUUUUAAUAUUUUUUUAUAUUGAUAUUACAAUCAAAAGUCCAUAUAUGAUGGCAAUGAAAAUUUGUAAGUUCCGACAGGAAGUCGACACGUGUGCUAGGAUAUGCAAAGGACGAAAAUGACGGGGUUGCCCAUGAGGUACAAAGGGUUUAAAUUUUGCGUGCGUAAAUUUAGGAUUAUAAUUCUUUCAUAAUCUGAUCGUAUUCUAAGUAAAUAUUUACUUAUUGAUUAAUAAUAAAAUUUAAAUUCAAUAAAACUAAAAUGCCUGCCUUUUUUUAUUACUUGUGGUAAAAAAAUUCAAUACGGUUCACACCGUAUAUGAACACAUAAUUUACUUAUUGAUUAAUAAUAAAAUCCACAAGUAAUAAUUUACUUAUUGAUUUUAGCUGUGAAAAUGGUAUUUGUCCAAAUCACCAGCAUAAUCAGAAUCAACGUACCCGAUCACACCUUGACUAAGUGUAUCGUCUCUCUCAAACAGUAAACCAACAUCCAUGGUCUUAUGAAUGUACCGUAGAAUCCAUUUCACAGCUUGCCAAAGUCCUUUACCAGGAUUAUGCAUAUACCUGCUCACUAUACCUACUGCAUGUGAAAUGUCAGGCCUUGUACAAACCAUUGCAUACAUUAAGCUACCCACUGCAUUUGAAUGCGGAACUUGUAACAUGUAUUCUCGUUUCGCAUCUGUUGAAGGAGAUAAUUGUGCAGAAAGCUUAAAAUGAGAAGCUAAUGGGGUACUCACAGGUUUUGUCUGCUCAGACAUGCCAAACUACUGUAGUACCUUCUUCAAAUAUUACUUCUGAGACAAGCUUACUUUGCCACGAGCUCUAUCUCUACAUAUCUCCAUGCCAAGAAUCUUCUUAACUUCACCUAGAUCUUUAAUUUCAAAUUCUUGAUUGAGUUGAGUCUUCAACUUCUCAAUCUCAUCUUUGUUCUUCGAUGCUAUUAGCAUAUCAUCGACAUACAAUAGCAAAUAAAUGAAAGAUCGUUCUUGUAGCUUGCGAAAAUACACACAAUGAUCAAAUUUGUUUCUUGUGUACCUUUGUUCUUUCAUAAAUCGAUCAAAUCGCUUAUACCACUGCCUCGAAGAUUGUUUCAAUCUAUAAAACGACUUUGUCAAUUUGCAAACCCAAUUUUCAUUUCCAGCAACCUGAAAUCCAUCUGGCUGAGUCAUGUAGAUUUUCUCUUCCAAAUCACCGUGUAAAAAUGCAGUUUUUACAUCAAGUUGAACUAGUUCAAGAUCAAAUUGUGCAACCAUGGCUAGCAAAAUUUGAAUAGACGAGUGUUUUACAACUGGAGAAAAUACCUCAUUGUAGUCUAUUCAUUCCUUCUGAGCGUAACCCUUCGCUACCAAUCUAGCCUUGUAUCGAAUUUCAUUUUUACGAGAAAAUCCUUCAUUUUUUGCAUAUACCCAUUUGCACCCAAUUGCCUUCUUUUCCUUGGGCAGUGUAACUAACUCCCAAGUUUCAUUUUUGUGAAGAGAUUGCAUUUCUUCGUUCAUUGCUUUCUUCUAUUGUAUACUUUCUGGGUUACUUAUUGCUUCUUUGUAAGUGGAAGGAACAUCAUCAUUUACAAUAGGAAGUGCAUAAGCCACCAUAUCAACAAAGCGAGCAGGUCUGCGAAUCUCUCUACGUGGCCUUCUAUAUGCAAUUGAAUCUUGUUGUUGUGAAGGUUCCUGGGUCAGAACCUCUUCAUCAUCAUCGGUCGAUGGAGAAUCAUUAUUUGUCUCAUCGACACCAGCUGGAUCAGAUUUAACUUUUUCAAACUCCAUCUGCUGCAAAGUUCUACUGGUCUUCUCAUUCUCUUGAGAAUCGUUUUGUUUCAACAUGGCUGAUUCAUCAAAAGUUACAUCUCUGCUGAAAAUAAUCUUCUUCGUAACAGGACACCAGAGACGGUAUCCUUUUACUCCACCAGUUAGACCCAUAAACAAUGCUUUCUUUGCUCUUGGGUCUAACUUAGAUUCCUUUACAUGAUAAUAAGCAGUGAAACCAAAAACAUGUAAAGAAUCAUAAUCAGUAGCAGGUUUACCAGUCCACAUCUCCAUGGCUGUUCUGCCCUUAACUGUAGUUAAUGGCAAACGGUUGAUCAGAUGGCAUGCAUAUACAACUGCCUUAGCCCAAAACUCUUUGCUCAAUCCAGCAUUGGACAACAUACACCGAACUUUCUCUAGUAUAGUCUGGUUCAUGCGUUCUGCCACCCCAUUCUGUUGUGGUGUAUCUCGAAUAGUGAAGUGUCGCACAAUACCUUCAUCUUGGCAUAUUUGAAGAAAUUGAUAAUUCUUGUACUCACCACCAUUGUCUAAGCGAAGUCUUUUGACCUUUCGACCAGUCUGAGUCUCGACCAUUUUCUUUCAUUUCAGAAAUAAGCCCAAAACUUCAUUUUUGUUCUUCAUCAAAUACACCCACACUUUUCUUGAAUAAUCAUCAACAAAAGUAACAAAAUAGUGCAUACCUCCCAAAGAAGCUAUUUUGGUAGGUCCUCACACAUCAUUGUGAACAUAGUCCAGAAUCCUUUUUGUGUCGUGAAUUGUUGAACCAAACUUUACCCUUGUCUGCUUGCCCAGAUCACAAUGUUCACAAAAUUCUAAUUUGUAAGAAUUUGUACCUUUUAAUAAGCCCUGCUUCAUCAAAGUCUGCAAAGCUUUUUCACCAGCAUGUCCCAAACGCAUAUGCCACAACUUGGUUGCUUCUGAAUAUGCAUUUUUUCCAGAAACUGUUGAUGCUGAUACAAUAACUGUAUUUCCUUGGAAAUAAUACAAGUUAUUUCUUCUUGUGCCUUUCAUCACCAUCAGCACCCCAACUACUACCUUCAAUAAUCCAUCUCUCAAAGUGAUUGUGAGCCCUUUAGAUUCUAGGACUCCUAAUGAGAUAAGAUUUUUCUUCAAGCUUGGUACAUAGCGAACGUCCGUCAAGACUUGGAUUGAGCCAUCAUGAUUCUUUAUUGGAUUGUACUUAUUCCCAUGGUUUUACAAGCAUUGUCAUUACCCAUAAAAACAACUCCACCGUCUAGCUCUAUGAAGUUAGAAAACCAGCCCUUGUUAGGACACAUAUAAUAAGUAUAACCCAAAUCCAAAAUCCACUCAUCUGAGUGACAUAUCAAUGUCAUGCCAACCAGACUAAAGUCUGACUCCUCAUCAUGCUCUGCUACACAUGCAACAGAAGUAGCCUUGCCCUUUUGUAACUUAGGAUAAUUUUUUUUCCAAUGCCCUUUCUCGCGACAAAAAGCACAUUCAACUUUGGCAGGUUUCCCUUUAGACUUGCUCCUUUUUCCAGGUUUGCGGCUUUACGAACGACCUUUCGCUGUCAAUGCUUCUGCAACUGUAUCUCUGUGAUCUUUUUUGUCUUUCUUUUUGGUCUUAGAGUUGUACAAUGCACUGCAUACAACAUCGAACGUAACAUUGUCUUUCCCAUGAAGCAAAGUGGUAGUGAGAUGAUCAUAUUCAUCAGGAAGGGAAUUCAACAACAAUAAUGCCUUAUCUUCAUCUUCAAAUUUCUCAUCCAAAUUUAGCAAAUCUGCCAAUAUUUUGUUGAAUGAGUUCACAUGGUCAUUCAUUGACAUGUCAGGUGUAUAUGUGAAUCGAUAGAGUUUCUUCUUCAUAUAAAGCCUAUUUUCAAGACUUUUCAUCAUAUACUUUUCUUCCAGUGUCUCCCACAAUUUCUUUGCCGAUGUCUCCCUCAUGACAGAAUAUUUCUGAUCUUUAGCCAGACAUAGGCGAAUAGUACCACAUGCCUGUCUAUUGAUUUUUAUCCACUUGUUGUCAUCCAUCACGUCAGGCUUUUCUUCAAGAGCAACGUCCAACUCUUGCUGACAUAAGACAUCCAACACCUCACAUUGCCACAUACCAAAAUUAUUGGUACCAUCAAAUUUCUCCACUUUAAACUUUGCAUUAAUCAUAGUAUUCAUCACUGAUGAAGACGACGACGAUGCCUCUGCCAUCUUUUUUUCUCAAAUGAUCAGUUUCUUCAACAACUAUUUACACUUAAAAAACAGCCUUUAUAAUGUUUAUUUCGCGUGAAUAAAUGCAUUAGGAAAGUUCCCAGGAGACCGUUCCCAAUUAAGAACCAGAAUCCUUAGACUCUUAUCGUCUUGUUGACAAUAACUUUCCUAGACAUGCAAAAAUACACACUACUUACAAUAGACUGUCUCCACCGUAUUUGUGAACAGAACUGUAUACAAGAAUAGUACCGUAUACAUGAACAGUACUGUAUCCCCCCAAGUAUGAACCGUCGGCUCUGAUACCAAUUGUUGCGGAAACGUGAGUUGAGCAAUUACUAAUAUUGCAACUUCUGGAGAAAUAUAAAUAUGGUGAUAAACAAAUGCAAAGAAAAUAAGACACAAUAAUUUACGUGGUUCGGCGUAAUGCCUACGUCCACGGGCAAAAGCUGGAAGAUAAUUUUAUAACAAAUGAGAAUUUACAAAAGUGGAAAAAACUCACAAAACCCACAACCCCAAUACACCCAAAUGGAACCUCACUAGAACACUCAAGUGGAAGCUCUCACAUAUUCUCUCAAAGAACUCACUUGCAAUUGCUCUCUACUUCUCUCAAAUUUGGGAUCCUUACAAUUGCAAAAUGCUUCUCUAUUUAUAGAGUGCAUUCUGCACCAAGUUGGGUUCAAUUGGUCAAAACGUUAAGCUAGAUCUUGUAUUGCAUGCACAAGCUUUUCAACACCUAACUUUGUCUUUUGAAAAUUAGCAAGCUGACCAACUUUGCUUUUUUGAAUUUGGCAAACCCACCAACUUUGCCUUUUGAAAUUUGCAAGCCAUUCUUUGACUUUUCAACAAAAAAGACACAUUUCAAUGCAUUAAAGACAAAUUACAUUGUAUUGGAGUAUGUGUUUAUUUUAACCUUUUAAAUUGUCUUUAAUUUUAUUAAGCAAGUGAUUCUCUUAUUGUAAAAUUGCUGGGUACACAUACAAAUAUCCCAAAGUUCUUAAGGAAAAAUGUAAGUUCACAAUGAAAUUUAGCUUUUUUCUUAAAUUAAGGAUGAAAGUUGUAUAUUCACAUAAAUGGUGAAAUCCAGCAUUUUUUCUUUUCUUCCUCACCCCCCCGGGCCGCAAAUUAAAGAUGAAAUCAAUCUCAGCUCGUCAUUUAAUUAUAAAUUCACUUUGCUUUAUUUUAGUCUUUUUCGUUCUAGGAUUUUGAAGUUUUUCGACCGACUGGAGUACCGUACUACUGUCCAAAGAUUUGGCUACAGCAUCUAGAAGCUGCAUCUAGAAGUUUUGAAGAAACAAAAUGAGUGGCACACGGCUUUGAAGUUCUAGAUGCUGAAAUACUUGAAGAGGAAAAUGGAAAAAGAAGAAGUUUGAAGAAGAAAAUGAGGAACGCGAUUUUGACAAGAGAAAAAAAAAUUAUUAUUUUAAUAGCCAAUUUUGGCUAUAAAAAGGGGAGUUCCCCAUCGGCUUAGUGUAUUCUAUUCUUUAAGUUUUUCUUCUCUAUUUUGUAAAGAGAAAGAGAAAGUGAGAGUAUUUUAAGAGUUUUAAUAAACUCUUAAGUAAUUAGUGAGUGAGAGAUUAGGUGUAUUGGGGUUUUGGGUAGUGAGCCAAAAUAUUACAAUACUUGUAAUCCUCAUAUCACUAGUGAAAUAUUUUCCUUCUGUUUUCGCCCGUGAACGCAGGCUAAAAGCCGAACCAUGUAAUUUUCUAGUGUCCCUUUUUAUGCUUGUUCUUUAUUUUCUUCCAAUUUCACUUUACCUGCGGCUCUGCUUCACCCACCAAUUUCCUAACAGUGGUAUCAGAGCUAUUGGUUGUAUUUUUGGAGUCGGUUACUAUUCACAUAAGGGGUAUUAUUUACGCAUACAGUACUGUUUACAUAUAUGAUACUAUUCAUGUAUACAACACUGUUCACGUAUACGGUAUUGUUCAUAUAUAUAGUACUGUUCACGAGAAACGAUGAGAGCAAUCCAAGAAUUUUACAGUGCAAAGUAGGGAAUAGUGGUGUGAGUAAAGCAACUGUGUGGUUUUGUACUUGUCCAGGAAAGUUCUAUCACAAAGGCAAUAAUAGCUUAAGGAGUCUGAGUUUUAAGUGGGACCAUUGUGACCCCUCUAGUCUUUCCUGAAAACUUUCUUGGUGUGCAUUCUCACACAUACUCACAACUAUUCAGGGUGGUACACUAGUUUGUGUGUGGUACUUAUCAACAAAAUGGCGGCAAAGUAUGAAAUUGAGAAGUUCAAUGUGAAUAAUUUUUCGUUGUGGAAAAUGAAGAUGAAAGCUGUAUUGAGGAAAAAUAAUUGCUUGGCAGCAAUUGGAGAAAGGCCUAUGGAGAUAACUGAUGACAAGUGGAACGAGAUAGAUGGUAACGCCAUUUCUGAUCUACACUUGGCACUUGCGGAUGGAGUAUUAUCCAAUGUGGCUGAGAAAAAUAUAGCGAAGGAAAUAUAGGAUACUCUUACAAAAUUGUACGAGGUCAAAUCACUACACAACAAAAUCUUCUUAAAGAGAAAACUCUAUACUCUUCGAAUGAUGGAAUCUACAAUGGUGACCAACCACAUCAACACCUUGAAGACUCUAGUUUCACAACUCACAACGUUGGGUCAUAAUAUAGAGGAAAAUGAACGUGCAGAGCUUCUACUUCAAAGUCUACCAGAUUCGUAUGAUCAACUCAUCAUCAAUCUAACAAACAAUAAUCUAGCGGACAAUCUAAUUUUUGACGAUGUUGCAACCUCCAUAUUAAAUGAGGAGAGCAGGCGAAAAAAUAAGAAAAAUAGACAAGCAAGUUCGCAGCAAGUGGAGGCGCUAUCGAUGACGAGAGGGAGAUCAACGGAACGUGGCCCCAGUGGGAGUCACAAUAAUGAUAGAUCAAAAUUCAGAAGUAAGAAGAAUGUUAAAUGCUACAACUGUGGCAAGAAAAGGCACGUUAAGAAAGAGUGUUGGAGUAACCAGAAGAGAAAAGAUGGCAAAGAACCUGAGUCAUCAAAUGCUCAGGGGUGUGUAGCAAGUACCUCGGAUGAUGGCGAAAUUCUCUACAGCGAGGCAACAACUGUUUUAGAAGGCAGAAAAUGAUUAUCUGAUGUCUGGCUUAUAGACUCAGGAGCUACCUGGCACAUGACCUCUCGGAGAGAAUGGUUCCACACAUAUGAACCUAUCUGAGGAGGAUCUGUAUAUAUGGGUAAUGAUCAUGCCUUGAAGAUCGCUAGUAUUGGUACUAUCAAAAUAAAAAUAUUUGAUGGUAUAAUUUGUACAAUUGGGGAGGUACGACAUGUCAACGGCCUGAAGAAAAAUUUAUUGUCUUUGGGACAAAUGGAAUGGGUACAAAACUCAUGUGGAGAAUGAAAUUAUGAAGAUCUUUAAAGGCGCGCUUGUAUUGAUGAAGGCAGAAAAAAUCGGUGCUAAUCUAUUCAUGCUUAAAGGAAAAACACUACAUGAGGCUGAUGCGUGUGUCAUGUCAAAUGGAGAAGAAUCAACGAUGAUGUGGCACCUCAAACUUGGCCACAUGUUAGAACAAGGUUUGAAGGUUCUCUUUUAGCGAAAAUUGCUUCCAGGGCUCAAAUCGGUAAGUUUACAAUUUUGCGAGCAUUGUGUUACAAGUAAGCAGCAUAGAUUAAAAUUCAGUAUAUCUAUUGCUAUAAGUAAAUGCAUUCUAGACUUGAUUCAUUAUGAUGUUUGGGAAUCGCCGGAUAUGUCAAUGGGAGAUGCAAAGUACAUGGUGACUUUCAUUGAUGAUUAUUCCAGGAGAUGUUGGGUGUAUCCAAUUAAGAAAAAUUCUGAUGUAUUUCCAGUGUUUAAAGAAUACAAAUCGCGGGUGGAACUUGAAUUCGGAAAAAUGAUCAAGUGCUUGAGGACGGAUAAUUAUGGAGAGUAUACAGACGGUGAGUUUCUUGCUUUUUGUAAGCAAAACAGUAUUCAGAGGCAGUUCACGGUAGCAUAUACUUCUCAACAAAAGGGAGUGGCAGAGCGGAUGAACAAGACUCUUACAGAACGAAUAAGAGCUAUGUUGAGGACUACGGGUCUACCUAAUUCAUUAUAGGCAGAAGCAGCUAAAACUGCUUGUUAUAUAGUAAAUCGGUCGCCAUCUACAACUAUUGGGUUGAAGACAGCGAUGGAAAUGUGGACUGGAAAGCCAGCUGAUUACUCACACCUACAUGCAUUUGGAUGUCUCGUGUACGUGAUGUACAAUGCUCAAGAAAGAGCAAAGUUGAAUCCAAAAUUUAGAAGAUGUAUCUUCUUGGGAUAUGUUGAUGGAGUAAAGAGGUAUCGUCUGUGGGACCCCACUGCCCACAAUAUCGUCAUCAGCAGAGAUGUUAUCUUUGUAGAAGAUCAACUGCAAAUGAGAGAUAAGGAUGAUAGCACUGUAAAAGAAAAGUCAGAGACUGUGCCGGUAUAUGUGAAAAAUAAUUCAGAAGAUUCAGAUUCUUCUGAAGCAGCACCAGAGCACGAGGAACAAGAACCAGUCAAGUCCGAGGCUCCAGAAGUUUGUCGGUCAACUCGUGAGAGACGACCGCAAGUGUGGCACUCGGAGUAUGUCACAAAGAUCAAUGUUGCAUAUUGUCUUCUAACAGAGGAUGGAGAGCCUUCAACUUUCUAUGAAGCUUUAAACAACUUAAAUGUUACUUUGUGGAUGACAGCAAUGCAGGAAGAAAUUGAGGCUCUACACAAGAAUAAGAUAUGGGAACUUGUACUACUACCACGUGGAAGAAAAGCUAUUGGAAAUAAAUGGGUCUAUAAGAUCAAAUGUGAUGGCAAUGACCAAGUGGAACGGUAUCGUGCAAGAUUGGUGGUGAAAGGAUAUGCUUAGAAAGAAGGUAUUGACUUCAACAAAAUAUUUUCUCCGGUAGUUCGACUCACAACAAUCAGAGUAGUCUUGGCAAUGUGUGCUACAUCUGACCUACAUUUAGAGCAGUUAGAUGUGAAAACUGCAUUUCUUCAUGGAGAACUUGAAGAAGAAAUUUAUAUGCUCCAACCAGAAGGUUUUGCAGAAAUAGGAAAAGAGAACUUGGUUUGCAGGUUGAACAAAUCUCUGUAUGGUCUCAAACAGGCACCGAUGUGUUGGUAUAAGAGAUUUGAUUCCUUCAUCAUGAGGCUUGGAUACAACAGACUCAGUUCAGACCAUUGUGCAUAUUACAAGAGGUUUGAAGAUAAUGAUUUCAUUAUUUUGUUGUUGUACGUGGAUGACAUGUUGGUAGCAGACCCCAACAAAGAUCGAAUCUAAUAAUUGAAGGCAUAGUUGGCUAGAGAGCUUGAAAUGAAGGAUUUGGGACCAGCAAACAAGAUUUUAGGGAUGCAAAUUCACCGAGACAUAAAUAACAGGAAGAUUUGACUUUCACCGAAGAAUUACUUGAAGAAAAUCUUGUCGCGCUUCAACAUGCAAGAUUGUAAGUCAAUUUCUACCCGACUUCCUGUUAAUUUCAAGUUAUCCUCAAGUAUGUAUCCUAGCAAUGAAGCAAAGAGGAAGGGAAUGUCUCAAGUACCGUAUGCAUCAGCAGUGGGAAGUUUGAUGUUCGCUAUGAUAUGUACUAGGCUAGACAUUGCACAAGCAGUGGCAGCAGUUAGUUGAUACAUGACGAAUCCUGGUGGAGAGCAUUGGAUAGCUCUGAAGAGGAUUCUGAGAUACAUAAGAGGAACCUCAGAUGUUGCAUUAUGUUAUGGAGAAUCAGAGUUUACUGCCAGGGGCUAUGUGGAUUCAGAUUUUGCAGGAGACCUUGAUAAAAGAAAAUCCACUAUUGGCUAUGUGUUUACACUUGCGGGAGCAGCUGUAAGCUGGGUUUCAAAACUACAGAUUGUUGUGGCUCUAUCUACAACAGAAGCAUAAUACAUGGCAGCUACACAAGCUUGCAAGGAAGCUAUUUGGAUACAAAGGUUAUUGGAGGAGCUCGGGCACAAACAACAGAAAAUUCCUGUGUUUUGUGGUAGUCAGAGUGUCUUGCAUAUUGCAAGGAAUCCAGCCUUUCAUUCCAGGACAAAGCACAUAGGGGUUCAGUAUCACUUCGUUCGCGAAGUAGUGGAAGACGGAAGUGUGGAUUUACAGAAAAUCCAUACGAAGGAGAACCUAGCAGAUGUUUUGACCAAGCCGAUCAAUGUUGACAAGUUUAUCUGAAGUAGAUCCUCUUGUGGCCUAGCAGAAACGUAGGCAACAUGGCAAUGGCGAAGCAGAAAGGAUGAAGUGGAGAUUGAUUAAUUCUCAAUCAAAUCUCCAAGUGGGAGAAUGUAAAAAGAUUUGGCUGCAGCAUCUAGAAGCUGCAUCUAGAAGUUUUGAAGAAGCAAAAUGGGGGGCACAUGACUUUGAAGUUCUAGAUGCCGAAAUGCUUGAAGAGGAAAAUAUGAAAAGAAGAAGUUUGAAGAAGAAAAGGAGGAACACGGUUUUGACAAGAGAAAAAAAAAUUAUUAUUUUAAUAGUCAAUUUUGGCUAUAAAAAGGGGAGUUCCCCAUCGGCUUAGUGUAUUUCAUUCUUUAAGUUUCUCUUCUCUAUUUUGUAAAGAGAGAGAAAGUGCGAGUAUUUUAAGAGUUUUAAUAAACUCUUAAGUAAUUAGUGAAUAAAAGGUUGGGUGUAUUAGGGUUCUGGGUAGUGAGCUAAAAUAUUACAAUACUUAUAAUCCUCAUAUCACUAGUGAAAUAUUUUUCUUUUAUUUUCACCCGUGGACGCAGGCUAAAAGCCGAACAACGUAAUUUUCUGGUGUCCCUUUUUAUGCUUGUUAUUUAUUUUCUUCCAAUUUCACUUUACCUGCGGCUCUGUUUCACCCACCAAUUUCUUAACAACUGCAACAUGCUAUUCAAAUCAAUUAAUUUGCCCCCGCAGCUCCACGUGCUGCGAAUACGUGGCUUAACUUGACAUAUAAUUGUUGUUACGGCUGGUGUAACAUUGCAGGACCCUUAAUUAAAAGAUUACAGAUUAACAGCUGUUGAAUGUUGAUGUUGAAUUUCCACAUCGAUAUUGGAAUUUAAAAUAAAUGAAUUUUAUGUAGCUAUAUUGCCUGUAGGGGAAGACAUAAUAAAUUAAUUGAUAUUGCCAGCAAAUUAUUAAUUCGGAUCCAAGUACAGGGCUAGCUAUCGGAAUUAAUUAAGAUUAAUUGGUCAUCUUUCCGAAUUUUUAAUCCAUUCCCAUGUGAACCGAAAACAUGUUAAUUAAUGGAAAUCAAAUAUUUAAAAAAAUAGUAAUUAACUAAUAAUUUAUAACUGUCAAAUUAAUUAAUAGUUUAUCUACAAUUAUUUUGUUUAUUUUUAUUAUUAGCCAAUAAUUUAUAACUAGCAAAAUAAUUGUAGAUAAACUAAUAAUUAAUUUGAUAGUUAUAAAUUAUUAGCUAAAUUAUUAUUAUUAUUAUUAUUAUUAUUAUUAUUAUUAUUAUUAUUUGAUUUCCAUUAAUUAAUAUGUUUUCGGUUCACAUGGGAAUGGAUUAAAAAUUCGGAAAGAUGAUCAAUUAAUUGGAGAGAGCAACCCUCCACAUCAACCCCUCUAUUCUCUUAUAAGCAAUUGGAACGAAACAUCUGUGAUGCCCCAAACGCUAGUCAUAUGUUCCAUCUGUUGUUGCUAAUUAAGACCUAGUCGAGGCUUGGUAUAUGUACAACUUUAAACUUUGUAAAUUAAUUUAAAGGUUAUAACUAUAAAAGUAAGGAUAGGAGAAUAACUUAAUUAACAACAGGCGUAUCUUAAAGUAUUUUUUUAAAAUAGAAGAACAAUCUAAACGCUUAACCUGGAAUAUAGGGAUGAAAAGAAUAUUUUUCUUAUUAAUAACAAAGAUAUAUACUAAAAAAAAACACUCGUAUUAAUGAUUGGGAAAAAAUUAUUUUUGUAAAAUCACUUUUCCCAUAGAUCAAAAUAUAUAGAGAUAAAACUGAUCCGAUGUUAUCAUAUAUAUGAGUCAUUCUUAGGUGUUGAUGCCCUCAUUUUUUUUGUUUUUCAUGUGGAUGUGCUAUUAAGCCAUAUGGUUUAAUAGAAUCAGCGCAGAUACACAAUUUGAGGCUUAUAGUUUUAUAGUGAAUUAAAUAUUGAUUUUAUUAAACCAUGUGACUUAAUAGCGGGUUUGCAUAAAAAAAAAAAAGAAGAGAGCGCCUGUUGAGUGUUAGAAAAUGUAUAUUUAUAAAGGAGAAAAUUAUCAUUUUACAUUUCAAGUUUUACUAACAACCCUUACUUUUAUGUAUUUAAGCUUCUUGCAAUUUAAUUAUGUGUGUUUGAUUUUAAUUAAGUAUUUUAUGUAUUUUAGGGGCAUCAUGGUCAUUUCACAAUAAACGAGAGAUCAGACGGCAAACCGGACAUCACUUUUGAACUCAGGACGGUCGAAAACCUUAGGAGGAGCAUAAAAGGAAAAAUGGCACUAUUCACAUGUACGGUACUAUUCACGUGUACGGUACUGCCUACGUUACUGUUCAUGACACUGUUCACAUAGACGGAUUGAUGAUGUGGCAUUGAUCGAUGAUGUGGCAUUGACUGAUGAGGUGUCACGAUCCUGUUGGGCUAAAAUUCUUAUGUACUGUUGAUGGUGACGUGGCAGCAUAUCAGUGGAUGAAAAAUCUCGCGUACGGUACAUGCAUCACACAGGAUUAUUUUCAACCAAACCGCGUCACUGUUCACCCGGGUCAAACCGUGUUACUGUUCAUCCACGUAGUCAAACCGCGUACUGUUGACUGAUGACGUGGCGCAAUCCUGAGCGUCCAAACUGUUUUUAAUCCGAUGGCCAUGAUUUACUCCAUGUAUCUAUAAAAAGGGGGCUUCCCCCCCCCUAAUUUGAUAUCUCUGAAUCCAUUUUUAGACUCUAUUUUCUGUAAUUCCUUCUCCAUCUUGUAUUUUCAAUGUAUUUUAAUAAAUUUCUAUUUUGCCCCUAGUUCAAUUAUGAGUGGCUAAUUUUCUUUCAAGUUUGGGUUGAAGGUGAAGUCUCAACAUGUGUCAUGGGCUUUAUUUGGUAAAUUUAUUUUCUCUUCCCCUCUAGUUUUUGUGGAUAUUUUGACUUCUCGUCGACAAAUAAUACUAAUCUUGUCUAGUACCGCCUUGGUUUUACCGGCCCUCUAGUACAUUGUUAUUAUUAUUUGUCACGAUAAGCCCUUAGCACCAUAUUGAUUAGAGCGUGGUUCAUGAGGUGUCGAUUCCCCCCUCAUGAUUUAAUUGGCAUUAAUAAGGAUUAUUUAGCCCAUGGUGCAUGUUGAUACGGAUCCAGAUACUCAAGUACGUCAUUUCAAUAGAAUUCUCUUCAAUUUAUUCUCGCCAUUUCAAUUCCAAUUUUAGAAUUUAUUCUCGCCAUUUUAAUUUAAGUUUUAGCAUAUUCCAAAUCAUUUCCACCACAAAUCUAAUCACCCAUUUACAAAAUUAAUUCUACACACAAUUAAAAUCCACCUUCUCGUGGGAUCGACACUCGUCACCAUUGAUCUAUACUACAAUAGAUUCGUGCGCUUGCGAGUACAUUAAAAUUUGCACAACAAGUUUUUUGGCGCCGUUGCCGGGGAGGUAAGUAAUUUUAAUUCAUAGAAAUAGUUUUUGAAUAGUUCCAUUUAAUUGUUUUCUUGUAUUUUUUUCUAAAAAAAAGAAAAAAGAAAAAAAAAGGUGAAUCUACAUUUAAAGGUUAGUAUUUCUUUUCUUUUUCUCUUCUUUAAAAUUCUGUAAUUUAAUUUUCAAUUUAUUUUUCUUUGUAAAUUUUUUUUUAUCUUAUUAAUUUAUUCUUAGUUUAUUUCACGUAUUUGUUUUAGUGUGUUGUUAUAGAAAAGUUGUAACAACGCAAUAAGAUUAGUAUCGUAAUUUCUCCUUUUUCUUUAUUUUUAUUCGUUUGGUUCCCAUUUAUUUUUGUGUUCCUUGCAUGCAUGGUCGUAGGUCAUUAUUUCGUAAUCUUGAACCUAUAGACCUUGAAUUAGAAAAAACACUUCGCAAACACAAACACGUAAAAAAUAAAAUGGAUUUACAAGCACCACAGGAGAGGCCAUUUAAGGACUAUUUUAGUCCCUUAGCUAAUUUGAGCACAUCAUGUAUAAGAUACCCAAAUGUAGCUGCUGGGAGUUUUGAAUUAAAACCUAGUGUGCUAAAUUGUCUCCCCACAUUUUAUGGCCUAGAAAAUGAGGACCCAUAUAAUCAUCUGAAUGAUUUUCAUGCCAUUUGUCAAACUUUUAAAUAUGAAAAUUUUUCAGAUGAUGAUGUUAAACUCAUAUUAUUCCCAUUUUCUUUAAAGGAUAGAGCUCGUUCAUGGUUAAAUAUUUUACCUGCUAAUAGCAUUGCAUCAUGGGAACAAAUGGUAACUAAAUUUUUGAAUAAAUAUUUCCCAGUGCAUAAAACCAAUGCUAUUCGCAGGGAAAUCUCAGAGUUUACCCAGAGAGAAGACGAGCAGUUUUUCGAAACAUGGGAGCGAUUCAAUGGGCUACUCUUGAAAUGUCCACAUCAUGGGUACGAGAAAUGGCACCAAUGCCAAUACUUUUUAGAAGGGUUAUUGCCAAAUGUGCAAGAAUGGCUAAUGGCAACAAGUGGAGGAGAGCUAAUGUCAAAAAGUGCAUCAGACAUUUGGGAAUUCUUCCAGCGACAAGCGGAUAAUUCCCAACAACGGAGUCGAUCACUCAGGAAUACUAGAAGAAUUAAGGGAGUAAAUGAGGUUCAAAUUGGCGAGUCAACUUUGGGAAUCAAAGAAGUCAAGGAGAUGGUUGAAGGUCUUGCUCGGCAAAUAGCAUCGUUAUCGACUGCUAAAUCAACAGAACCACAUGACCAUGACUCAUACCCAGAUCAAGCCAAUGCCAUAGGUGUAAUGAGAAAGCCAUCAAAUUACAACCCAUACUCUAACACAUAUAAUCCUGGAUGGAGAGACCACCCCAAUUUUUCAUGGUCUCAAGGAUUCCAACAGAAUGGACCAGCGGCUCCAGCUCCACCAAUGCAACAAAUUUCUCAAAUUCCUCAAGCCUCUCAGUCCCUAUUUAGACCAUUCAAUCAGAACCAAAACUACUCUCAACCCAGACCAUGGGAUGAUGCAUUCCAGAAUUUCAAGAAUGUUACUCACUCCACGAUUGAGCAACAGAACCGCACCAUUGAUGGACUACAAAAUGAGUUGAGAGCAGGCUUCAACUCACAAGCUCAAUCAGUUUCAAGCCUCGAGAAAACGGUGGGACAACUUGCUUCUUCAGUUCAGACCUUGGCAAUGACUGUUGAGAAAGGCAAAUUUCCAAGUCAACCAGUGCCUAAUCCUAAAGGAGUACAUGAAGCAAGUACCAGUUCACCACAGCAGCAUGGAGAGGUCAAAGCAGUCAUGACCUUGCGAAAAGGAAAGGAAGUCGACAACAAAGUGGAGAUGUCGGUGACAAAAGAAAAUCAAAUUGUACCCGUGAAUGUUGAGGACUCAUCACCGGAGGGGAAAGAAGAAACCAACCCAUGAGAAUAUGUUCCUAAAGCUCCAUUUCCUCAGAGGUUAGCUAAAGGAAAGAAGGGAAAAUCCACAGGUGAAAUUCUUGAAAUCUUCAAACAGGUAAGUGUCAACAUCCCUUUGCUUGAUGCGAUAAAACAAAUUCCAUCUUAUGCCAAGUUUCUUAAAGACCUUUGUACUAAAAAGAGAAAUAUGCAUGUUCAAAAGAAGGCAUUUUUAACAGAAAACAUUAGUUCUAUACUCCAACAUAAAAUUCCUCUAAAAUGAAAAGACCCAGGCUCCCCCACUAUCUCAUAUAGUAUAGGGAACCACACAAUUGAGAAUGCUUUGUUGGAUUUAGGAGCUAGUGUAAAUUUGUUGCCUUACUCUGUAUUUAUGAAACUUGGACUUGGAGAAUUACACCCAACUCCAGUGGUGUUAAAGCUUGCAGAUCGGUCCACGAAAAUACCUCGUGGUAUUGUGGAGGACGUGCUUAUCCAGGUAGGCAAGUUUUAUUUUCCUGUUGAUUUCAUUGUAAUUGACACUCAACCAAUACAGGAUUCAAGGAAGCACAUCCCCAUUAUUCUAGGCCGACCUUUCUUGGCAACUGCGGAUGCUCACAUUUAAUGCAGGACUGGAAAUAUGCAGUUGUCCUUCGGCAACAUGACUAUGGAGCUUAACAUCUUCAACAUUGCCAAACAACCUCACAAUGCAGAUGAUGGAAUUGUUGAUGUGGAUUUAAUUGAAGCAUUAGUUGAUGAUACUUUUGUUUCAAACCUUAGUGAUGAUCCUUUACAAACAUGUUUAACUCACUUUGGUUUGGAUUUUGAUAUUGACAGAUCAGUCGAUGAGGUCAACGCUCUACUUGACUCAGCACCAUCCAUGGACACUAAUAAAUGGAAGUUAAGAGUUGAACAACUAGCACCAUCAGAAAAGAAACUCAUCCCAUCAUCAGAAUCACCACCGAAACUCGAGCUCAAAACAUUGCCCAACACUCUGGAAUAUGCAUUUUUGGGAGAAGAAAGUACUCUACCGGUAAUCAUCUCAUCAUCCCUAAAUGACGAACAAAAAGGUAAGUUGUUGGAUGUUUUAAAAGAGCACAAAGGAGCAUUAGGAUGGACCAUAGCAGACAUAAAAGGUAUAAACCCAGUAGACUGCAUGCAUUACAUUCACCUUGAUGAAAAUGCUAAACCUACUAGGGAAAUGCAACGUCAGUUAAAUCCUAACAUGAAAGAAGUUGUUAGAACUGAAGUCCUUAAGUUAUUAGACGCAGGUAUCAUUUACCCAAUUUCUGAUAGUUCAUGGGUCAGUCCUGUACAAGUUGUCCCCAAAAAGUCAUGAGUCACAGUAGUUACGAAUGCCGAUGAUGAAUUAAUACCAACUAGAGUGACUACAGGAUGGCGUGUAUGCAUUGAUUAUAGAAAGUUGAAUUCUAUCACACGUAAAGACCAUUUUCCUUUACCAUUUAUCGAUCAAAUGCUUGAUAGAUUGGCAGGCCAUGAAUUUUAUUGCUUUCUAGAUGGCUACUCAGGAUAUAAUCAGAUUCCCAUAGCACCAAAAAAUCAAGAGAAAACUACUUUCACUUGCUAUUUUGGCACAUUUGCAUAUAGGAGAAUGCCAUUUGGAUUAUGUAAUGCACCUGCUACAUUUCAACGAUGCAUGUUGAGCAUUUUUUCUGAUAUGGUUGAACGAUUCCUUGAAGUCUUUAUGGAUGAUUUUUCUGUCUUUGGUGACUCGUUUGAUCAAUGUUUACAUCAUCUAACAUUAGUUCUGCAGAGAUGUAUCGAGAAGAACUUAGUCUUAAAUUGGGAGAAGUGUCAUUUUAUGGUAAAGCAAAGUAUUGUUCUUGGUCACAUCAUUUCGAGCAAAGGUAUUGAGGUUGACAAAGCCAAGGUGGAUCUCAUUUCUAAUCUUCCUCCACCCAAAACAGUCAGAGAAGUAAGAUCUUUCCUUGGGCAUGCUGGUUUCUAUAAACGUUUCAUUAAAGAUUUUAGCAAAGUUUCUAGACCCUUAUGCAAUUUACUUGCUAAGGAUGUACCUUUUAUCUUUGAUGAUUCAUGUCUUGUGGCAUUUGAAAAACUAAAGCAGUUGUUGACAUCAUCACCCAUCAUUCAGCCCCCAAACUGGAACUUACCAUUUGAGCUCAUGUGUGAUGCAUCUGAUUAUGCAGUAGGAGCAGUAUUAGGACAAAGAGUUGAUCGAAUUCCCCAUGUUAUUUACUAUGCUAGUAUGACAUUGAAUGAUGCACAGUUGAACUAUUCAACUACUGAAAAAGAAAUGCUAGCAGUAGUGUUUCCAUUAGAGAAAUUUCGAUCUUAUCUCAUUGGUUGUAAAAUAAUUAUAUUCACAGAUCAUGCUGCUCUUAAAUAUCUUCUCACAAAGAAAGAUGCAAAAGCUAGACUAAUUCGUUGGGUGUUACUUUUGCAAGAAUUUGACUUGGAAUUCAAAGAUAAGAAAGGGACAGAAAAUGUUGUGGCGGACCACCUCUCUCGUCUCCAUUUUGACACAAUUACAGAGCCAUUAAUAUUGAAUGAGUCAUUUUCAGAUGAACAAUUAAUGAGUGUGGAAGUAUUACCUUGGUAUGCUGAUAUAGUUAAUUAUCUUGUUACAGGUAAACUUCCAGAGCAUUAGACCAAGCAAGACAAGGCUAAAUUCUUUGCAGAGAUAAAGAAUUUCUUUUGGGAUGACCCGUAUUUGUUCAAGUAUUGUGCUGAUCAAAUUGUUAGACGAUGCGUCCCAGAAAAUGAAAGUCAGAAUAUUCUUUCAUUCUGCCAUGAACAAGCUUGUGGAUGACAUUUCAGUGCUAAGAAAACGGCAACUAAAGUUUUACAAUGUGGUUUUUAUUGGCCAACUAUAUUUCGAGACACUUACACUUUCUGUGCUUCAUGUAAUAGGUGUCAACGAAUGAGGAGCAUUACGCGAAGGAACAUGAUGCCACUAAAUCCAAUUUUAGUGGUUGAGAUUUUUGACGUAUGGGGUAUCGACUUCAUGGGACCCUUUCCCUCUUCUUUUGGCCAUCAAUACAUAUUGGUUGCUGUUGACUAUGUAUCGAAAUGGGUAGAAGCAAUUCCAUGUAGAACCAAUGAUCACAAGGUGGUGAUAGGAUUUUUGAAAAGCAACAUUGUUUCACGCUUUGGAUUCCCUCGAGCGAUAAUCAGUGAUGGUGGUGCCCACUUUUGUAACAAAGCAUUCAAAGCUCUUUUGACAAAGUAUUCAAUCACUCACAAAGUGGUGACCCCAUAUCAUCCGCAAACCAGUGGCCAAGUUGAGAUCUCCAAUCGAGAAAUAAAACACAUAUUAGAAAAAACAGUGAGGUCAGACAGAAAAGAUUGGUCAUUAAGACUUGAUGAUGCAUUAUGGGCAUAUAGAACAGCUUUCAAGACCCCGAUUGGGAUGUCACCCUACAGGCUAGUGUAUGGAAAAGCUUGCCACCUACCUGUGGAACUCGAGCAUCGUGCGUAUUGGGCCAUCAAGAAAUUCAACUUUGACAUGCAGCAAGCCAGCUCAGAAAGAAGAUUACAACUGGCAGAACUUGAAGAAAUUCGCAAUGAUGCAUACGAAAAUGCCAAAAUUUACAAGCAACGAAUGAAAGUCUUUCAUGACAAGCACAUUAUGAGAAAAUCUUUCACUCCAGGUCAGAAAGUACUUUUAUUCAAUUCUCGCUUGCAACUAUUCCCAGGUAAGUUACGCUCUCGAUGGUCUGGUCCCUUUAUUGUUCAUACUGUUUUUCCACAUGGGGUAAUUGAAAUUAAGGACCCAAAGAACGGUGUCACGUUUAAAGUUAAUGGUCAAAGAUUAAAGCCAUAUCUAGAAUACCAACCACAUUGAGAAGACACCGAAAUAAAUUUGAGUGACCCACCAUAUUUGAAUUGAUUUUUUUUUCUUUUCGUUGAUUUGAUUUUUCUUUCUUUCUUUUUAUUAUUCUUUUGCUAAUUGAAAUUAUUUUUGCAUAAGUGUGUUUGUUUAACUAUUAAGUUUUCUCUUAUCAUUUUUCAUCAUGAGUACCAUACUUAGACCGUUCCUCUUGAACAUUCUUAAACCACUUCAACGUGUCAAAACUCAUCUCAAAAGGCAGAUUCAAUUUUGUAAAACACAACGCAUUUGGGCUCUACAACCACCAGAGUUAGUAGCCUAUGUUGAGAAUCUAGAAAGCCAACUCCGAGAUAUUGAGAGAAGUGUUUACGACAUCCAAUUGGAGCUUGAGGUAAAUUCAAUAAGAGGACGAUUUUAAUUUUCUUUGUGUGUUUUAAUUUGUUUUUCUGUUUGUGUGCUUUAGUUUGUUACCCCGGUGAAGUGGCGGAUAACGGUACUCCGCGACAAUCAAGUCGGUUACUUCAGUUUCCCAUAAUAACUGACAUUCUGAGGCGAAAAUAUGGACAGAAACGAGAUUCUAGCGAAGCUUCACAAGCGAUUCCCUUCACUUCCUCAGAAUGCCCUCCUUACGAUCUAUAAAGCUCGGUCCGAACGCAUGCGAUUACUCAUGAGGAAUAACAUACCUGCUGACAUCCGUUGGUUAAUCGAGGCUAAAGUACGAUUGGCAGGUGAGUUACCUCCAAAAUUUAUUGCAUAUAUGCCUGGUUGUGGUAAAGGAAAUUAUGCAAGAAAACGAUGAGCUCGAAGAAUUUCUGUUGCUUGUCGUAAGUGUGCCAGAAUGAGUUGCGAUAAAAACCCAUGUUCUUUAGGAAUGGUGUCUGAUAACAGGGAAUAUAAGAUUCAAUUCAUUAGGGAUGGCUUGAAUAAGGAGUCAUUGGAUGAUAUCCUUUUGUCUCUUGAAACACAUCUCAGUGGAUAUGCGCAAGGAGCGAUUCUCCAGUUAUGGCCAUUAUUCCAGAAAGAGCAUGCACGAUAUAGUCUUGGGAAUCUGACUAUAAACGACCCUGUUUGCCAGUUUAUAAGAAAACUGGAUGGGAAGCCCAUCCUCGACCCAUAGAGGGCGUUUAAGCCGUUUCUGGAAGUAAAACCAAAGGAAGAUGUGAGCCACAAUCGCAACUACUUGUACAUAUCAUUUUUACUUUACUGUUAUUUUAUUUCAUUUCACUGUUGUUUUAUUGUUUGCAUUAUUGUCUUUAAUAAUUUUAUUACUGUUUGCUUUUUUCUUUUUAUUGUUUCCUUUUUGACUCGCGAGCCAUAUGCUUUACGCGUUAUUUGACACUGACAUGCUACCUCAUACACAGCUGUGACCCACUGUCACCAAGACUCUUAAAUGUGAUUUCUUUUGUCAAACACUCACAAAUUGUUUUUGAGAAGUAUCCCAAUGGCAGCUACUCCCAAUAGAUAAUUCAAGAACAUUUGUGUGCUUUCUGGAUUUAACUAUGGCAAACAUAAAGAGUUCGUUGAGGCAGCCAUAGAUCUUGGUCGAAGCAUAGCAGCGAGAAAAUUACACUUGGUGUAUGGAGGAGGUAACCGAGGGUUAUCAAAAAUGGUCUCAGAAGCAGCUUUUAUCAGAGGAAGUCAAGUGUUAGGCAUCAUCCCAAGAGUCCUAAAACCAUUGGGCAGUUCGUCUGACUCAUCAACUGGAGAAGAGUUAGUCGUCUCAGGUAUGCAAGAAAGAAUAACUGAAAUGCUUAAUCAUGCUGAUGCUUUUAUUUUCCUUUCAGGAGAUCUUGCAACACUAGAGGCACCUAUCACACUAGCAUCUUGGGCCCAUCUGCACAUCCACCAGAAACCCAUCGGUUUGUUAAAUGUCAAUAACUUUUAUGAUGGCUUUAUCGCAUUUCUUAACCAUGCAAUAAAAAACUAUUUCAUUCCUUCUAAUGUGAAAAAAAACUCUUUAUUUGUGCUCACAAUGCUAAUGAGCUACUUGAUAUGUUACAAGCUUAUAAACCGGAGCCAGACCCCUGGACUUUUGUGUUGGAGCGACCAAAUAAUGAUGGUAACAGUAGCCGCAGUAAGAAGUACAAAUUAGAUUUAACUCUCCGCCUGUAAAUAUUUUCUUCUGUGUUUCACCACCCAGGUGAUGUCUUCUAAACUCUACUUCUUUCCUUUAAAACAUUGAGGACAAUGUUUCGUUCUGGUUGGAGGGAGGGAAUAGUCGACAAUUGUGGAAUCUUGGUUAAGUUUUUACUGAUUUUUUGUUGUAGAAACUAACUGUUGCUAACGUUUUGUGUUGAAGAUGGCUAAAUAUGGAGUGUAGUUACUCUAGAAACGCAUCUUCAUCGUUUAAAAAAAUAAAAUCGUUUUAUUCCUCUUUCUCCUUUAUAAAUAUAUAUUUUCAAAUUUUUGAGUCGAAGAUGGCUGAAUAUGGAGUGUAGUGCCUCUAGAAACGCAUCUUCUAAGUUUAAAAAAAAAAACCCAUUUUUUUUAUCAUUUUAAGUGUAACUUUUCUAAUUAGUUUUUAUGCAUCAUUUUCACAUUUCUGCAUGCAUAUUUUCCUUUCAUGUUUAGAAUAGGUUGGGGGGUAGAAUGUUGUUUAAAAAAAAAAAAUUGUGUGAUUUGUUUUAACAUUGGAUGACAUGAUUAAUUUCAAAUUUUAGUAUUUGUAUUAUCUUUGGUCUUAAGUGAUGUUACGCUAUGUUUGCUACUUUACAUGUUGAUGUCGGAGACAAAUAUAAGUUGCUUGAAGGAAUGAACAUGUCAUAAAUAAGUGCCAAGUGAGUUGUUGAGCCUAUCAUUUUCUUGGAGAGUAACCCUUUUGCUCAUUCUCUAUACAGCUUAGCAGUUUAUUAUUUUAUACACGAUCUCUAGAUUUCUUUUGAGUUAACCCUUAAAAAAAAUGGUAAAAUUAAAAUAAAAAAAAAGAAAAAGAAAAAAAAUGUGUGUUACUACAUUUGGAGGCCCAUCUAACUAGUAGAUAUGGAAGGUUAUUUAGAGCCCUAAAAGACGAUGGAAAUGCCAUCUUUGAUCCGUUUGAGCCUUUCUAGCCAUCCAUUUUAUCAAAUAUCCAUAGUUAACCAUUUUGAGCCUUUUUUUUAAAAAAAAAAAACCUUUUAUUUGUUAAACUUAUCAUCUUGACCCACUCCGAUUUGGAGUAUUACCCGAUGUUUUAUAAAUUCCAUCACCUAUUUAUGUUUGAGAAAAUGUAACUAAUUAUGUUGUUCAGUGAAGUUAUGCCAAAUAAAAGCAAAAAAACAAAAAACAAAAAACAAAAACAAAAGUUGUUGUUUCAAAAGAAUAAAAAUAACAAUAAUAAGUGAAAUCCACCUUGCAACUUCCAAAAAAAAAAAAAAAAAUUUUUCUCUGCAUUUUUCACAAACACAUUUUAUUUUCCUUAUUUCCCUUCUUUAUUAGCCAUGUCCCUAACCUACGUUACGUCCUAAUAAAAGUCCUUCUUGAUUUUAGGGAACUAUAGUCUGAAGUAGAAGUUAGUUAUAUGGGCUAAAAAGAUGUAGUGGUGCAUAUAAAAAAUAAAUCAAUAAAUUGGGUUGACUAACAUUUUUUAUUUGACUUGAGAUCGUAUUAUUUCUAAGCUGAGGGCAUAUUUCUUUCAUCUUGGUGAGAGCAUGUGAUCUCACUUCUUUAUUAUUUUCUCUCAAUUACCAUUCAUUGGAGUGACUAUUGUUAUUGGGUUUAAUUUCUUUGUGAGAGUGUCACUACUUCCAGUGAGAUUUUGGGGUUUGACAUGUCAUUCUUGAAAGUAGCUAUAACAAAGUCUACUGGGCUGAUUCAUGUGGAUGGUUGAUGUGGGUGUGAUGUUUCUUUAGACUGGAGAUAAUGCUUAUACUUUUAUUUGAUUGCUAUCAUUAAUCUGAUUGAAUAAACACGAGUGUUUCUAUUAAAAAAAAAAAUCAUUUUGGAUUUGAAUUUCGUUUUCGCUUUAUUUGCUAGGGACUAGCAAUAAGCUGGUUGGGGGGUGUGUUGAGUGUUAGAAAAUGUAUAUUUAUAAAGGAGAAAAUCAUCAUUUUACAUUUCAAGUUUUACUAACAACCCUUACUUUUAUGUAUUUAAGCUUCUUGCAAUUUAAUUAUGUGUGUUUGAUUUUAAUUAAGUAUUUUAUGUAUUUUAGGGGCAUCAUGGUCAUUUCACAAUAAACGAGAGAUCAGACGGCAAAACGGACAUCACUUUUGAACUCAGGACGGUCGAAAACCUUAGGAGGAGCAUAAAAGGAAAAAUGGCACUAUUCACAUGUACGGUACUAUUCACGUGUACGGUACUGUCUACGUUACUGUUCAUGACACUGUUCACAUAGACGGAUUGAUGACGUGGCAUUGAUCGAUGAUGUGGCAUUGACUGAUGAGGUGUCACGAUCCUGUUGGGCUAAAAUUCUUAUGUACUGUUGAUGGUGACGUGGCAGCAUAUCAGUGGAUGAAAAAUCUCGCGUACGGUACAUGCAUCACACAAGAUUAUUUUCAACCAAACCGCGUCACUGUUCACCCGGGUCAAACCGUAUUACUGUUCAUCCACGUGGUCAAACCGCGUACUGUUGACUGAUGACGUGGCACAAUCCUGAGCGUCCAAACUGUUUUUAAUCCGAUGGCCAUGAUUUACUCCAUGUAUCUAUAAAAAGGGGGCUUCCCCCCCCCCCCCUAAUUUGAUAUCUCUGAAUCCAUUUUUGGACUCUAUUUUCUGUAAUUCCUUCUCCAUCUUGUAUUUUCUAUGUAUUUUAAUAAAUUUCUAUUUUGCCCUUAGUUCAAUUAUGAGUGGCUAAUUUUCUUUCAAGCUUGGGUUGAAGGUGAAGUCUCAACAUGUGUCAUAGGCUUUAUUUGGUAAAUUUAUUUUCUUUUCCCCUCUAGUUUUUGUAGAUGUUUUGACUUCUCGUCGAUAAAUAAUACUAAUCUUGUCUAGUACUGCCUUGGUUUCAUCGGCCCUCUAGUACAAGGUUAUUAUUAUUUGGCACAAUAAGCCCUUAGCACCAUAUUGAUUAGAGCGUGGUUCAUGAGGUGUGGAUUCCCCCCUCGUGAUUUAAUUGGCAUUAAUAAGGAUUAUUUAGCCCAUGGUGUAUGUUGAUACGGAUCCAGAUACCCAAGUAUGUCAUUUCAAUAGAAUUCUCUUCAAUUUAUUCUCGCCAUUUCAAUUCUAAUUUUAGAAUUUAUUCUCGCCAUUUUAAUUUAAGUUUUAGCAUAUUCCAAAUCAUUUCCACCACAAAUCUAAUCACCCAUUUACAAAAUUAAUUCUACACACAAUUAAAAUCCACCUUCUCGUGGGAUCGACACUCGUCACCAUUGAUCUAUACUACAAUAGAUUCGUGCACUUGCGAGUACAUUAAAAUUUGCACAACAACGCCCACCUUGAGAAUUUAUAUAUAUAUAGAGAGAGAGAGAGAGAGAGAGAGAGAGAGAGAGAGAGAGUAUCGAUCUAAUCUUGUAUCCUAAAUUUAUCAAAAAAAAAAAAAAAAGCUAUUAAGACAUAUGAUUUAAUAAUAUAAUACCAUUAUACUAUUAAAAUAUAUGACUUAAUAAUUUUUAAGACUUUAACGAAAUCCAGGAUCUUAAAUUCGAAUAUAUAUAUAUAUAUAUAUGCACACAUUACAUCUGUCCGGUUUAAACACGCAUUCUGCUUAAUGCUCUUGACCAAUUGUCCUCAAUUACCUUUUUUUUUUGGGGUGCUAAUUUUAGGGACUUACCAGGUGUAUUGGUUGAUAAAAAGAAUAAGGUUGGGCCGUAGGGUACUUAUAAUUAAUUAAAGUACCCCACACAUCCAGCAGAAUAAAGUCUCUGUACCCCAUUAAUUUCUUCCAACAAUUAACCUCGAUCCUAACUUAAGUCAUAAAUUAUUCACAAUUACAUUAAUUAAUGUUUUGCUAGAUGACAAGGAUAUAUUCGCGGAUUGCUAUCGACCUCUUGGGCCAAUUAAAGAGAGAUAAGUUACAAUUCAACAAUUUUGGCACUUAAUUAUCCUAUUGCCGCUGUUUCCGAUGAUACACGCUAUUUGAAAAAUAUAGACGUUAAUUCUAAUUAGUUAUGAAGAUCUUGGUUCUCGCCUGGGAGCUGCAACAAUUAGCUAACUAGGUAUAGAGUUUUGUUUAAUAAUAAUAUUAAUUCAAGAAGACAGAGAGCAUAAUUAAUUAGACUAAUAUGAAAAAUACCAUGCAAUUUCAUCUUUUUCUAUGGACGAAUGGAAUUAACACAUUGACACACAAUAAUUUUAUUAAUUAAGGAAGACAAAUUACAUGGACACAAAUUAAAAAAAAAAAUCCCUUGCAUAUCUCAAGAGAUCUUAGUAGUUCAAUUAACUAAACCAAAUUCGACACACUCACAAUUAACAGGCAGUAACAGUACCUAUUGUUUUACAUAAUUAAACACAACAUAAAAGAGUAACACUACACGCACUUAACCAGUAUAAUCAAGAUUUCUCCCAUAUUGAGGAACAACAAGAAGAUCAAGGUUGCCGUCAUUUACUUUCUCAUCAUCAUUCAAGCUUAUAAACGAAACAAUGAAGCCCUCCAACCAGACGUUACCUGAAAAUUUUCAUAUUAGAAAAUUUAUUUAUAAAGUAUAUAUUAAAAAUAAGAAUUAGAAAUGAAAUUGAGGGUUGGCCUACAACCUGCGCAGGGAGUUUCCAUAUUCUUCAAAUCAGAAAAGAUAUUGCUUGCUUCAGGUGAUGAACCGUAAUCAAAACUCAAAAGUAAGUUGCUUUUGCUUCCUGUUCGACAUAAUACACAUAUAUAUAGAACGAAGGUGGGAUGAUCGCAGCGUCGUUAAUGCAUGCAGUGUAUAUAAUGGAUCAACGACUGACGUUUCCUAAGUGCUGAUCAACAGCUGAAAUUUAAUUAAAAGAUGAGGGGAUCACAGCUGUUGAAUGUUGACGUUGAAUUUCCCACAUCGGUCAGAUCUCUGACAGAAAGAUUGAGUUUGAUUAAAAUAUCCCGAUGCGGACGGGGAUCAAGUUUGUAUCAAUUAAUAAUAAAAAUAAAUAAAAUAAGGGUAGAGUUGUUCACCCUCUAAAUUUCAUUCUGGACACUCUAAUUUUUAACAAAGAGUGAAGCCAUUGGCACUCUUCAUUAUCUUUAUAAAACCCACUUUAAAUAAAAUUACAUUUAGGGGCAAAUAAGAAUUGAGUACAUAUAGAAUUUUUUUCCAACAAAUUACUUUGUUUCGUAAGUAAUCCCUUUUUUUUUUAAUUUUCUACUUGUUACUUCUUAUCUAACUCAAAUAAAUUGUACAAAUUUAGAAUAAUCUAUUAUUCUUUUCAUAGUGUUCUUGUUGAUUAAAUAUUUAUGUACUUAACAUUGUUUCAAAUUAUAAUUUAAAAUAUGCGUAAUUUAAAUUACAGUACUGAAGUGUUUAUGAAACACUAAUUGUACUGACUUGAAAGUUAAGUUAACUUGAUCAAUUUCUUAUAUGAUAAAAAACCUAUAAUAUCAAACUUAUAAGUUUGUCAAGAUUAUUAUUUAAAAGUCACAUACUACAAAAAAAAAUUUAUAGUUACAUCUUUUUUUUUCAGAGCUUGUAACUUAAAAAGUUGCAGCAUCUUAAUACCAAACAUGGCUCAUCAAUUUAGACUGGGUUGGAACUAUUUAGAGAGGAAAACGGAUCUAAUUUUUGGGGAGAGGAAGUGUUUUACAAAAUUGUAAAAAAGAAAAUUAGGCGAUACAGAGAGAAAAACCCAUAACCGGCCGGACUACCGCACUGCAACCUGCUAUUCAAGUCAAUUAAUCUGCCCCCACAGCUCCACGUGCCGCGAGUAUAAUUGCUGUUACUUACGGCUGGUGUAACAUCGCAGGACCCUUAAUUAAAAGAUUACGGAUUAACAGCUGUUGAAUGUUGAUGUUGAAUUUCCACAUCGAUAUUGGAAUUUAAAAGAAGUGAAUUUUAUGUUGCUAUAUUGCCUGUAGGGGAAGACAGAAUAAAUUAAUUGAUAUUGCCAGCAAAUUCUUAAUUCGUAUCCAAGUACAGGGCUAGCUAUCGGAAUUAAUUAAGAUUAAUUGGUCAUCUUUCCGAAUUUUUAAUCCAUUCCCAUGUGAACCGAAAACAUGUUAAUUAAUGGAAAUCAAAUAUUAAAAAAAUAAUAGUAAUAACUUAACUAAUAAUUUAUAACUGUCAAAUUAAUUAAUAGUUUAUCUACAAUUAUUUUGUUUAUUUUUAUUAUUAGCCAAUAAUUUAUAACUAUCAAAAUAAUUGUAGAUAAACUAAUAAUUAAUUUGAUAGUUAUAAAUUAUUAUUAUUAUUUUAAUAUUUGAUUUCCAUUAAUUAAUAUGUUUUCAGUUCACAUGGGAAUGGAUUAAAAAUUCGGAAAGAUGAUCAAUUAAAUGAAGCGAGAAACCCUCCACAUCAACCCCUCUAUUCUCUUAUAAGCAAUUGGAACGAAACAUCUGUGAUGCCCCAAACGCUAGUCAUAUGUUCCAUCUGUUGUUGCUAAUUAAGACCUAGUCGAGGCUUGAUAUAUGUACAACUUUAAACUUUGUAAAUUAAUUUAAAGGUUAUAACUAUAAAAGUUUAGAAAAAGUAAGGAUAGUAGGGUAACUUAAUUAAGAGAAAAUAUCCACCGUCCACCCGUUUUUUCCAACUUUUUCAAAAAUAUAUAAUUCCUUCUUUUUUUGGCUGGAAUCCACCUAAAGUUAUAUUUUGUUUCACUUUUCCACUUCCGUUUGGAAUCCGCUAAGAAAAUAAACGGAAACUUUAAAAAAUGACCAUUUUACCUCCCAAAACGAAAAUUACAAUUUCACCUUAAAAGUUGCAAAAAAUAAUCAGAUUAAAUCUAAUUAUUUUCUCCAUCGGUCAAUAAAGAAAUUAAUUCCACAACAAUCAAAUGCAGGGUUUUUUUUUUAAUAUGUCUAUAAUUAGAAUACUAAAUUAUAACAGUAGUAUUAAAAAUAGCCCAAUCUCGCAAACCAUCAAUUGAAUUUAAGAUAAGUAGAGUUUUAUUAUUCAUUGAGUUAUAAUAUCUGGUAGUUAAGAUUUUUUUGUACUUCAUUAACAUACCAAUAAUGAUAUUCAUCAUAAAAUCUGAUUAUUUUUUACAUUUUUUAGGUGAAAUUUUAAUUUUCGUUUUGGGGGUAAAAUGGUUAUUUUUUAAGUUUCCGUUAGUUUUCUUAACAGAUUCCAAACAGAAGUGGAAAAGUGAAAUAAAAUGUAACUUUAUGUGGAUUCCAGCCAAAAAAAGAAAGAAUUAUGUAUUUUUAAAAAAGUUAGAAAAAAAGGGUGGACGGUGGAUAUUUUCCCCUACUUAACAACAGGAGUAUUUUAAAGUAUUUUUAAAAUAUAAGAACAAUCCAACCGCUUAACAUGAAAUAAAGGGAUGAAACAAAUAUUUUUCUUAUUAAUAAAAAGAAUAUGUAAUAAAAAAAAGCUCGUCUUAAUGAUUGGGAAAAAAAAUAUUUUUGAUAUAAUGAAAUAGGUCUAAUCGAUUGUAAAAUAUAAAAAUAUUUUUUUAAAUAUUGAAAUUAUUUUAAAAUGCAUAUAUUAUUACAUUUAUUUUAAUGCUAUAUUUUUAUUUAUUAUAAAAUUUUAGGGUCAAUUCUUUGGGUUAAUAGAGUCAAAUGAUAUUAUGGUAAAAAAAAGAGUCUUGGUGUCUCCUAUUAAAAACUUGAUGUCUUUGUGACAAUUUCUCCAAACCUUGAGGGUGUAAGCGUGCUUGGAAAAUUUAAGAUUGUCAAUCCAUUUGGGGUAAACUGAAGUUUACCCUUAAUGUAAAUAUAAAUAAUUUAUGACUUAUUACUAGUUUGGUAAGACUUAUCUAAGAAUGGCCUGUUUAAACCCUAAAAAAUGUUCAUUAGAUCUGGUUUUAAAUUAAAAUUUUAUUACCAAAACGUCCCUAACAUAAAUUAAUAUUAUAGCCUAAACAGUAUAAUUGAACAGAAAAAAAAAAAAAUGCUCCAUGCUACUCCAUCUUUAAUCCAUAUCUUUUUUUAAUGAAUUAGGGAAAGCAAAGCUACACCACCCAUAAUUUGGUCAAAUGGUCAUGUAGACAUCUAAAUUUUCAACAAUAGACAUCAAAAACCCUUCUUAAAAUGUUUUAAGACACCACAUUUCACUUUGGCUUUUUUUUUUUUUUUUUGGGAUAAGCUAACCGAGUUUGCCAAUAAUGUAAAAAAACCAAAUAAAUAAAAUGCCUUUGACUGAUCUGUUAUUAUAUAUAUAUAAUGGAUUCGUUUUAUUUUUCAUUUUCAGGUUAAUUAAAAUGUUUUAAAUUAAAUUAAAAACUCUGGAAAAACAGUCAAUAUAUCGUUCCAUGUAUAGAAGCAAGUGAUGACAUGAUAUGGGCAUAACUGUAAAUUAGUAUUUGACAUCCAAAUAAACGGCAAAAAUAGCAAGAGGGAGUCUUGGUAUCCAUUGUUAAAAUGUUUACAACAAUACCAUUUGUCUCAACUAACUGAAAAAAAAAAUUGAUUCCGAUGUUUUAUAAUAAAUAGAAAUAAAAAAUAAAUUAAAUGCAAUAAUAUAUAUAGUUUAAAAUAAUUUCAUUAUUUUAAAAACUAUUUUAAUACUUUACAACCUUAUAUUAUAUUAAGCUAAAUUUUAUAAUAAAUGGAACAUAACGUUAAAGUAAAUAUAUAAAAUUUUAAAUUAUUUUUCAAUAUGAUAUAGAAUAAUUUUAAUAUUAUUAAUAGACUAUAUAUAUUUUAUAUUAAUUGUAAAAUCUAUUUAACCCAAAGAUUUAUUAAAUUUUUUAUAAUAAAUACAUAUAUAUUAUUAAAAUAAAUAUAAUAAUUUACAUUUAGAAAUUAUUUUAUAUAUUAAAAAUUUUCUAAUAUCAAAUUAAAUUAUUUAAAUUAUAUUUUUAUUUAUCAAAAAAAUUUAAAGAUAACAUUUUAGUUACUAUUUACAAAAAGUAUUAUAGCCAAAAGGGGGUUUUAACAUUCCUUAUUAAAAAUCUGGGGUUCUACAUGACUAUUUUGCAAACCUUGGCGUAUAGGUAUCCUUUUCUAAAAAAAAAAAAAAAUUACUUAUUUAUAUUGUCUGUUGGGAAAUACAGAAUAAAUUAAUUGAUAUUGCCAGCAAAUUGUUGAUUCAUAUCCAAGUGAACGGACAGCUGUUGAAAUUAAUUAGGGUUUAAUUUAGAAAUUUUUAGGCAACCAUAUUCCCAGACGGAAUCGGAAUCUCAAAUCUUUUUUUUUUUUUUUUGCAGAGAAAUCUGAUCGAUGUAGGAAAUUCAACGUCAACAUUUAGCAACUGCGAGUUUCUUUAAUAUGCAUGUCUAUCACACCAGAACCAAGAACACACACAACUGGUAGCUACUUAAAUAAUAUGGAAGAAUAUGGAAGCUACUUUUGUAAACUUUUAAGAAGCAAUAUAAAAAUUAACAUAAUGAAAACAAAUUUCAUUCAUUCUCCAGCACAAAUGUUCAUUUAUAUAAGUAUUUAAAACAUGAAAAUAGAGGUGAUACAAUUAACAAAUUUAGAGAUAAUGAUUGAUUAACAAAAAUUGAGUUAAUCGAUAAUUCUUAAUGAAUAACUAAGAUAGAAACAAUCAAUCAUUUGAUUGAUUGUUUUGUUUCUAUUAAUAUUGUUGAUCCUUAUCAUUCUCCCUCAAGUUGGAGAGAAUUUUUUUGAACUUCUAGCUUGUCUUUAAAAAUCAUAUUUCCUUGAUUUUUAUUUAUAGUCUCAACCAAGUGUCAUGCAACAAAUAGGGAGUAUUCCUCUAAAACUUGUUUAGGAAAUCUUUUUGUUAUUUUCAUGUACACUUUUUUUAGACUAAGAAAAAUCAUAAGUAAUAAAUUAUUUUUAUUAAGGAAUUCUUUCAAUAUGAAAGUCGUUCCUUCAAUUAUUUUUAAGGAAAUCUUCACUCAAUGAUUUUAUCUUCACUCCUUUGAUAUUGUCAUGGAAUUCUUUCAUUUAGAAAGUCAUUCCACUGAUCUGGUCAAGGAAAACAUCAAUUUUCAGGAUUUCUUUUCAUUCCCCUUUUCUUUUGAGGUCAUUUCCUUUGUGAUGGUAGAAGUGUGGUGGUUAAUGAUGCAGUUGAACAACUUCUUCUUCUUCUUCUUCUUCUUCUUCCUUUUCUACGAAAUUGAAGAACAAUAAAAAAGGAACUCACAUCUCUCCUUUAGACCACCAUGCUCUAGAAACAUAUCAUCGACACCGUGGCUAAGCAUAAACCCACAAAUUUAAGGACUUUCAAACUUGUCUAAUACCAUGAAAAUUUUUAGAAAUAAAUUAAGAAGAUAAAUCUCACUCUUACUCAUAUAUGAGCACAAAAACUCAAUUCAUACAAUACUUGAAACAUGAAAAUGAAAAUGAUACAAUUAACAUAAUUUGAAAUAACGAUUGAUUAAUACUGAUAGAGUCAAUUAAAAUUUAUUUCGAUUUAUAAUCAAUCUUUCUAAAUCAAUAAUAUAGAGACAACCAAUCAUUUGAUUUAUUUCCAUUACUAUUGCUUGAUUUUUAUCAGCUUUUCAUGUACUUCAAGUUAGGACAAUUUCAUGUGAAUUCUAUUUCUAGUUUUUAUAUUAAUAAUAUGUCAUCUUUUAAUUAAUUUUCUAUAAUAAUUUUUUUAGGUAAGACUGAAUGGUUUGAGACGCUUAUUACAAAGAAGGGUGCUUUUUUUAGCCAAUGCUGGAUAUAAACUAACGACGUAGCGUUUGCCAAUCUCAAUCUUCUUGUAGUCUCUCAAUAUAUGAAAAACCCUAAUGAGGCUGGUUAAUUGAAUUAUAAAAUUGAUUUGUUUUCAUUUGAGUAAAUGUUAUACUUCUAAAAGUUUGUAUUUCAGAUACAAGUUAACAUUUGAUAAGAAUCAAACAAUAUUGAUAAAAAUAAAAUAAUUAUUUAUUUGAUUCAUUGUCUUCAUUUUAAUUAUUGACUAAGAAAGAUUGAUUGUGAAUUAAUAUAAAGAUUGAUCGACUCAAUAUUUGCUAAAUAUGAAUCAUUAUUCCUAAAUUAUGUUAAUUGUAUCAUUUCUUUUUAUAUUUCAAAUACUUAUAUAAACUGAGGAGUUGUGCUCAUUAAUUUUGUGCUCAUUAAUUUAUAAGAGAGAAAUUUAUCUUCUUUAUAUUAUUUUUGAAACAUUUUCAACAUUGCAUCACCUUAAAAUGCCCUUUCAAAUUACUUGUCAAUAUGUGUUAAUUUUACAGGCGUAGUAGGGAAAGCUGGUGGUCUCAACUGUCAUAAUAUCAAAUUUUUGGCUUAUUCGCUGACGUGACAGACGGCUGUCUCCUCUUUUGCAGCACGAGAUUUCCUCACCGAUUCCUUAUUUUUUGACACGUAUUCAACUUCAACCGAUCUUUUUGAGAUUCGGGGCCCACAUAUCUCUUGACAUUUUUACAAAGACUUUUUAUACCCUUACAUGGUGUACCUCAGGUACCCCACAGAGCAUCUGGGGUACCCGGUGUAAGCCAACCUUAUUUUGGUGACUCUGGCUAAUAAACUCUAUAUUGAUAGAGGCGUUUCUCAUGACUGACUCUUUGGAGACUUUUCUUUGACCGUUUUGCGUCUGAUUUGUGGUACCCUUCGUACCUUCUUAAUCUCCAGCUGUACCUCGGGUACCGGGUUUAUAGUGUAGGUUGGGUAUCUCGGGUACCAAGGUUAUAGUGUAAGUCGGGUAACCGAGCUUAUAGUGAAUGUCGAGUACCGAGUUUAUUGUGUAGGCUAGGUAUCUUAGGUACUGAGCUAAUGGUGUAGAUCAGGUACCUCGGGUACCGAGUUUAUAGUGUAGGUCGGGUAACCAAGCUUAUAGUGAAUGUCGGGUACUGAGCUAAUGGUGUAGAUCGGGUAACCGAGCUUAUAAUGUAGUGCAAGUCGGGUAUCUCGAGUACUGAGUUUAUAAUGUAGGUCGAGUCCCUCGGGUACCGAGUUUAUAGUGUAGGUCGGGUAUCUCGAGUAUCCCGAGUACCAAAUUUUAUGGGGUAGGUUAGGUAUCCUGGAGGAUAACUAAUAAUUACAUAACCUUUGCAUCGACACGUGGCGCUUUAUUUUCAAUACUCUAUUUAUCCCCAAACAAUCUGCAAUUAUUAGUUAGUCCAAGGGACCCAUGCAUGCUCCCACGUAAUUCGCCCAAUUGAAUUAUAGCCAUAAACCACAUCGGCCACUUGUGUUAAUAUGUGUGUGUGUGUGUCUAUAUAUAUAUAUUAUAUAUAGAUACACACAUAUGUAUAUAUAUUUGCAUAUUGUUAAACCAGAAGAUAGCAAGAACUCACAAAAGCAACUUACUUUGCAUUACGGUUCACCAGAAGCUUUGAAGGAUAUGGAAACUCCUUGCGCAGGUUUCUAGGGCAACUUCGAUUUAAAUAUCAUUUAUUAUAAUUUUAAUUUUAAUUUUUUUGAUAUUAAUCACGAGGUAUCCUGGGGAGAGCCCCAACUGUGGGAGGCACUUUUAAGCCCGUACCACAACCCAGACUAGAAGUCCCCGCUCGAACCGGGAGGCACAGAUUCUCCCAACAAAUGCGACUUCCCUGCGACUCGAACUGGGGAGCAAACCUAGUCAAGCCACUUAAGGGGACUCCAUUGCCAGUGGAGCCAACACUUUGUUGGUUUAUAAUUUUAAUUUUAAUACAUGAGUUUAUCGGAAAAAAAAAAUUGAAUAUGAAUUUUUCAGGUUAAAACGAUUGGUCGGAGGAUGACUGCAAGUUUUCAUGGCAUGUAAAUAUUGCUAAUGAGGAGAUUAACGAUGAUAGUCUUGAUCUUCUUGUUGUCUCUUAAUAUAUGAAAAAUAUUAUCUACACUGAUUAAAUACAGUGUGACUCUUUUGUUUUUUUAACUAAAUAAAAUGAUGAGUAUAGGUGUUACCUGUCAAUCAUGUGAGUGACAUAAUUUGGUUUAGCUCAAUUUAUAAAAUCUUUUGAGAUAAACAAGAGAUCUUAUUUGUUUACUAUUGUGUACUAUGUUUUCCUGAAAAAGAUAAAUUAAUGAAAGUUCUUUUGUGCGUCAAUCUAUACAUAUCAGCUGGAACCCCAUCUACUUGCUAUCCAAAAAGACACGACCUCUUUCGAUCGUAUAAAAAAUUGGUUACGUUUUGCUAAUUUACCCACAAUGCCCUCCCGAUCCUCCAAAAAGGAUGGUCUGAACAAUUACUCCCAUCUCUACGAUAUCCAGUAUUGUUACUUGUAGCUUAUAGCUUUACGAGGCAAAAAAGCAUCAUCAACAAUUCAACAUAAACUAAUGUUUUAAAAAUAAGUUGCAUGAUUAUUUUUCUGCGUAUUUUGCUAGAACUUAGUCAUAAUUUUUAAUAAGAAUGGCUACUUUCGCCGUUUCCGGAACUACAAGCAAGAGGCCUUAAUUAACUAUUGCUUCUAUCAUUGGAAUCUGAAAAGAAACGUUUGACUGACUUACUCAUCGGUUAAUCCGAAUAGAAGGUCAACUAGAAUCUGUUUUAGUUAAAGAUUGAAAUUGAUAAUGUUUGGAAGCUAAGAAAAUGAAAGAAAGCUGAAGAAAAUAACAACUGGAUCUAAGAAGCUUCUAGAUCAUUUCUUAUUAUUCAACAGUACUGUACUGAAAGAGCUUAAGCUGAUCAUCACAUGCGCAAGCGAUUACAUAACCACCAGGUGCCAUCUGGCAAUCCAUGUCAUCAACUUGUAACCGUAUGCAACAGCUGCUGUAAUUCUCUGUUUUGUUGACCAUGCUGCAAAUGUGAGCUUCCUUAGCAGUUUUUCUGUUUGUUCAGUCAUGACGAAUAGAAGGCCUCUUUGUUCGGUAAGCAUUCUGAAGCUCUCAAUGCCUCUUGCUGCUGCUUAUUUCCUAUUUUCCUUUCUUCCUUUCGACUUGGCGAGAGAAUAAUGUCUCUGGAACAUGACCGCCUAUUUCUCAAUGCAGAUCUGAUGCUUAUGCAUGCACGGAUGGAUGAUUUUAACCAUAACUGAUCCACUCAUGCACAGAUCUAAAUAUAGUUGAGCUAGUUCAAAGUUAUAGCAUGAUUUAAUCAGCAAAGAUUAAAGCAAAACGGACACUGUAAUGUCUUUCUUAUUUAUUCGUACGCUGAUUUUCCUGUUAAAAUUCCAACACCAAUUUCACGAUCCAAAUCCAAUUACAUUUGUCCAAUCCCAAUUUCAAAGCUCAAUCCAUAGAAAAUUCAAAAAUUGUGUACAAAUGAUAGAUGUCUCUAAUCUAAAACUAUCAAAUGGUGGUGAAAAUAUCUUAGUCUCAAAAUAUCUUGAAUAAUUGGUGAUUUUUGUAAAAUGUAGUUGUCAUAUUUUUAUAAUUCAAUGUUUCUGUGGCUAGUAUUAGUUUUAUGUUACUAUAAAUACCAUUGGACUCUUUGAUGGAGGCAUCAAGUGAAAUUUGAAGAAUAAGAGAGAAAUAAGAAGUGUGAGCCGUGAGUUUUAUGCGUAGUGUCCCUUGUGAAAUAUUUAUAAAGUCCUUUAAAUGUUUGUAAAUUUUGGUAUUACCCAAAUAGUUCCGAUUUUGUUCAGUUUAAUCCUAUUCAUUUUUUCAAAGAUUCCAAGGUGGUGUUUGGUUGGGAGUAGAAAAUGUAGGAGAGGAAAGUAAUUUAAAUUCUCUUUUUAUUUUUAUUGUUUGAUUUGAGAAAAUAUAUAAGAAUUUAAUUUCCAUUAGUAUUUAAUAUCCAUCAUAAUGUAGAAUUUGAAUUCCAAACUUAGUGAAGAAUUUAAAUUCCUCUUAUAUUAGAAACUAAAGUUUCUAAAAUUACCCUUCAAUUUUUUAACUUAUUUAAUGCCAUUAAUAAUUAUUAUUUAUAAUUUUAUUUUAAUGACUUAAUAUUAUAAAUGGACCUCCACCGGAAAGUCAUCGGACCACCGUCGGACCUCGCCGGAAGAUCGUCGGACCUAGCCAGAAUGUCGCCGAACCACCGUUGGACCUAGCCGGAAGUCGCCUGACCACCGUCGGACUUCGCCAGAAGUCGCUGGACCUCUGCCGCCGGCCAUUGGACCGCCAUUUUAUUUUAUAUAUAUAUAUAUUAUUAAUAUAAAUAGUUUAAUAUUUAAGGUAAAUGAUAAAUUUGUCUAAAGAAAAAAUUAUAAUUCAUUUCCUUAUCAAAUUUUAUAUCAAACCAAACAACAAAAUUUAAUUUCAAUACUCUUCUCCAUUCAUUUCUUCUCCCUUCCUCUCCAUUCCACUCUUUUCCUCUCCCUUUUCUUCAAACCAAACAUGACCCAAGGGACUAUGCCGGAUCAGAAAAUUAACCAAGGAUCAGCGAAUUCAAACGAAAUAAAUUGUACAGACAGACUGGCUCAUAUAUCGAGUGAUUCGUAUCCAAGUUUCAGGAUUUUACACGACAUGCACAAAAAAAAAAAAAUAAAUAUCCAACUUUGUGUUGAGAACUAGUUUUCUAGAAUCUACUUGUAUAUAUAAUUACUCUAUUAGAACUCCUUGAUUUAUCACUAACAUUUACAAGAUUAUUAUUGAUAAGAGCAUACUUACAUGACUAAAAAAAAGCAAAGUUAGAAUUCUAAAUACAGAACGGACGUCAAUUAAGAUAGCAAAUAACGACAAAUAAUUUUAGUCUUAACGACUUCGUCACUACACUCUUGAUGGAGUAGAAAAAUUAUGAAAUUUUGACUGCGCAAAGCUUAAUAUGCAAUUAUAAAAUCUUAAAAAAUUUCAUGCUUAAAAUUUGGCAAUUUUAAGAUAUAUAUGUAUAAAAAAAAUAACAAAGAAGCUAUGUCAUAAUUUAUCAACUCAAAUGUCAUCCUAACAAUAAAAUAGGACUACUAAACUUUUGAAAUAAUAAUUAUAAUAGUAAAAUCAUAAAUCUUAUAAUAGUAACUAAUUGAAUUAAAUUAAGAGUACUAAUAUUUUCAUGUAGAGGCUAAUGUUUUUGUGGCCAAGUUUUUUUCUUUUUUCUUCACAAAUCAUGGGCCAUAAAAACGGGCAGUAGGGGUUCUUUUGAUAUAGGAUGGUUGUGUAGGAUGAACAAGAUAUAUUUUUAGGGCCAUGACUUUUGUUAAAAGUGUCCAUUUUAAUCUCAUAAUAUAUUGUUUCGAAGCUUACAAAAGAUAGAUGUAGACAUAUAGAAAGGAUGAAUAGAAUAAUUUAAGAGAGGGUCAGGUUUAUGUUUUCUGAUACUAAACUUCCUAAAUCUUUCUAGGCGGAGGCUAUGCGUACUGCAGUUGACUUGAUUAACCUUUCUCCUUCAGCUCCAUUAGAUGGCGAUGUACCUGAGAGAGUUUACACUAGGAAAGAUGUUUCUUACAAACACUUGAGAGUGUUUGGUUGCAGACUAUAUGUUCACAUCCUAAAAGAUGAGAGAUCAAAGCUUGAUGAUAAAGUCAAGGAAUGCAUUUUCUUAGGCUAUGGGCAUGAAGAAUUUAGGUACAUAUUAUGAGAUCCAGUGGUAAGAAAAUUGAUCAGAAAUAGAGAUGUUGUAUUCCUUGAAGAUUAGUUAGUUGGUGAUGCAGAGAAAAGUGAUGAGCCUUAGUUAUCUCCAGAGAUUCCCAUUAUUCCAACUUCAAUUUCUCCACUUGUAGUUCAUAAUGAUCAUAAGGGAACUGGAGAAGAUAAUAACGAUGGUCCAGCAAAACCAGUUGACGAGGCACCUCCAAAACCACCUACACCACCAGUUGAGCCAGAAUUUUGGAGAUCCACCAUAGAACGACGACCUUCCAUUAGAUAUCCUCCACAUGAGUAUGUAAUGCUUACAUAUGAAGGGGAGCCAGAAUGUUUUGACAAAGCCAUGUCUCAUCAGCAUAAAAGUGAGUGAGUUAAAGCUAUGCAAGAGGAGAUGAAAUCCUUGAAUGAGAACCAUACUUAUGACUUAGUAAAGCUUCUUAAAGGAAAGAUGGCACUGAAGAACAAAUAUGUUUAUAGGUUAAAGACUAAAAAUAACUCACAACAGCAGUACAAGGCUAGAUUGGUUGUGAAGAGUUUUGGUCAAAAGAAAUGUAUUGAUUUUGAAGAAAUAUUUUCUCCUAUGGUGAAGAUAUCAUCUAUCCGAGUUGUUCUGGGAUUAGCAGCUAGCUUGAACUUGGAGAUUGAACAGCUUGAUGUAAAGAGAACUUUCUUUCAUAGUGACUUAGAGGAAGAAAUAUAUAUGGAGCAACCUAAAGGGAUCAAUGUUAAAGGUAAAGAAGAACUUGUGUGCAAGUUGUAGAAAAGUUUGUAUGAGCUUAAACAGGCACCAAGGCAAUGGUACAAGAAGUUUGAUUCUUUUAUGGAGAAUCAUGGUUUUAACAAGACAAUGUGUGAUCAUUGUGUUUUUGUGAAGAAGUUUGGUGAUAAUGAUUUCAUCAUUCUUUUUACUUUAUGUGGAUGACAUGUUGAUGUUGGUCAGGAUGCUAAUAAUAUUUACAAUCUGAAGAGGGAGCUUAGCAAGUCUUUUGCAAUGAAAGACUUGGGACCGGCGAAACAAAUUCUUGGCAUGAAGAUUUCCCGCGAUAGAAAAGUUGGGAAGUUAUGGUUAUCUUUAGAAGCAUAUGUUGAAAGGGUUCUUGAAAGAUUUAACAUGGUUAAGGCAAAAUCUAUUUGUUCUCCACUUGCAGGCCAUUUCAAGCUUACUUAUGAACAUUAUCCUACAAGUGAGAAAGAGAAGCAAGAGAUGAGAGGAGUUCCUUAUGCUUCAGCGGUUAGUAGUUUGAUGUACGUCAUGGUUUGUACAAUACCAUAUAUUGCUCGUGCAGUUGGUGUAGUUAGUCGGUUUCUCUUCAAUCUGGGUAACGAAUACUGAACAUCAGUAAAUUGGAUUCUCAGAUAUUUCAAAGGUACUUAUGAGGCAUGUUUAUGCUUUGGUGGUGACAAACAUGUAUUACAAGUGUACAUGGAUGCAGAUAUGGCAGGAGAUGUUGAUUCAAGAAAAUUUCUAUCAGGAUAUUUGCUCACCUUUGCAGGGGGAGCAGUCUCAUGGCAGUCCAGACUUUAGGAGUGUGUUGUCUUGUCUACCACAGAAGCACAGUAUAUUGCAAUUACUAAAAGUUGCAAAUAAACCUUGUGGAUGAAGAAUUUCCUACAAGAGUUGGGUGUGAAGCAAGACAAAUUUAUUGUGUACUACGACAGUCAGAGUGUCAUUCACUUGGCAAAGAAUUCAAAAUACCAUUCAAAAUCCAAGCAUAUUGAUGUGAAGUAUCAUUGGAUACGAAACGUGCUUGAAAAGAAACAAUUGCAGGUUUAGAAGAUACACACAACGGAGAAUAUGUUAGAUAUGACGACAAAGUCAUUGCCCAAGGAGAAGCUAAAAAGCUAUAUGCAAAAAGCGGGCUUGGUGGUGCCCCCACAUGAUCUGGAGGGAGAGAUUUGUUAGGUGCAUCUCAUUUGGGUGGCUCAAGCCUAAAGUUUAAUAAGUUUGGGUAAAUAAGUAAUUAAAAGAAACUUAAAGGACAAAUGAAAUUUACCAUGAAAUUUAGCUACAUAAACAAGCAUAAGUGGAGGUGGCAGUAACCUUUUAAGAGAAGAAAAAGGCAAGAGAGAAAGGAAGAGACAGUAGAGUUGAGACUAUUUGGGUGCAAGAUUUUCAAUUUUUAAUUGGGCGAUCGGAAGGCGAAAUUAACUUCCGUUUCCCUCAACUUUUGAGGGUAAGUUCCUAGUAUCGCCCUCUACAAUUCUACUAGUCUUGAUUUUUAUUUUAUCCUCUCUUUGACUAUUAUUUGAGAUACCCACUUGUUAGAGAGAUAAUUAUUAAGCUGUUACCGUAAGGCAAAAAUAUUGAGAUUCUUGAUAUUGGUAUCUUCUAGUAUUAUCUAGAGAAGAAUUAGUGCUGCAAUCCUAUUAAUAUAAUGGAAGAUUAUAUCGGACUACGGUUCCAUACUUUUUCUCGCUUUGGGUUUUCCAUAUAAAAUCUGUCUCUUGUGGUUGGUUUUUGCUUUGGAUUUUGUUGGUUUAUUUUUUUGCCUAUUUAUUUAUGGUACACAUCCGAUUUUAAUCACACAAAGAGGGAAAAAAUUUUGUUUCCGCUUAAUUUACAGCUACUUUUGUGAGUCCCUUUCCCAACAGCUUAAAUGUACUUAUACACCCCCCAAGAUUUUAAAUGUCACACUAACUCCUUUCUAAAAUAAAGUAUUUUUAAUACAAUCUGUCCAAGUAGGAAAUUUAACUGGAGAAAAUAAAAAUAAGUUAUGAAGGUUAAAGGGGAGCAAAUAAAGCAGGAGAAAACAAAGAAGCUUAGAAAGUAAAAACUGGAAACCAAGAAGCAAAAAUAAAGAUUUUGAGUAAUCUAUAAUUUCGGAAGGCCCCACCGUAACUACCACUAAAAAUAGCUUCAUGAAUUGAAGAAGGGGAACAUCGAACUUAGCAGCCAUAUUAUCUUAAUUUAUCAAAGAUUUAUGAACAAGUAUUAAAACGAAAUCAUAUCAGAGAUAAUUGCUUUACGAUUCAACAACUUAUUCUUAAUAUGAGAACGAGUAAAACAAGAACAGCCUGAAUUGAGCAACCAAGAAAUAGUUCCAUCCCAUGGAUAUUAAAUUCUAAUAGAAAUUAAAUUCUUAUAUAUUUUGUCCAACUAAACAAUGGAAAUAAAGAUUGAAUUUAAAUUAUUUUCCUCUCCUUCAAUCUCUCCUCCCAUCCAAACACCACGUAAAUGUUAGCUCUUUCAACUUACAAUCCACAUGUGUCAUGAUGUGUGCAUGUUGGAAUGGUCUAGUAACAUUCAUCAGAUAAUCAUAUGAAAUAAAAUGGAUGAAUAAAAGCUAUUAGAGAAAAGGACUUACAAAUUUAAUUUUUUUGAAGAGAAAAGAACAAAAAUAGCUUUUAUUAAAAAAAUACAAAAUAGAGAAAAUGAUGCAUUUCUUUUGUUCUCCUAAUUUGCCAUCUUUAAAAAAACCUGUUUAGCUAGAAAAAAUAUAAUUUUUUUUAAAGUAAAACAAACAUAAUAUUUUUUUUAAAAACAAGCAAAUACACAAAAGCAUGUUAUAUGAGCUAUCCCCUCCCCUUAACCAGAUCGAGGCAUUGUCCUCAAUGUCUAAAGAAAAAGAGAUAAAGUUUACAGGGCUGCACCUAAUAAUGUGAAAGGAACAUCAUCAAAAGACCAUAGUAAUGAUUUAUAUCCAAUGGUCUAAUAGGUUGUUGGUGGAUGCCCAUGAUGCAAUUGUGAAAAUUUCUUCUAAGAUGCCUAGUCCACUUGGUAAAGCAAUAAAAGCAUCAACAUGUUCAAUCUUUACAAUGAGACAUUCAUGUAUACAUAUAACAAUGAGUUCUUCUCCAUUUGUUUUCCCGAUCAUAUUUCCUCUAGUUUAAGGUUUUUGGGACUAUACACAAAACUUGACUUCCUUUAGUGUUUGCAGUUAGCGAGAUGGUUUGUGAAAUCUCUAAUGUUAUGGGUGUCAAUGUGUAAGUGUACACGAUAAGUAAUAUACUGAUGAGUAUUCAAAUUGUCUCAACAGGGAUUGAUGCUAUCAAAUUUGCUACAAUAAUCUUAACAGUGUAGUUUUGUUUUAAAUGAAAAUAAAGCAACUAAUGAAACUAACAAACAAAUCAAAGUAAAAAUGCAGUAAAUAAAAUAAAAUAAAGGAAAUUCUCACGUCAAAUAUAAGGAUGUAACUAAUGGGAAUUGAGUAGUUGAGUGCAUAAACUCACUUAAUAGCAUUAACUAUUUUUUCAAUUAUAGUACCAUUGGUACAACAUCUACUACAGCACUGGGCAGAAUCCCUCAUGCAUCCUCAGUUGUCGCCUGUUUGAUAUCUUAUAUCUAAUGCAACCUAACAGUGACCAAUUGUUACGCCAAUAUUAAAUAUACCAUUAAACGAUCUAGGUUUUGUUUACCCUACAAGAUGAAUACAUAUAUCUAAUUCAUCACAAAUUUUAGAUCAAGCAUGACCCUAUUCAAAUUAAGAUUAACUCAACUUGAAAAACCCAAUCUAAAACCAAGUAUUAUCUUAAUGAGAUCCACUGAAUCAGACCUUUUUUAGGCUCUUUCUUAGCUAGUAUCGUUAAAUGGGUGGUCAGCCGAAAUAGAGAAUAAAAUAAAUGCAAAUAAGACAAAAUGUUAUAGCAAACACAGAGAAACAUGCGUAUAUUAGUCAAACAUCCAUUAAGUUCGUUUAUUACUCAACUACAAUCAAAUUCAGUUCAUGAUUUGUGAUAGAAAAAUAAACAAAAGAGUUUCAGCCAUCAAAUAGAUCUCCAUGAAUAAAUAGAAAACAAGAAAAUAAGAAGAAUGGCUGAUUUCUAUUUUAUUUCUGCAGUUUCUCCUCUGUCGGCCUUCAAUCUCUCUCUUGAAUUUUUUUUUCUUGUUGUUUCUUUACGAUUUUUUCUCCUUGGGUGAUGGCUUUCCCUUUUUCUCUGUGUGUGCGCUCAUUUUAUAGCUUAAAAUUAAGGAAACCAUAAGUCUAGAGCGCGCAUAUUCUAGUUUUGGAAACUCCAUAUCGCAAUCUUCUAAGUAUCUCGCGUGAAAUCUUCUCUAUCAAUGCUUCAGGAUUGCUACAACAAAAGUGCUACAGCAACGGUUACUACAUGUUCCUUAAAAUUUAAGCUUCCGAACACUUACAAUUAUGCAUAAGAUCUAAGCAAUCUAAAACAAACUAAAUUUAUUAAAAAUAAACAAAAAUUGAUGUUCAUACAAAAUAUAACUAAAAUGCUAUAAAAACAUGUCAUUUACUCUCUAAAUAAUUUUGAUUUAAGUCUAAAAGUACUAUGAUAACUCAAUUUCAUAGAGUUAUCACGAGACAACCCUUAUUAAUCUAAAAUCACCAUCUCCACAUAUUAAAUGUAUUUUUCUCACAGACAAUAUCCCCUCGAGGUCUUUGACAGCCUCAACGAAAUUUAGAGUAUGUCCAAAAGUUGAUCUAGAGAAUACAAAAAUAUUUUUAAGUUGUCGAAAUGGAAUUACUGGCAUUAUGAUUUUCUUGCUGUUAAAAAAUUUAUAUGUAUUUACAAAUCCAGGAAAGACAAUCCAUUAAUGAUAAUAAAUUCGGAGGUUGGCAAUUGUUAAACAGAGUGUCAGAAAUAGUUAAAAUGAUAAUCAGUUAAAUGCUAUAGGAAAUUUUAAAUAAAUAAGUCAAUAAAGUUAGAGCAAAGUAAUAAUAGAAAAUGAAAAUGAUAUGUACUAAUAGUUGUGAUUGUGGCUCACGACUUCUUUUAGUUUUACAUCCAGUAAUGGCUUGAAUGCUUUCUAUGGAUCGGGGAUAGGAUUCCCAACCAAUUUUCUUAUAAAUUAGUGUUGGGUUAUUUCUAUUACUAUGGGUGUUAAUGUACAAGUGUACACAACAAGUAAUCUAUCAAUGUACAAGCCAAGUAGCCACACCAGCAUUCACCUCAGCAGGUGCAUUUUGAACAAUAGCCGCAUUCUCAACAGCAGGCAUCGUUUUAGUGGUAGGUUCUGAUCGUACUGGUAGCAUGUACACAACAAGUAAUGUAUCAAUGUACAAGUGUACACAACAAGUAAUAUACUGAUAAGUAUUCAGAUCGUCUCCACAAGGAUUGAUGUUAUCAGAUUUGCUACAACAAUCUUAACAGUGCAGUUUAAUUCUAAAUUAAAAUAUGACAAUUUAUGAAACUAAUAAAUUAAUUAAAAAUGCAAUAGAUAAAAUUCUCACGUCAAACACAAGGAUGUAACUAAUGGGAAUAGAGUAGUUGAGUGAUUAAACUCACUUAAUAGUGUUGAUUGCUCCUCUAAUUAAAACCCUAUUGCUACAACAUCUAUUACAGCACUGAGCAAAAUCCCUUAUGCAUCCUCAGAUGUCGUAUGUUGGAUAUCUUAUAUCUAAAUGCAACAUAACAGUGAUCAAUUGUUAUGCUAACAUUAGAUAUAGAAUUAAAUGUUCUAGGUUUCAUUUGCCCUACAAGGUCAAUCCCCACGUCCAGUUCUUCACUAAUUUUAUAUUAAGCAUUACCCUAUUCAAAUUGAGAUUCACUCAACUUGGGAAACCCAAUCUAAAACCCAGUAUUGUCUUAAUUUGUUCCACUAAGUUGGCCAUUUUCAAGGCUCUUUAUUAGCUAGUAUCCAUUAAAAGUGUGAUCAGCCAAAAUAGAGAAUUGAAAUAAAUACAAUUAAGACAAAAUGCUAUAACAAAUACAGAGCAACACACAUAUGUCAGUCAAACAGAUCGUUUAUCACUCAACCACAACAAAUUCAAUUCGUGAUUUGCGAUAGAACAGUAAAUAAAAUUGUUUCAGCCAUCAAAUACAUCCCCAUAAUUAAAUAGACAACAAGAAGAUAAGAAGAAGAACUGAAGUAUGCUCGAUCUUAGUGAUAUCUUCUUUAUUUCCUCUUUGAAUCUUCUGUUACAUCCUUCGAUUUAUCUCUUAAUGUUUUGUUUUCUUAUUGUUUCUUUUCGGUAUUCCCCUUAGGUGAUGGCUCUUUACUUUUUCUUUUCUUUUCAUGUGUGCUCAUUUUAUAAAUUAGAAUUAAGGCAACUGAAAGUGUGUGACGCAUAUCCUCCAUUUUUAGAAACUUUAUAUCGCAAUAUUUUAGUUAUUGCGCAUGAAAUCCAGUCUGUCAUUGCUCCAGGAUUGCUACAGCAACUGCUAUAGCAUCUUCAGUGUUCCAGACUUAUUUCAAUUCCUCUGCAGUCAAGAUAUUUUGUCACUUUUGCAAGUCUGUUGCAGCAACAUUUCAUCCCUAAAACUUGAGCUUUUCCGUCACCUACAAUUAUGCACAUAAUAUAAGCACAAAAUAAUCUAAAAAAACUCAAUUUAUUAAAAAUAAAUUAAAAUGGAUGCUUAUGCCAAAUGUAACUAAUAUGCCAUAAAAAUACAUCAUUUACUUUCUAAGUAAUAUUGAUUUAAGUCUAAAAGUAUCAUGAUAACUUUCAGUUCAUAAAGUUAUCAAUUAGCAAAUUGAGUAAUUUGAAAUUGGCUUCCCAAGACUAAAUUGUUUACCUUCUUUUAGGAAUUAUCUCUAUAAAUUGUGAAUCUCGCAUUGCACAUAGUCACUUGGAUGCAUCUUAAGAGAUCGCAAGAUAUCAUCUAAUGCUUGUUUACAUGGACCAUCCUCAAUGAAUUUAAUUUUAUCUUCACGAUUUUAAAAACCAUUCCUAAAGUUGUACAAUACGCUUCACAGGAAAGUCUUUCACAUUUAUGAUAUUUAGAGCCAAUUCGUUUAGCUCUUCUUUUUUUAGCAAAUGAUAUCAUAUAAGUCCAAUGAACCAAUUAACACAUACAAUGCAUUCUUCUUUUCACCUUUCAUCACAAUAGAACCCUCCUUAGUCACUUUUAUGCCAUCAUUAUCUAACUUAAAUGAAUAUCUAGAGCUGUCCAAUAUGCCUAAAGAGAUCAAAUUUCCCUUUAACUCAGGAGCAUGUCUAAGCCUAUGUAAAGUUCUGAUGAUCCCAUUAAAUAUUUUAAUCUUGACAAACCUUAUUCCAACAAUUUAACACUUAUUGGUGUUUCCCACAAAAACUCUACCACCAUCAAUAAACUCAUAUUGAUGAAAAAGUGACUUAUUAGGCAUAUGUGAAAAGAACAACCCAAGUUUAAUACCCACUGACCUUCUAAGUUGCCUUUUGAGGUUAUAAAUAGAUCAGCACUAUAAUAACCAUCAUCAAAGGAGAUAUUUAAAGCCACAGCCACACCUCCUAACUUUUAUUGACUUUCCUUCUUCUUUUUCUCUGCACUCUCUCUGAUGUAAUGCAUUUGUUUCCUACAAAAAAAGCAUUUCCUCUUGUUUUUCUUUUUUUUUUUGCAUUCUCUUGGUUCUUUCCUUACCCCUUUCUUUGAUUCUUGUUCUACUGUUCCUUCUUUUUUCGGUUCUGGCAAUCAGCCAUUCACCAUUACUUACUCCAUGGCCAUCAUGCUUUUCAAUCUCUUUUGAGCUUAGUGAUGUCGUGACAUCUUCCAAAGUCAAGGUUUUCUUCUAUACAACAUUGUAUCCACAAAACCUUCAUAUGAUUGUGGCAAUGAACUUAAAAAGAAAAUGAUUUUGUCUUCAUCUCUAAUCUUCACAUUUUCAACCUCUUCAAGAUCAAGAAUGAUCUUGUUGAAAGUGUCAAUCUGUUCUUAAAUAGACCCCCCUUAUAUCAUUGAAAAAGUGUACAACUAUUUCUUCAAGAACAACUUGUGAGCCAAAGAUUUCUUCAUACAAAGGCCUCCACCUUAUUCUAUAUCCCAAGGUAUGUUUUUGUUUAGAGAUUUCCCUCAAGAUUGAGUCACUAAGACUCAAAAUUAGGGUUUUGAAGGCUCUAUUUUAAAUAUGUUUCUUCUUUUCAUCAGGUUUAAAGCUUGUUUCCUUAUCAAGAUCUUCUUCUUCUAAGACGGAUUCAAGGCCCUGAUGCACAAGUAGAGCCCUCAUCUUCAUCUUCCAAAGUGAGAAAUCACCACUGAGCUUCGCAAUUUCUGGUUUUAAAAGUGACAUGGUCAAGGUUCACUAAGUCUCUGAUACCAAUUAUUGUAAUUAAUAGUUAACAAUCAAGAACUCAACCAAUCUUCCGAGCUUUAAUCAAACAAGAUUAAUUCAAAUCAAAAUUGAAGAAAAACAUAACAAGAACAAAGAAAUAGAACUCAAUCACAAAGAACAAGCUUCUCUGUUUGAAGGGGAAAACUAGCACACUUUUACUAAUCAAGCUUAUCACAAAUUGAUCACACAUUACAAAAGAGGUUGCAAGCUUUAGAAAUAAACAAAAAGCACAUAAUUUGGUUAAGAAACAAGAGAGAAAAGGUUCACACAUUAGAGGUUGUGCACUAGCCUAUUUAUUUUGGAAAUUUUCAAAAACCAUCUAACAACCUUCAACGAACUAUAGCCAUGUCAGCAAAAAUUUACAAAACGACCCUAAGCUAAAGUUGAUUUGUACAAUGGCCCAACAAAUCUCCUUCAUUUUACUUCAAUCCCAAAAAACAGAAUAUAUAUCUUCACAUUUAUAAUGGUUGGCUUAAAAGAAAAUAUAGAGAUUGUAUAUAAAAUAAAAAAUACUAAACUGUAAAAAUGAAAAAUAGGCAAACUCAAAAAAUAAUAAUAAUAAUAGGUUCAAAAACUCGCUUCAAACUUAUUAUGACAUAUACAUUCGUUCAAAUAACUUAAUCAAUUUCACUCAUCAAAUCUCUCAAUUCAUAGUUGUCACUAACAUCAUCAUGCAAAGUUGCUAACGUGGUGUAGCAUAACUCAAAACCAAAGAUAAUAUAAGUCAUCAUGUCAUCCAAUGUCAAAUGAUCAUACAAGAUGCCUAGAAAACUUUAAUAAUCUUUUUAAUUUUUUUUUAUAAAAAUACCUCACCCUCAAACUUAUUCUAAACAUUAUCCUUAAUGUUUCUUAUUCUAAAGAAGUGCAUGUCAAUGUGUAAAAAUACAAAGAAGAUAUGAAUGCCAAUAGUAAGAGAAAUAAGUAGGAGAGAUUGCACUUAAAUUGGCGAUCGCUCUUAAAUUAGUCGCAAAAUAUUCUACAAAAAAAUCUAAAGAAAACAUUAAAAUAAAUAUAAAGAAUAAAUACAAAAAGCAAAAUAUUAGAGUUUUUUAUCUAUAAAAGGAUAAUGGUAGUGAUACUCUUUAAUGUUAUAUAGCUUAGGCCACAUCUGUCUUAAGCUUAUCUGAAAGUUAUCUAAAAUACUAUAAAAUGAUAACAAUUUGAGCACUUCAGAUCUUACUACUUUAUUCAUGUCAAAAUGUGACUUAUCUUGUGCUGCUUUAGGAAGUAGCUCUAGUUUGAAUGGUUUUUCUUCAAGAGGAAAUAGCUUAAUCUUUUCUUUCCCCUUAGUUAAAACCAUGAUAGGGGCAAAUAAAGUAAAAUAUUAACUUCUAGGAAAAUGAUCAUUCGUAUACUUUAAAUUUGUACUUUUAUCAAAAAUACUACAACAUUUUAAGGGUGUAAAAGAUGUAUCAAUUGUCCACCUUAAAUUGACAAACGUUAUCUACCGACCACUAAACCUCUAGCUGUCGUUUGAAAGUUAAUGGAACUAUAGUGAAUUGACGAUUUUACUUUUGAAAAUUAUCACUUGUAUACUCUUAAAAUCUCUUAUUAUCAUUUAGAUACCCUUAAAUUAUCACUUGUAUCAUAUGAGAAUACCAGACUACCCUUCUAAUGUCAUCAUAUUUAAACAGCAACUAACGGUUUGGUGGACGGUAGAUAUAUUUUGUCAACUUAUGGUGGACGAUUGAUAUACCCUAAAAGUGUUGUAGUAAAUUUGAUAAAAGAGUAAACUAAGGGUAUACGAUUGAUAAUUUUCCUUUCUAAAAUAGCACUAUCAACAUCAAAAGAUAAAACAAAGUGAAUUAAGUAUGUCUUUAGAAAAAUACACUGGAGAGUUAAUUUGGCCAUACAUUGGUUGUAGAAGAAUACACUGGUUGUAGAAGAAUCUAUGCAUGUUACAUUUGAUGAGUCUAACCCCUCCUCUGCGGAGAAAGGAAUAAAUUAUGAUGAUGCAAAUGGAGAGUUACAAGAAGAACCAUCAAAGGAUAAUCAAGAAAAUGCACUACAAAGAAAUCAAGAGGAUGAACAAGAAGAGCGAACAAAUAUGGAGCAACAUGAAGGUACUUUUCAAACACUCCCCAAGGAGUGGAGGUAUGUUUCUUCUCACCCUAAAGAUGUAAUCUUAGGAGAUCCAUCACGAGGCGUUACAACUAGAUCAUCACUUAGGAAUACUUGUGAGCAUAAUGCAUUCAUUUAUCAAAUUGAACCCAAAUCCUUUGCGGAUGCGGAAAAUGAUGAAUCUUGGAUUAUGGCAAUGCAAGAGGAGUUAAAUCAAUUCAAAAGAAACAAUGUGUGGGAAUUAGUCCCUAAACCGGAACAUCAAUCCGUCAUAGGUACUACAUGGAUAUUUAGAAAUAAGAUGGAUGAAUCCGGUGUGAUUGUAAGAAACAAAGCUAGAUUAGUGGCUCAAGGUUACAACCAAGAAGAAGGAAUUGAUUUUGAUGCAACAUUUGCUCCCGUUGCUAGACUAUAAUCAAUUAGAAUGUUGUUGGCAUUUGCAUGUCAUAAAGAUUUCAUCUUAUUUCAAAUGGAUGUGAAAAGUGCUUUCUUAAAUGGGUAUAUUAUGGAAGAAGUAUAUGUAAAACAACCCCCUGAUUUUGAAAAUGAAAAACUUCCAAAUCAUGUUUAUAAGUUGUUUAAAACCUUGUAUGGAUUAAAACAAGCACCUAGAGCAUGGUAUGAUAGGCUUAAAAACUUGUUAGAAAAUUAUUUUUCCAUGGGUAAAGCGGAUACUACUCUCUUUGUUAAACAUAAGGACAAAGACAUACUUGUUGUUCAAAUUUAUGUUGAUGAUAUUAUUUUUUGUUCUACUAAUGAAUUGUUGUGUCAAUAAUUUUCAUCUUGCAUGAGUAAUGAAUUUGAAAUGAGUAUGAUGGGAGAGUUGAAGUACUUCCUUGGGCUACAAAUAAAACAAAAUGAGGAAGGAAUUUUCAUAAAUCAAGCCAAGUAUGUAAAAGAUCUACUCAAAAGAUUCGGCAUUGAUGACUCAAAGACCACAAAUACACCAAUGAGCACAACAACCAAGCUCGACAAAGAUGAAAAAGGCAAAGAAGUGGAUAUCAAAAUGUAUCGAGGUAUGAUCGGAUCUUUACUUUAUUUAACUGCAAGUAGAUCCGAUAUCAUGUUUAGCGUAUGCUUGUGCGCAAGAUUUCAAUCAUGUCCCAAGGAAUCCCAUUUGCUUGCUGUUAAAAGAAUUUUUCGUUAUUUGUGUGGAACCAUAGAUAUUGGACUUUGGUAUCCUAGGGGAACUCAUAUAGAUUUAACAUGCUAUUCGGAUGCGGAUUUUGCCGGUUAUAAAAUUGAUAGGAAAAGCACUAGUGGAACUUGCUAUAUCCUAGGUCACUCACUUGUUUCAUGGUUUAGCAAGAAACAAAAUUCUGUUGCACUCUCAACCACCGAGGCCGAAUAUAUAGCUGCAGGAAGUUGUUGUGCACAAGCUCUUUGGAUGAAACAAACACUUAGAGACUAUGGUAUUAACCUAGAACAAAUUCUCAUUAAGUGUGAUAAUACUAGUGCUAUAAAUCUUUCAAAGAAUCCCAUUCAACACUCUAGAACCAAGCAUAUAGAAAUAAGACAUCAUUUCUUGAGAGAUCAUGUUCAAAAGGGAGAUAUUGCAUUAGAGUUUAUUUCUACAAAAAAACAACUCGCCGAUAUUUUUACCAAACCCCUUGGCGAAGAACAAUUUUUGAAAAUUCGGCAUGAACUUGGGAUGAUGAAAUUUUCGCAUUAACGUCUCUAUUCAUGCUAUUGAGUGUACUGAAUUGAUUGACUUAUUGGUGAUUUAAUAUUUAUGAAAUGCUUAAGCUUGAUAUUCAAAUGAUGUAUUUGCUUUGUUAAUUCUUGAUUGAUUAUAUGAAUUAAUUGCUUGAAUACAUGUUCAUGAAUCAUGCAUUAAAAUGGCUCAUAAAACAUUUUUAGAUCAAUCAAAUGAUCUUGGAAUGUAUUAUUUGCUGGCCAAAAAUUAAAUCAAAUGUGCGAAAUUAUAGAUAAAAUAAACGGUGCACCGUUUCCAAUAAACGGUGCACCGUUUUAUUCCAGAAACGAGAUUUUUUGUCUGUCUUUUUACCCUUUCACUGUUUGAUGCAAUCGGUAAACCGUUUAAAAACAAAGAGUCCUCUAACAGUUACCCCUUAACCGUUUAAAUAAAUGGUUAACCGUUUUCGUGAAUAUAAAAUUGUUCAAAGGUUUUCUUCUUCCUCUUAAGUUGCCCUUUCACCGUUUCAGCCAUAGUUGUGCAGUCGACGCCUCCUCUGUCCCCAAAUCUUCAUUUUCCUUGCUUCUCUUGCCAAAUCAAACCUACAACAUCAUUUCUUAUCUCCUUUAGAACACUUUCACCGAUUCAAAUCUUCAAAUCAAGCCCAAAAUUGAAAAAUCCCAAAUCUAAACCCUAACUGCCGCCGUUCGGGUUUCUUCGUUUUUAACUCGAUUCUUCCCCUUCUUCAACCAAAUUGAGUAUCAAAAUCAUAUCCUCUACUCAUUCCUCAGCAAAUAAUCGGUUCAUUUUCUUCUCAUCACAUCUCUCCCGCAUUUUUCAAACUCUGUUGUGCUUCACCAUGGCUGCACCCCCUCGGAGAAAUCUCAGGCGAAAAUCUAUGCCUCCAAGGAACCCUAUACCACCACGAGAAGUCUCUGAAUUCGCAAGAAUUCAUUUCCCCAUGCCUUCCUUGGCGAAGCGGUUCGAGGAUCGUUUCAAUGGUCGAAAGGUACUUGACUCUUCUUAUGUUGAAAUAGAUGAUUUCAGUACCUUAGUUGUAUGUGGUAGAAGCGUUAGGGAUAUGCUUAAGCCUUGGGAGUCUGCCAUUGACUUUGAUGACCGAGUUUAUCCCAACUUAGUGCGAGUCUUUUAUUCGAACAUGGAAAUCUCCGCAACUCGCCUAAAUAGGAUAGUUACUCAAGUCGGCGGUGUGCCUAUUGAAUUUGAUGAUGCAGAUCUAGCUAACUUUCUUGGUAUCUCUAGUGAGGGUCAUGAUAUUUACACCUCUAGGAAAGCCUUUGACUUUGACAGUUUUUGUCAUAUGGAUGGAGUCCGUAAUAUUUGUCGUCGUCGAGACUUGUCUGAUGAGAUCUAUCUGCUACCUUUUCGGGCUCAACUUUUACCUCUCCAAGUUCGCAUUCUUCACUCUAUCUUACAGCACAUAGUGACACCUAGGAAGGGUCACUCGGAUGAGGUUACGAGGUUGGACGUUGGCCUCUUAGAUAGCCUCAUUUCAGGCCGUCCCAUUAACCUCGGCCAUGUUAUUGUGCGGCACAUGUUGAGUACUCCCGUUGUUAACUACCUUUUGCUUCCAUAUGGCAGUAUCAUUACGAAGAUACUGCGACACUUUGAAGUGCCUCUUCUCGAUACCGGUUAUAUGGAGACUAAACGGACUGGUCCCGAGGCCAUGACUAGUAUCGGCUUUUCUAGGAAGAAUGGAGAGUGGAUACAGACCAACAACUCCAAAAACCAGGAUACCUUGAUUUCUCCGGUGGAUGAUCGGAUGCUCAAGGAUGUCUAUCCUCCCGAUAAGCUUCCCGAUUUUAGAUUAGGAGCUCAUCCUCAUCCUCAUCCUCCGCGUCGCUGUUUUGUCCCUCGGCCUCCAGCUGACUCUGACUCUGAGGAGCGUGCGAUGGGUGCUGACAUUCCCUCCUCUUCCGAGCCGCCUCUCGCUCCCAAGCAGCCUCCUGCUCCUGAGCCAUCUGUUGUUCCUGAGCAGCCAUCUGCCUCUGUGCCACCUCCAGCUCCAGUUCAGCCCCCUGCUUCAGACGUUGUGCAACAGUUGAUUGCUGAUGUUCACCAGAUUUCAGAGCGCCAGCAGUUGAUUCUUGAUCGGUUGGACACUUUCUCCCGUGACCACCAGCAGCUACGUUCUGACUUUCAGACCUUCCAGCAGCAGAGCAUUGAUCAGCAGCUUGAGCUUAUCGCUAGACAGUGUACUCUUCUCCGCUAUUUCGGUUAUGAUCCGGGGAGCACAUCUUCUCCACCUCCAUAGUUUCCGAGUUCUAUUUUCGCACAUACAUUUCAUAUUUUGGUUGUUUGUGUAUUGCCAUUUAUAUUUUUUAUACACUGCUACCUCUAUAUGCUCUUUAUGGAUUUUGAUGACAUGGUUUUGUGAUGUUCUUGAUGUUGGAUGACUUGAUAUUGGUUGAUGAAAUUGUUGGUUUGUUUGUUCAUGGCGUUGUUGGAUGAUGGAGUUGUUGUUAAUAUAUUUUGGAAGUGUUUUAAUCUCAUUUUGUAUUAAUGGUUUUGCUUCAUUUUAAAGGGAAACUCUGCCAAAAUUUUCGCUCGCCAAAACCGAGUAACUUUUUUAACGGAUUUGCGGCUUUCCUUUCUCUCUUUUCUUUUUGAUGAUGAAGGGGGAGAUAAUUAUGGGGAGUUUUAAAAUAAAUUUAAAAAUGUUUUCUUGAGCAAAAAUCUUUUUAAUAAUUAUGGGGAGUUUUAAAAUAAAUUUAAAAAUGUUCUCUUGAGCAAAAAUCUUUUUAAUUGGUCAUUUCUUAAUUUGGCCAUACAUUUAGGGGGAGCAUAUAUUAAGGGGAAGCAAAAUAUUGAAUGAAGUUUGUCAUCAUCAAAAAGGGAGAGAUUGUUAACAUGAAUAUGUUAAUAAUAUUGAUUUUGAUGAUAACAAACUUUAAAUAGUUUUUGAUUAAAAUGUUGGAGCUAUUCCUUAAUAAAUGAAAGCCUUAUAAUCAUUCCAAUCAUAUUCAUAAAAGAUGGACUUUCAAAUUAGAAAAUGACUCUCUGCAAAAUCUGGUUUAAAAUAUAAUUCUGGAAAUAAACGGUGAACCGUUUUCUUUCAAACGGUUAAUCGAUUAAAACCAGAGAGCGACAUAUUGCCUAAGCUCUAACUGAUUAAGAAAAACGGAAAACACAAAAAGCUGGGAAGGCUACUGGAAUUCAACGGUGAACCGUUUAUUUAAACGGUGAACCAUUUAUUUAAAUGGUUAACCGAUAAAAUCCAGAAUUGAAGGUUGUACUCUUCUGGCACCGUUUAAUAAAACCGGAUAAGGCUAAAUUGUUUUGCAGGUUACUGGAAACAAACGGCGAACCGUUUAUUACAAACGGUUAACUAAUAAUAUCCAGAGAAGUCACUUCAUGCAAAUACUUAACCGUUUAAUGUAAACGGAUAACUGAUGUUCAUCUUGUAGGUCUCUGGAAUUUAACGGUGAAAGGGUAAUCCUAAACGGCAAACCAUUUAUUUGAAAUUUGGCCCAACGGUAACUUUUGACCAACCUAAACGGUCCGUUAAUGGUUAACGGCGAACCAUUUUCGGGCCGACAGUUUGUAACGACUAGUUUUUUCAGCUCCAAAUAUAAAUAAGCUCAUUCAAAUUCAAACAAUAUUGAUCACAACACGACUAUUGAGCUUAUACUCGAGAAUACAAUCUUCAUAGAGCUUUGAACACAUUCUUGCUUCAUCUAUUUACAUAAUCUUAAUUAUUGUGAGAGGCAAAACAAAUUUGUAAUCUUUUGUUUUGAGUGAUUGUAAGUGUUGGGAUACACUUGGGUUAAAGAGAUUGGGAUAAUCUCUUGUUGUAAAGGUUAUUGACACCUUGGAAGUCAAGUGUAAGCAUUUGAAGCCUUUGAGGCUUGCUUAGUGGAAUCCUCAAGCCCGGAAAGCUUAGAGGCGUGGACGUAGGCGAGGUUGGCCGAACCACGUAAAAAUUUCUGUGUUUGAAUCUCUCUUCCCUUAUCUUUUUAUAUUGUGAUCACCUUAUUUGUUAUUGCUUUGAAUUUGUUUUAUAUUUGCAUUAAGUUUUUCUUUAUAAAUUGAAUAAUUUUUAGAAUUCCAAUUCACCCCCCCUCUUGGGUUGCAUAACUAGAAUUUCAGUAGGCAAUUAAAAACUUAGAAUUAACAACCUAAUUAAUUUUUGAAAAUACUAUUCACCGUUACUGUUCACGGUUAUGGUUCAUCUGCAUAAAAAAUAUUAAUUUUCCAAAAACACAAUAAAUUACAGAAACGAAAUGACACGAAGAUUUUUACAUGGUCUGGAUUAAUCAAUCCUACAUCCACGAGGACAGACCCAGAUGAAAAGUAAUUCACUAAGUUGAGAUAUUACAACUUAUAUAUUUACCAAACUUAAGACUCUCACUUACAGUUUAUCACCAUAUAGCUUAUUCAACCUUAGACUGAAUAUGCUUCUCUUGAAUAAUUGAUACACCUCUUUAUCCAUGAUCCUUAAGGCACUUCGUAAAGUGAUCAAUAGUAAUUCUUCAAUUUUUCAAUGUCUAGUGAUCCGACUCCACAUAGACGCUCCAUAGAGAUGAAAAGAAUAUAAGAAAACAAAUCAACACAACAAUAUGUGCCAAAUCUGGAUUCUCUAGGGAGGAGGCCAAAUUUUGCUUCUCUGCUUUAUGUUCUGUGUUGUGUGCUUUCAAUUGUGAAAUACCUCUCUUUAUAUAGGCACUAGGGUUUCACAAAAAUAGCAGGUCUUAAAAGACUUGGAUUCUUUCCAAAUAAGAGUUUUUUUCCUCUUAUAAUUUCUAUGAAUCUGAAUACAAAUAAAUCUGAUCUUCUUACCUUACUUGUCUCCCAAGAAAUAUCUGGAGUAUUUAAUAUGUUUCUUAUUUAAACCAACUUCUUACUCUAAAUAGAUCUCAUGCGCCAAUUAUAAAAUCUCAUCAUUAAUUGACUUAUUAAAUUAGACAUCUAAUUAAACUAGGAAACAAAUAUUCAUAAAAAAUUGGAAUCUCCCUAAAUUAGGGAAUUAAAAACUCUGGAAAAACAAUCAAUAUCUCAUUCCAUGUAUAGAAGCAAGUGAUGACAUGCUAUGGGCAUAACUAUAAAUUUAGUAUUUUACAUCCAAUUAAACAGGAAAAAUAACAAUAAAGAGUCUUGGUAUCCAUUGUUAAAAUGUUGACAACAAUGCCAUUUGUCUCUACUAACUUAACAAACUUGAUUCAGUUGUUUUAUAAUAAUAGGAAUAAAAAAUAAAUUAAAUGCAUUAACAUAUAUAGUUUAAAAUAAUUUUAGUAUUUUAAAAACUAUUUAAUAAUUUACAAUCUUAUAUUAUAUUAAACUAAAUUUUAUAAUAAAUGGAACAUAACAUUAAAAUAAAUAUAUAAUUUUAAAUUAUUUUUCAAUAUGAUAUAAAAUAAUUUUAAUAUUAUUAAUAGACUCUAUAUAUUUUAUUAAUGGUAAAAUCUAUUUAACCCAAAGAUUUAUUAAAUUUUUUAUAAUAAAUACAUAUAUAUUAUUAAAAUAAAUAUAAUAAUUUACAUUUAGAAAUUAUUUAUAUAUUAAAAAUUUUCUAAUAUAAAAUUAAAUUAUUUAAAUUAUAUUUGUAUUUAUCAAAAAUAUUUAAAGAUAAAAUUUUAGUUACUAUUUACAAAAAAUAUUAUAGCCAAAAGGGGGUCUUAACAUCCCUUAUUAAAAAUCUGGAGGUCUACAUGACUAUUAAAAAUAUGGAAGCUACUUUUGUAAACUUUUAAGAAACAAUAUAAAGAAAACAAAUCUCAUUAAUUCUCGAGCACAAAUGCUCAUUUAUAUAAGUAUUUGAAACAUGAAAAUAGAAAUCAUACAAUUAACGUAAUUUAGAGAUAUUGAUUGAUUAACAAAAAUUGAGUUAAUCGAUCUUUCCUAUCAAUAAUUAAGAUAAAGACAUCAUUUGAUUGAUUGUUUUGUUUCUAUUAAUAUUGUUUGAUCCUUAUCAUUCUCCCUCAAGUUGGAGAAGAUUUUUUUGAACUUCUAGUUUGUCUUUAAAAAUCAUGUUUCCUUGAUUUUUAUCUAUAGUCGCAACCAAGUGUCAUGCAACAAACGGGGAGUACUCCUCUAAAACUUGUCUAGGAAAUCUUUUUGUUAUUUUCAUGUACACUUUUUUUAGACUAAGAAAAAUCAUAAGUAAUAAAUUCUUUUGAUCAAGGAAUUCUUUCAAUAUGAAAGUCGUUCCUCCAAUUAUUUUUAAGGAAAUCUUCACUCAAUGAUUUUAUCUUCACUCCUUUGAUAUUGCCAUGGAAUUAUUUAAUUUAGAACGUCAUUCCAUUGAUCUGGUCAAGGAAAACAUCAAUUUUUAGGAUUCCUUUUCAUUCCCCUUUACUUUUGAUAUCAUUUCCUUUGUGAUGGUAGAAGUGUGGUGGUUAAUGAUGCAGUUGAACAACUUCUUUUUCUUCUUCUUCUUUUGAAGAAAUUGAAGAACAAUAAAAAAGGAACUCACAUCUCUCCUUUAGACCACCAUGCUCCAGAAACACAUCAUCAACACGGUGGCUAAGCAUAAACCCACAAAUUUAAGGACUUUCAAACUCGUCUAAUACCAUGAAAAGUUUUAGAAAUAAAUUAAGAAGAUAAAUCUCACUCUUACUCAUACAUGAGCAAAAAAACUCAAUUCAUACAAGUACUUGAAAAAUGAAAAUGAUACACCUAACAUAAUUUGAGAAUAAUGAUUUAUUAACACUGAUAUAGACAAUUAAACUUUAUUUCGAUUUAUAAUCAAUCUUUCUAAAUCAAUAAUAUAGGGACAAUAAGUCAUUUGAUUUAUUUCCAUCAUUAUUGCUUGAUUUUUAUCAGUUUUUUCAGGUGCUUCAAUUUUGGACAAUUUCAUGUGAAUUCUAUUCUUAUAUUAGUAAUAUGUCAUCUUUUAAUUAAUUUUCUAUUAUAAAAUUUUCAGGUAAGACUAAAUGGUUUGAGACGCUUAUUACAAAGAAGGGUGCGUUUUUUAGCCAAUGCCAGAUAUAAACUGAUGAUGUAGCGUAUGGCAAUCUCAAUCUUCUUGUAGUCUCUCAAUACGUGGAAAACCCUCAUGAGCCUGGUUAAUUGAAUUGUAAAAUUGAUUUGUUUUCAUUUGAGUAAAUGUUAUACUUCUGAAAGUUUGUAUUUCGGAUACAAGUUGACAUUUGAUAAGAAUAAAAAAAUAUUGAUAAAAACAAAAUAAUUAUUUAUUUGAUUGAUUGUCUUCCUCUUAAUUAUUGACUAAGAAAGAUUGAUUGUAAAUUAAUAUAAAGAUUGAUUGACUCAAUAUUUGCUAAAUAUGAAUCAUUAUUCCUAAAUUAUGUUAAUUGUAUCAUUUCUUUUUAUAUUUCAAAUACUUAUAUAAACUGAAGAGUUGUUGUGCUCAUUAAUUUAUAAGAGUGAAAUUUAUCUUCUUUAUAUUGCUUUUGAAAAGUUUUCAACAUUGUGUCACCUCAAAAUGCCCUUUCAAAUGACUUUGUCAAUACGUGUUAGGAUUUUUAUUAUUAGCAUUGUUGUGUAAAUAAUAUUGUAAUUUCUUUAUUUCUCUUUAUUAGGGAUUUGUCUAGCCUUGGGAAUUAAUCAGAUUAGUUUUUGUGCAAUCUUGAAGAACAUUUUUGGAGGCACAAUAAAGCAAAUUGGUGUGUAAGUAGGGUUACAUUAUAAUCGAGUUCCAAUUAAAGAUGACUACUACAUUGUAAGUAUCAAGUACUUAUGGAAUAUUGGACUCUUAAGGAAGUAUAUCAUAGUACUCCUCUAAUAGGGUUUGGGUGAAAUACUACACCUAAAAGUAUUUCACACAUUGAAGACGGUGAAGAAGACAUGUUGUAUUUUAUAUCAAAGAAGCAGCCAAAGUAGAGAACAAAAAGAAACCCUAUUUGGCCGCAUAUGAUGUUUCAUCUCUCUAUGAUGUUUUAAUCUUCUUCAUUGAGUCUUCUUCAUAUCAAGUCUUUUAUUAUACAUUUGUUAUUAAUACUCUGGUCUCUUCAAGAUGAAAGGGUCGUUUGUUGUGUUGAGGGAAUCUUAAGGGAGCAGCAAACAUAAUUGAAGACAAAUAAUGCUCGCUAUGCAAGGUUGAAGGUGAAGGUGAAGGUGAAAGAAAGAGGGAGUCUGAAAUUGAUAAGAAUUUAAUAGGUUAUAAUCUUUUCAUUACUUAAUGAAUUACUUAUUUUCUUGGCGUGGCCCCGUAGAUGUAGAAUUGUGAUCCGAACCACAUAAAAAUCUCAUGUGCGCAUUACUUUCUACAAUUUACUUUUUCUAGCGUAUUUGAUAGAUCUAGGAUGAAUAAGCAGUGACAUAAAUAGUAACUAUGAACAAUAACUUGUAUACAGUAUCAUAUAAAACAGUAACUAUGAAUAAUGUCGUAUGAAUAGUGAAUCAUUAAUAGUAAUUUCAGGAUUACUUAAUUAGGGAAAUUAAUUUCUCUAGUGUUUUAAUUUGCCUAUAGUUGUUAAAAUAUAUCUAAAUUAUUAACAAUUCAGAGUAUUGACUUCACAAGUGUACUGUUGCACUUUUACUCUGUGUUUAAAUAAGUAAAAUAACAAGGUACGAUUGAUGAAAAGAUUGAAGAGAUAGUGUAGGUUUAGAAAUAUUCAAGUUUGAAGCAAUUAGGCUUUGAUACCACAAACAAUUUUGAUAUUAUAAGAUGAAAACUGAAUUAGUUUUUCUUAACUUAUUGAAUCUUUACAAAGGGGAAUAUAUACAUGACAUGGACAAGGAUUUAGUGCUGAACUGAGUAUUUAUUCAGAACUAAAUCAAUGGUUAUUACGAAAAAAAAGAUUACAAAAGAUUAAAAUGAAAAAUAAAUUAUGAUCAUUCAUUCAAUGCUCUGCCAAAACUCAACUCAGAAUCUUGACUUUAUAAACAUAUGUACUCAAACUGAAUAGAUUAUAAAGACAAUAUUCACUAGUCGUUAGAGAUCAAUAUAUAAGCUAGCUGUUUUUAAAUUUAUGGUCAUUGAUGCUUUAAUUGUGAGAGGCCAUGGUGCUGCAAUUUCUUGCCUUGUGUGUCAAAAUUGGACUAUUGGUACCCCUUCUAAUACCUCUUAAAAUCCUUUCAAGCAUUUGACUACUUUAACCUUCAUUAAAAUUACAUGAAAGGAAAAAAUUAUAUCUAAUUAAACUUACAAAUUAAAUAUCUAAUUAAAACCUUAAUCUCAGCUAAGCACCUUUCCUGUCCUACAAGCUAGAUGUUUGACUAUGAAGGAACCCUAAAAUAGAAUGCAAAUCUUAAGAUUCUAACCCAAAUAGGAAAGCAUUACUUCCUACCAAUAAAAGAGGAAAGAAUUCUCAAAUCCUACCUUAUACAUAGUGAUUCAUGCCAGCUUCUAUGAAUAAGACUCCUAGGCCUUAUUAACUAGCUUUUCUCUCAAAACCCAUACAUAAGCACCAUAAGGAGUGAUCAACUAGUUGUUGACACCACGACAACCUACCUUUUAGCAAUCCAGCAACCGUUGUAGCAAUCUCCAAACAUUCACCCUUGCAACUAGCUAUCAUCUUUGUUUAAGAAACAAUCUUCUUAUUGAACAAAGACUUAAUUUAGGUUAUUUCUCAGGCCCUUCCUACGAUGAUUGUUUAAGCCGCAGUAAAUGCUUCUAGAAUUGCUACCGCAUCACAAUAGUGUCAUUAAACCUUAAUUUUAAUUACGGUUUUGUAAUAGUGUAGCAAUCGUAUUAGAUAUUGAUAUAAUAUCCCAAAUCUGGUUCUCUAUUAUUCAUUAGAGUAUCACAACUAACAGCAGAUGCCUUAUCAUUUGACGAUAAAGUCACCAUCCGAUAAGUCAACAAUAGUCAAAGCUUCAACAUGAGUUUAUCUAGGCUGGAUCGACGCCCACGCAAUGUUGCACAAGUGUGAGGUUGAGCAAUUACUAAUAUUAUAGUGACUAUAACUUCUAGAGAAAUAUAAAUGUGGUGUAAACAAAUGUAAAAAAAAAACACAAUAAAUUUUACGUUGUUCGGCGUAAUGCCUACGUCCACGGGUAAAGACUGGAAGAUAAUUUUAUUAAUAAUGGAAAUUUACAAAAGUGAAAAACUCUCAAAAACUCAAUACCUAAUACACCCAAAUUCCCUUAGCACCUAAGGAAAUUCUCUACCAAAAUUCACUUGGAAAUCUCACCAAUUUGGAUGCACUAACAAAUGAGGAAUUGCCUUCUAUUUAUAGAAAAUAUGGGGUGCACUUUUGCACCAACCCCAACAUAAUUGUCAACAAAAAUUAGGCACCUACCUUAGGAAUUUGUCUUUAAAUUUGCCUCUCCAAAGUUGAGUGCAUACAUGUGUAUUUGAAUUCCAAUUUUGAAAUUUUCAACAAUUCUCCACCUCGACGAAGAUUUUAUCUAAAUCUAAGUCGACUAUCAACAAACCAUCCUCUAGCCUUUGCCUUCUCCGACUGCUUUCAAACUUGUAGGAUAUUGAUCAAGUUCAGACAAUACUCAAACUUGAUCGCUAUCACCACCUUGGUCAACAUAUAUGCGGGAUUCUCUGCAGUCUUAAUUUUUUGAAGAAGAAUCUUCCCUUCAUCAAUAAUUUCCCAUACAAAGUGAAAUCGUACAUCAAUAUGCUUCGUACGUGCAUGAUAAACCUGGUUCUUUUUUAAGUGAAUAACAUUUUGACUAUCACAAUAUACAUUAAUUUGCUCUUGUAUCAAUCCCAAGUUUUCAACCAAGCCUUGUAACAAAAUAGCCUCUUUAACAGCCUCUGUAAUUGCCAUGUACUCGGCUUCUGUGGUCGACAAUACAAUUGUAGACUGUAGUGUAGACUUCCAACUGAUUGGCCCUCCAACAAAAGUAAAUACAUAUCCGGUGGUUGAUCAUCGUUUGUCUAAAUCACCAGUAUAAUCAGAAUCAACGUACCCGAUCACACUUUGACCAAGUGUAUCAUUUUGGUCAAACAGUAAACCAACAUCCACGGUCUUAUGAAUGUACCGUAGAAUUCAUUUCACAACUUGCUAAUGUCCUUUACCAUGAUUAUGCAUGUACCUACUCACUAUACUAACUGCAUGUGAAAUGUCAGGCCUUGUACACACCAUUGCAUACAUCAAGCGACCCACUGUAUUUGAGUACGAAACUUGUAACAUGUAUUCUCGUUCCACAUCUGUUGAAGGAGAUAAUUUUGCAGAAAGCUUGAAAUGAGAAGCCAACGGGGUACUCACAGGUUUUGUCUGCUAUGUCAUGCUAAACUGCUGUAGUACAUUUUUCAAAUAUUGCUUCUGAGAAAAGUUUACUUUGCCAUGAGCUCUAUCUCUGCAUAUCUCCAUGCCAAGAAUCUUCUUAGCUUCACUUAUAUCUUUCAUUUCAGAUUCUUGAUUGAGUUGAGUCUUUAACUUCUCAAUCUCAUCUUUACUCUUGGAUGCUAUUAGCAUAUCAUCGACAUACAAUAGCAAAUAAAUGAAAGAUCCUUCUUGUAGCUUGCGAAAAUACACACAAUGAUCAAAUUUAUUUCUUGUGUACCUUUGCCCUUUCAUAAAUCGAUCAAAUCGCUUGUACCACUGUCUCAUAGAUUGUUUCAAUCCAUAAAGCGACUUUGUCAAUUUGCAAACCCAAUUUUCUUUUCCAGCAACCUUCAAUCCAUAUGGCUGAGUCAUGUAGAUUUCCUCUUCCAAAUCACCGUGUAAAAAUACAGUUUUUACAUUAAGUUGAACUAGUUCAAGAUCAAAUUGCUCAACCAUGGCUAGCAAAAUUCGAAUAGAUGAGUGUUUCACAACUGGAGAAAAUACAUCAUUGUAGUCUAUUCCUUCCUUCUGAGCGUAGCCCUUCGCUACCAAUCUAGCCUUGUAUCGAAUUUCAUUUUUACGAGAAAAUCCUUUAUUUUUUGCAUAUACCCAUUUGCACCCAAUUGCCUUAUUUUCCUUGGGCAGUGUAACUAACUCCUAAGUUUAAUUUUUGUGAAGAGACUGCAUUUCUUCGUUCAUUGCUUUCUUCCACUGUAUACUUUUUGGGUUACUUACUGCUUUUCUGUAAGUGAAAGGAACAUCAUCAUCUACAAUUGGAAGUGCAUAGGCCACCAUAUCAACAAAGCGAGCAAGUCUGUGAAUCUCUCUCUAUGGCCUUCUAUAUGCAAUUGAAUCUUGUGGAUGUGAAGGUUCCUGGGUCAGAACCUCUUCAUCAUCUUCAGUCGAUGGAGAAUCAUUAUUCGUCUCAUCGACACCAGCUGGAUCAUAUUUAACUUUUUCAAACUCCACCUGCUGCAAAGUGCUACUGGUCUUGUCAUCCUCUUGAGAAUCUUUUUGUUUCAACAUGGCUGAUUCAUCAAAAGUUACAUCUCUGCUUAAAAUAAUCUUCUUCGUAACAGGACACUAGAGACGAUAUUUUUUUACUCCACCAGUUAUACCCAUGAACAAUGCUUUCUUUGCUCUUGGGUCUAACUUAGAUUCCUUUACAUGGUAAUAAGCACUGAAACCAAAAACAUAUAAAGAAUUAUAAUCAGUAGCGGGAUUACCAAUCCACAUCUCUAUGGGUGUUUUGCCCUCAAUUGCAGCUGAUGAUAAACGAUUGAUCCGAUGGCACGUAUAUACAACUACCUCAGCCCAAAACUCUUUGCCCAAUCCAGCAUUGGAUAACAUACACCGAACUUUCUCCAGUAUAGUCUGGUUCAUGCAUUCUGCCGCCUCAUUCUGCUGUAGUGUAUCUCGAAUAGUGACGUAUGGCACAAUGCCCUCAUCUUGACAUAUUUGAAUAAAUGGAUCAUUCUUGUACUCACCACCAUUGUCUAAGCGAAGUCUUUUGACAUUUCGACCAGUCUGAGUUUCGACCAUUUUCUUCCAUUUUAGAAAUAUGCCCAAAACUUCAUUCUUAUUCUUCAUCAAAUACACCCACACUUUUCUUGAAUAAUCAUCAAUAAAAGUAACAAAAUAGUGCAUACCUCCCAAAGAAACUAUUUUGGUAAGUCCCCACACAUCACUGUGAACAUAGUCCAGAAUUCCUUUUGUAUCGUGAAUUGCUGAACCAAGCUUUACCCUUGUCUGCUUGCCCAGAACACAAUAUUCACAAAAUUUUAAUUUGCAAGAAUUUGUACAUUUCAAUAAGUCUUCCUUCACCAAAGUCUGCAAAGCUUUUUCACCAAUAGGUCCCACACGCAUAUGCCACAACUUGGUUGCUUCUGAAUCUGCAUUUUUUCCAAAAACUGUUGAUGCUGAUCCAAUAAUUGUACUUCCUUGGAAAUAAUACAAGUUAUUUCUUCUUGUACUUUUCCUCACCGUCAGUGCCUUAGCUACUACCUUCAACAAUCCAUUUUUCAAAGUGAUUGUAAGCCCUUUAGAUUCUAAGACUCCUAAUGAGAUGAGAUUUUUCUUCAAACUUCGUACAUAGCGAACAUCCGUCACGACUUGGAUUGAGUCAUCAUGAUUCUUUAAUUGGAUUGUACCUAUUCCUAUGUUUUACAAGCAUUGUCAUUACCCAUAAAAACAACUCCACCAUCUAGCUCUUUGAAACUAGAAAACCAACCCUUGUUAAGACACAUAUGAUAAGCACAACCCGAAUCCAAAAUUCACUCAUCUGAGUGACAUAUCAACGUCAUGCCAACCAGACUAAAGUAUGACUCCUCAUCAUGCUCUGCUACACAUGCAUCAGAAGUAGCCUUGCCCUUUUGUAACUUAGGACAAUUCUUUUUCCAAUGCCCUUUCUCGCGACAAAAAGCACACUCAUCUUUGGCAGGUCUCCCUUUAAACUUGCUUCUUUUUCCAAGUUUACGGCCUUGUAAACGACCUCUCACUGUCAAUGCUUCUGUAAUUGUAUCUCUGUGAUUCUUUCUGUCUUUCUUUCUGGUCUCAGGGUUGUACAAUGCACUGCAUACAACAUCGAAUAUGACAUUGUCCUUCCCAUGAAGCAAAGUGGUGGUGAGAUGAUCAUAUUCAUCAGGAAGGGAAUUCAACAACAACAAUGCCUUAUCUUUAUCUUCAAAUUUCUCAUCCAAAUUUAGCAAAUCUGCCAAUAUUUUGUUAAAUGAAUUCACAUGGUCAUUCAUUGACAUGCCAGGUGUAUAUGUGAAUCGAUAGAAUUUCUUCUUCAUAUAAAGCCUAUUUUCAAGGCUUUUCUCCAUAUACUUUUCUUCCAGUGUCUCCCACAAUUUCUUUGCCGAUGUCUCCCUCAUGACAGAGUAUUUCUGAUAUUUAGCCAAACAUAGACGAAUAGUACCACAUACAUGUCUAUUGAUCUUUAUCCACUCAUUGUCAUUCAUCAUGUCAUGCUUUUCUUCAAAAGCAACUUCCAACUCUUGUUGGCAUAAGACAUCCAAUACCUCACAUUGCCACAUCCAAUACCUCAUGACAAAGUAUUUCUGAUAUUUAGCCAAACAUAGACGAAUAGUACCACAUGCAUGUCUAUUGAUCUUUAUCCACUCCUUGUCAUUCAUCAUGUCAGGCUUUUCUUCAAAAGCAACUUCCAACUCUUCUUGGCAUAAGACAUCCGAUACCUCACAUUGCCAUAUACCAAAAUUAUUGGUACCAUCAAAUUUCUCCAUUUCAAACUUUGCAUUAGUUACAGUAGUCCUCGCUGAUGAAGACGACAACAAUGCAUCUGCCACAUUUUUUAUCUCAAAUUAUCAGUUUCUUCAACAACUAUUUACACUUGAAAAACAACCUCUAUGAUGUUUAUUUCGCGUAAAUAAGUGCACCAGGAAAGUUUCUAGGAGAAUGGAGGGGUCACAACGGUCCCAUUUAAAACUCAGACUCCUUAGGCUCCUAUCGCCUUGUUGACAGAACUUUCCUAGAUAUGCAAAAAUACACACUACUUACAAUAGACUGUCUCUCAAGUAUAAAUGGCAGUCUCCACCGUAUCAAUGAACAGUACCGUAUACAUGAACAGUGUCGUAUGCCCCAAGCACAACCCUUCUGCUUUGAUACCAAUUGUUGCGGAAGCACGAGGUUGAGCAAUUACUAAUAUUACAAUGACUGUAACUUCUGGAGAAAUAUAAAUAUGGUGUAAACAAAUGCAAAGAAGAAAACACAAUAAAUUUUAUGUGGUUCGGCAUAAUACCUACGUCCACGGGCAAAGACUGGAAGAUAAUUUUAUUAAUAAUGGAAAUUUACGAAAGUGAAAAACUCUCAAAAACCCAAUACCCAAUACACUCAAAUUCCCUUAGCACCUAAGGAAAUUCUCUACCAAAACUCACUUGGAAAUCUCACAAAUUUAGAUGCACUAACAAAUGAGGAAUUGCCUUCUAUUUAUAGAAAAAAUGGGGUGCACUAUUGCACCAACCCCAACAUAAUGGUCAACAAAAAUUAGGCACCUAUUUUAGGAAUUUGUCUUCAAAUUUGCCUCUCCAAUGUGUAUGCAAGUUGAUCAAUUGAUGUUAGGAAUUUUUCUUCAAAUUUGCCUCUCCAAAGUUGAAUGCAUACAUGUGUAUUUAAAUUCCAAUUUUGAAUUUUUCAACAUGCAAUCUUGUGGACCUUACUCCUCAUAUCACAUAUAGAAUGGCGGGUUUGCAGACCACGUCUGGUUCAAGUCACAAAUCAUUCCCAAAUCCCAUUCUAUAUUGAAGAAUGAUUGUCUUUAGCCAAUUCGGCAAGGACAUGUGGACGAAUUGAGGUCCCGCCCAAAUAAUAAGUAGUUUCUUUCUUCUCAUAUAUGAUUUGUAAACACUAUUAGGUGUGACUUGGAGAGUAACGCUGAUGAUAAAGCUUAGAAGAUAGGAGAGCCAUGAAAAGUUUUUUUUAAUUUAAUUUAAUUUGGUGUAUCUCUAUCUUUCUUUAACAAGCAAUAACAAGAGAUUGCAGAUUAAAAAGCAUAUAAUAAAUUCAUUAAUUUAAAAGUUCCAUCCUUUAAGAUAAACAUGCAACUUCAAAGACAAAAACCAUCCGAAGUUUUGUGGCCGGCAGAAGCACCGUUGUCGGUGAAAUGAUUUGUCUCAAAUUCCAAGGAUAAGCCUAGUUAGUUUCACCUAUCAUAACAAAAUAAAUUUCAUUAUUAAGAAUUUUUUUAUAUUUUCUAUCUCCUACAAAGUUUCCGCAAAAUGACCAUUAUUGGUGAAACACCUAAGAUAGUAAAUUGAAUUUUGUUUUGGGGGUAAUCUCAAUGGUAUGAGGAGAGCUUUAUUGAUAAAUUAAAAGAAAAAUGACACCUAAUUAGAGGGACAUAGUAAUACUUUUCCCCUAAAAAGAAACUAAUUUCAAGCAAACAGAUAGCAAAAGGAAAAAAAUGCAAGGAUACGACAUACAAAGAAGACAAUAAAUAGAUCAAAAUCUCAAACCUAAGCCUUAACUGAAUUUGUUGGAGGCAUAACCAUUUAGAUAAUUACUUUCUGUACAAAUCCAGAAAUAAUCACAAGUUUUUCUCUCUAUAUCCCCAAGUUUUCUUUUUUAUAAUUUUGUAAAACACUUUCUCUCCCCCAAAAUUAGAUCAGUUUUCCCCUCUCUAAAUAGUUCCAAUCCAAUCUAUACCGAUGAGCGCUGUUUUGUAUUGAACUACUGUAACUUUUUAAGCUACAAGCUCUGAAAAAAAGAAAAAAAAAAAGAAGAUAUAACUAUGAAAUUUUUUUUGCAGUAUGAGACUUUUAAAUAAUAAUCUUAACAAACUUAUAAGUUUGAUAUUAUAGGUUUUUCAUCAUAUAAGAGGUUGAUCAAAUCAACUUAACUUUCAAGUCACUACAGUUAGUGUUUCAUAAACACUUUAGUACUGUAAUUUAAAUUACACAUAUUCUAAAUUAUAAUUUGAAACAAUGUUAAGUAUAAAAAUAUUUAAUCAACAAAAACUAUGAAAGGAAUAAUAGAUUAUUCCAAAUUUGUAGAAUUUAUUUUAGUUAGAUAGGAAGUAAAAAAUUAAAAAAAAAAAGCGAUUAGUUACGAAACAAAGUAAAAUUGCGUGGUAUUUUUCAUAUUAGUCUAAUUAAUUAUGCUCUCUGUUUUCUUGAAUUAAUAUUAUUAUUAAACAAACUCUAUACAUAGUUAGCUAAUUGUUGCAGCUCCCAGGGGAACCAAGAUUUUCAUAACUAAUUAGAAUUAACGUCUAUAUUUUUCAAAUAGCCUGUAUCAUCGGAAACAGCGGCAAUAGGAUACUUAAGUGCCAAAAAUUUUGAAUUGUAACUUAUCUCUCUUUAAUUGGCCGAACAGGUCGAUAGCACUCCGCGAAUAUAUCCUUGUCAUCUAGUAAAACAUUAAUUAAUGUAAUUAUAAAUAAUUUAUGACUUAAGUUAGGAUCGAGGUUAAUUGUUGGAAGAAAUUAAUGUGGUACAGAUACUUUAAUCUGCUGGAUAGGGGGGGCAAUGGGGAAGGGAGGGGAGGGGAUCAAUCUCCCCGUACCCAUCCCCAAUAUUUUACGUAUGUCUCCGUCCCCAUCAGAAUUAUUUGAAAGAAUCAUCAUCUCCUCCCCGAAUAAUAACAGGGGAUUCCGGAGGGUCUCCGAUCCCCGAAUAACUAAUACAUUUUUUUUGUUUUUGAUUUUGAGUUAAUUAUAUUAAAAUAAAAAAUUCAAAUAAAAGUAAAGUUCGAAAUAUAUCUUACAUUAACAUUGAUCCAUUACAAAAGUCACAUGCAAAAUAGAAAUUAUCAAAAUAAUGAUCUUUGUCAAUCUUCAUAAUCCUACAAUAAAAGGAAAAAAAAUUUACUUUUAUAUUGACAAAAAAAUAAAUGAAACAAAUGUAGAUACUUAAUUAAUAUUUUUUGGGCUCAUAGAAUCUACCUGGCCUUUUUAAUGUCCUAAAUGGAAAUUUAAAACUUUAAUUAGUUAAUUAGGCCUAAAAGUUUAAUAAUAUAAAUAUUUUGAUAUAUUUUUUUUUUUACCAAAAUUUAUAAUUUUAUAAUAGAAUUCAAAUUUUAUUAUUUAUUUACUAGUAAUUUUAAAAAUUAAAAUUAAAAUUAAAAUGGGGAAAUGAGGAUAAAAAAAUUGGAUAAAAAAACUGGAUAAAAAAAUUUCUUCGUCCCUUCCCUGAACAAGAAAUCAGGUAUAAAAUUAUCUCCGUACCCUCUCCGAAUGGGGGAUAUUCCCGAGGGUACCCGUCCCCGUGGAGAUUUUUGCCAUCCCUACCGCUGGAUGUGUGGGGUACUUUAAUUCAUUAUAAGCACCCACUUUAUUCUUUUUAUCAAGCAAUCCACCUGGUAAGUCCCUAAAAUUAGCACCCCAAAAACAAAAGGUAAUUGAGGACAAUUAGUCAAGAGCGCUAAGCAGAAUGUGUGUUUGAACGGGACAGAUGUAAUGUGUGCAUAUAUAUGUUAGAAAUAUUCAAAUCUAGGAUCCUGGAUUUCGUUAAAGUCCUAAAAGUUAUUAAGUCAUAUGUUUUAAUAGUAUAAUGGCAUGAUAUUAUUGAACCAUAUGGCUUAAUAGCUUUUCCCGAUUUUAAUAAAUCUAGAAUACAAGAUUAGAUCAGUCCUCUCUCGCUCUUUCUCUUUAUAUGUAUAUAUAUAUAUAUAUAUAUAAAUUCUCAAGUGUGGGCGCUCUCAUUUUUUUUUAUGUAAACCCGCUAUUAAGUCACAUGGUUUAACAAAGUCAAUAUUCAAUUCACUAUAAAACUAUAAGCCUCAAAUUGUGUAUCUGCGCUGACUCUAUUAAACCAUAUGACUUAAUAGCACAUCCACAUGAAAAAUAAAAAAAAAUGAGGGCAUCCACACCUAAGAAUGAUUCAUACAUAUGAUAAUAUCAUAUCAAUUUUAUCUCUAUAUAUUUUGAUCUAUGGGAAAAGUGAUUUUACAAAAAUAAUUUUUUCCCAAUCAUUAAGACGAGCUUUUUUUUAGUACAUAUCCUUUUUAUUAAUAAGAAACAUAUUUGUCUCAUCUCUAUAUUUCAGGUUAACCGUUUAGAUUGUUCUUAUAUUUUAAAAAAUACUUUAAAAUACUCCUGUUGUUAAUUAAGUUACUCUACUAUCCUUACUUUUUCUAAACUUUUAUAGUUAUAACCUUUAAAUUAAUUUACAAAGUUUAAAGUUGUACAUAUAUCAAGCCUCGCCUAGGUCUUAAUUAGCAACAACAGAUGGAACGUAUGACUAGCGUUUGGGGCAUCACAGAUGUUUCGUUCCAAUUGCUUAUAAGAGAAUAGAGGGGUUGAUGUGGAGGGUUUCUCGCUUCAUUUAAUUGAUCAUCUUUCCGAAUUUUUAAUCCAUUCCCAUGUGAACUGAAAACAUAUUAAUUAAUGGAAAUCAAAUAUUAAAAUAAUAAUAAUAAUAACUUAGCUAAUAAUUUAUAACUAUCAAAUUAAUUAUUAGUUUAUCUACAAUUAUUUUGAUAGUUAUAAAUUAUUGGCUAAUAAUAAAAAUAAACAAAAUAAUUGUAGAUAAACUAUUAAUUAAUUUGACAGUUAUAAAUUAUUAGUUAAGUUAUUACUAUUAUUUUUUUAAUAUUUGAUUUCCAUUAAUUAACAUGUUUUCGGUUCACAUGGGAAUGGAUUAAAAAUUCGGAAAGAUGACCAAUUAAUCUUAAUUAAUUCCGAUAGCUAGCCCUGUACUUGGAUACGAAUUAAUAAUUUGCUGGCAAUAUCAAUUAAUUUAUUCUGUCUUCCCCUACAGGCAAUAUAGCUACAUAAAAUUCAUUUCUUUUAAAUUCCAAUAUCGAUGUGGAAAUUCAACAUCAACAUUCAACAGCAGUUAAUCCGUAAUCUUUUAAUUAAGGCUCCUGCGAUGUUACACCAGCCGUAAGUAACAGUAAUUAUAUAUCAAGUUAAGCCACGUACUCGCGGCACGUGGAGCUGCGGGGGCCGAUUAAUUGACUUAAAUAGCAGGUUGCAGUGCGGUAGUCCGGCCGGUUAUGGGUUUUUCUCUCUGUAUCCAAUGGCGGAUUUAGAAAAAUAAUUUACCGGGGGCUAAAUUAGAUAAUAAUAAAAUAUAAAAAUUAAAAUUUUAAAUAUAUAAAAUAUUUGCUAGUACAUUUAUAAUUAUUCUCUGCGCAUUUUUAUAUUUUAAAAAUGUUAUACAAUUGACUCAUUAUCAAUAUUAUUAAAUUUAUUGUUUCGUAUAUAAACAAUCAAACUAUCAUUUAUCCUAUAUGAUUCCAAAAAUGAUUUUUCAUGAGUUUCAUUACUGAAAACGUUCGCUCUAGUAUUAUUAUAGAGACUGGAAGAAUUAAUCUUAUUUUUUAGAAUUGAAAAUAUUUUGAGUGGUGACCUAUCAUUAUUUUAAUUAAACUAUAAGUUUUUAUAAUUCUUAAAAGUUAAAAUUUAAAUUUUAUGGGGAUUUAUAAUUUAUAGUGAUUAUUUUAAUAAAUUUUUUAUGGGGGCUAAUUAAAAAACUAAAAUAUUUUUCUUUUUUAAUUUUAGUUUUUUUUUUUUUUGCCAGUGGGGGCUUGAGCCCCCACUAGUCACAUGCUAGAUCCGCCCCUGUCUGUAUCCCCUAAUUUUCUUUUGUACAAUUUUGUAAAACACUUUCUCUCCCCCAAAAAUUAGAUCCGUUUUCCUCUCUCUAAAUAGUUCCAACCAAAUCUAAAUCGAUGAGCUAUGUUUGGUAUGGAGGUGCUGCAACUUUUUAAGUUACAAGCUCUGAAAAAAAAAAAAUGUAAGUUGGAAAUUUUUUUUGUAGUAUGUGACUUUUAAAUAAUAAUCUUGACAAACUUAUACGUUUUUCAUCAUAUAAAAAGUUGAUCAAAUUAACUUGACUUUCAAGUCAGUACAGUUAGUGUUUCAUAAAAAUUAACUUAACUUUCAAGUCAGUACAGUUAGUGUUUCAUAAACACUUCAGUACUGUAAUUUAAAUUACACAUAUUCUAAAUUAUAAUUUGAAACAAUGUUAAAUACAGAAAUAUUUAAUCAACAAGAAACACUAUGAAAGGAAUAAUAGAUUAUUUCAAAUUUAUACAAUUUAUUUUAGUUAGAUAGGAAGUAAUAAGUAGAAAAUUAAAAAAAGGGAUUAAUUACGAAACAAAGUAAUUUGUUGGAAAAAAAUUCUAUAUGUACUCAAUUCUUAUUUGUUCUUAAAUGUAAUUUUAUUUAAAGUGGGUUUUAUAAGGAUAAUGAAGAGUGCUAAUAGCUUCACUCUUUGUUAAAAAUUAGAGUGCUCAGACUGAAAUUUAGAGGGCGAACAACUCUACCCUUAUUUUAUUUAUUUUUAUUAUUAAUUGAUACAAACUUGAUCCCCGUCCGCAUCGGGAUAUUUUAAUCAAACUCAAUCUUUCUGUCAGAGAUCCGAUCGAUGUAGGAAAUUCAAGGUCAACAUUCAACAGCUGUGAUCCCCUCAUCUUUUAAUUAAAUUUCAGCUGUUGAUCAGCACUUAGGAAACGUCAGCCGUUGAUCCAUUAUAUACACUGCAUGCAUUAACGACGCUGCGAUCAUCCCACCUUCGUUCUAUAUAUAUGUGUAUUAUGUCAAACAGGAAGCAAAAGCAACUUACUUUUGAGUUUUGAUUACAGUUCAUCACCUGAAGCAAGCAAGAUCUUUUCUGAUUUGAAGAAUAUGGAAACUCCCUGCGCAGGUUGUAGGCCAACCCUCAAUUUCAUUUCUAAUUCUUCUUUUUAAUAUAUACUUUAUAAAUAAAUUUUCCAAUAUGAAAAUUUUCAGGUAACGCCUGGUUGGAGGGAUUCAUUGUUUCGUUUAUAAGCUUGAAUGAUGAUGAGAAAGUGAAUGACAGCAACCUUGAUCUUAUUGUUGUUCCUCAAUAUGGGAGAAAUCUUGAUUACACUGGUUAAAUGUGUGCAGUGUUACUCUUUUAUGUUGUGUUUAAUUAAAUAAAACAAUAGGUACUGUUACUACCUGUUAAUUAUGAGUGUGUCGAAUUUGGUUUAGUUAAUUGAACUACUAAGAUCUCUUGAGAUAUGCAAGAGAUUUUUUUUUUUUUUUAUUUGUGUCCAUGUAAUUUGUCUUCCUUAAUUAAUAAAAUUAUUGUGUGUUAAUUCCAUUAGUCCAUAGAAAAAGAUAAAAUUGCAUGGUAUUUUCAUAUUAGUCUAAUUCAUUAUGCUCUCUGUCUUCUUGAAUUAAUAUUAUUAUCAAACAAACUCUGUACAUAGUUAGCUAAUUGUUGCAGCUCCCAGGCGAACCAAGAUCUUCAUAACUAAUUAGACUUAACGUCUAUAUUUUUCAAAUAGCGUGUAUCAUCGGAAACAGCGGCAAUAGGAUAAUUAAGUGCCAAAAUUGUUGAAUUGUAACUUAUCUCUCUUUAUUUGGCCCAAGAGGUCGAUAGCAAUCCGCGAAUAUAUCAUUGUCAUCUAGCAAAACAUUAAUUAAUGUAAUUGUAAAUAAUUUAUGACUUAAGUUAGGAUCGACAUUAAUUGUUGGAAGAAAUUAAUGGGGUACAGAGACUUUAUUCUGCUGGAUGUGUGGGGUACUUUAAUUAAUUAUAAGUACCCUACGGCCCAACCUUAUUCUUUUUAUCAACCAAUACACCUGGUAAGUCCCUAAAAUUAGCACCCCAAAAACAAAAGGUAAUUGAGGACAAUUAAUCAAGAGCACUAAGCAGAAUGCGUGUUUAAACGGGACAGACGUAAUGUGUGCAUAUAUAUAUAUAUAUAUAUGUGUGUGUGUUAGAAAUAUUCGAAUCUAGGAUCUUGGAUUUCGCUAAAGUCCGAAAAGUUAUAAAAUCAUAUGUUUUAAUAGUAUAAUGACAUUAUAUUAUUAAACCAUAUGCCUUAAUAUCUUUUUCCGGAUUUAAUAAAUUUAGAAUACAAGAUUAGAUAUGUACUCACUCUCUCACUCUCUCUCUCUAUAUAUAAAUUCUCAAAUGUCGGCACCCUCAUUUUUUUUAUGCGAACCCGCUAUUAAGCCACAUGGUUUAAUAAAGUCAGUAUUCAAUUCACUGUAAAGCCAUAACCCUCAAAUUGUUAAUCUGCGCUGAUUCUAUUAAAUCAUAUAACUUAAUAGCACAUCCGCAUGAAAAACAAAAAAAUGAGUGCAUCCGCACCUAAGAAUGACUCAUAUAUAUAAUAACAUCAGAUCAGUUUUAUCUCUAUAUAUUUUGGUUUUACAAAAAUAAUUUUUUCCCAAUCAUUAAGACGAGCAUUUUUUUGAGUAUAUAUCCUUGUUAUUAAUAAGAAAAAUAUUUAUUUCAUCCCUAUAUUUCAAGUUAACCGUUUGGAUUGUUCUUAUAUUUUAAAAAUACUUUAAGAUACUCAUGUUGUUAAUUAAGUUACUCUCCUAUCCUUACUUUUUCUAUAGUUAUAACCUUUAAAUUAAUUUACAAAGUUUAAAGUUGUACAUAUAUCAAGCCUUGACUAGGUCUUAAUUGCAUAUGAAUAGUGUUUGGAGCAUCACAGAUGUUUCGUUUCAAUUGCUUAUAGGAGAAUAGAGGGGUUGAUGUGGAGGAUUUCUCGCUCCAAUUCGUUGUGGUGGUCCGAUGAAUUUUGUACGUUUUGUGAAUAAGUUUUAUAAUUUGAUACUUACUCGUUGCUUAUACUUCAAAAGCCGGUAUAUUAUAUGAUGUUGCAGUGAUAUCAGUCUCCACUCUCCAUUCUCCCUCAAUCCUUGAUUUUCAAACAAGACAAAUUAUCAUCUUAAAUCUGACUUAAGAAGCCUUAACUAAUAGCAACACAAAUUUUGAGAGUAGACGAGAGAGAGAGAAAAAAAAAAAACAAAUUUAUUUAAAAAUAUUCGCACUCAAAUUUUUUAGAUAUUCAAUUUCUUGAAGUUUAAUCACUGUCAAUCAGCCACAUGAUGGAUAAAGAUAUAAAAACAAAUUUUAUUUAUUUAUGUUGCCUGUAGGGAAAAACAGAAUAAAUUAAUUGAUAUUGCCAGCAAAUUAUUGAUUCAUACCCAAGUAAACAGAUAGCUGUUGAAAUUAAUUAUGAUUUAAUCUAUAAAUUUGUAGCCAACCAUCGUCCCAGACCGAAUCGGAAUCUCAAUCAUUUUUCAUCAGAGAAAUCCGAUCGAUGUAGGAAAUCUAAUGUCAACUUUUAACAGACGCGUGCUACUUGAAUGUGUAUAAUGUAACUCUCCUUACACACCAAUUUGCUUCAUUGUGACUCCAAAAAUAUUCUUAAAUAUUGCACAAAAACUAAUCUGAUUAAUUCCCACGGCUAGACAAAUCCCUAAUAAAAAGAACUAAAGAAAUACAAUAUUAUUUACACAACAAUGCUAAUAAUAAAAAUCCUAACACGAAUUGACAAAGUCAUUUGAAAGGGCAUUUUGAGGUGACACAAUGUUGAAAACUUUUCGAAAGUAAUAUAAAGAAGAUAAAUUUCACUCUUAUAAAUUAAAGAGCACAAAAUUAAUAAGCAUAACGACUCCUCAGUUUAUAUAAGUAUUUCAAAUAUAAAAAGAAAUGAUACAAUUAACAUAAUUUAGGAAUAAUGAUUCAUAUUUAGCAAAUAUUCAGUCAAUCAAUCUUUAUAUUAAUUUACAAUCAAUCUUUCUUAGUCAAUAAUUAAGAUGAAGACAAUCAAUCAAAUAAAUAAUUAUUUUGUUUUUAUCAAUAUUGUUUGAUUCUUAUCAAAUGUCAACUUGUAUCCGAAAUACAAACUUUCAGAAGUAUAACAUUUACUCAAAUGAAAACAAAUACAAUUCAAUUAACUAGGCUCAUGGGGGGUUUUUCAUGUAUUGAGAGACUACAAGAAGAUUGAGAUUGUCAUAUGCUGCGUCAUCAGUUUAUAUCUGGCAUUGGCUAAAAAACGCACCCUUCUUUGUAAUAAACGUCUCAAACCAUUCAGUCUUACCUGAAAAUUUUAUAAUAGAAAAUUAAUUAAAAGAUGACAUAUUAUUAGUAUAAGAAUUAGAAAUAGAAUUCACAUGAAAUUGUCCUAAAUUGAAGUACCUGAAAAAACUGAUAAAAAUCAAGCAAUAAUGAUGGAAAUAAAUCAAAUGACUUAUUGUCCCUAUAUUAUUGAUUUAGAAAGAUUGAUUAUAAAUCGAAAUAAAGUUUAAUUGACUAUAUCAGUGUUAAUCAAUCGUUAUUAUCAAAUUAUGUUAGUUGUAUCAUUUUCAUUUUCAUUUUCAUUUUUCAAGUACUUGUAUGAAUUGAGUUUUUGUGCUUAUGUAUGAGUAAGAGUGAGAUUUAUCUUCUUAAUUUAUUUCAUCAGAGAAAUCUGAAUCGGAAUCUCAAUCAUUUUUCAUCAGAGAAAUCCGAUCGUGGUAGGAAAUCUAAUGUCAACUUUUAACAGACGCGUGCUACUUGAAUGUGUAUAUCAUACCAGAAUCAAGAACUCACACAACUACUAGCAAAUUGAAUAAUUUUGAAGAAUAUGGAAGCUACUUUUGCAGGUACUUCAAUUUAGGAAAAGUUCAUGUUAAUUCCAUUUCCACUUCUUAUAUUAAUAAUAUAUGUCAUAUGUUUUAAAAAGUUUUCUAUAAUGAAUUUCAGGCAAGAUUGAAUGGUUUGAGACACUUGUUACAAAGAAGGAUGCACUUUUUGAGCCAAACUAGCGAUGAGGUAGUUUCUGAUAAUUUUGUUCUUCUUGUAGUCCCUCAAUAUGCGAGAAAUCCAAAUGAGAUCGGUAACUAGAUAAUAAAUUUGAUUUGUUUACAGUUAAGCAAAUGCUAUGCUUCUCAAAGUUUGCAUUUCGGAUAUAAAGUGAUGUGGUACCUCAAAAUGACCUUUCAUAUCAUUUUGUCAAUACGGAAUACAAAUUUUAUAAGUGCAAUGCUCAUGGGCAUGGAUUAUUGAUGAAAAGAUUGAAGAGAUAGUGCAGGUUCCGAAAUAUUCGAGCUUACUGAAGCCUUAAUACCUUAAACAAUUUUACUAUUGUAAGAUGAAAACUGAAUUAGUUUUCCUUCUCUUAUUCAAUCGUUACAGAGGUGAAAAUAUACCUGGACAUACGUACUCAGAAAUGAAAGAUUGUAAAGACAAUAUUCACUAUCUGUUAGAGAUCAAUUUAUAAGCUAGCCGUUGGAGCAAGUCAAGGUGUGAUUUAAUUGUGAGGACGAGGUACUGCGAUCUUCUAGCCUUUUGUGUUGCUAAUUUGGUUUCCUAUCAAUUAUUGCGGUCCGCGAUCUAUUAUGUGAGUGUUUGGUUUGACUAACAAUAAGAUUUUAUUUGUUCACAUCCCUGUACAAUUAUAUUCCUUAAAAUUAUAUUUAAAAAAUUUAUUGUGUGUCAAUGUGUUGAUUGAUUUAUUUAUUUUUGAAACCUCAACGGCAGCAGGAAAUUUUAUUGAAGAAAUAGAAGCAAAGGGUAUUAUGGCCAAAAGGAGAUUUUGGUGUCCGUUAUUGAAAACUUAGAGAUCUUGAUAAUUAUUUCUCCAAACUCUAGCGUAUAGAUAUCCUUCUCCCUUUGAGAAAAGAAUACAAGUUACAGCGCUAAAGGAAAGCAAAUAAAUCAGGAAUGUAGAUUGUCAAUGAUAAAUAAUAAUCUUUAAGUUUAAUAAUUGUUACAAAUAUCGCAUAAUUGUUACAAAUAUCGCAUAAUUGAUGAACACGAAGUAAAAACAAAUUAAUAGCAGUAAUGAAGGGGUUGGAUUAACCAUUUUCCGGGAAAGCAAUCAGCGCAAAUAUGCCCCGGCCAUUUCAAGCAACGUUUUAGAAUAUUUUAAGGUGCCUAAUAGAGAAAAGUAAUGGGUUCCUUGACAUGAUUGAGAAGAAAUGACGUUGCCGGUUGCGAUCUUUCGAGAUAGAAAAAUUUCCUUGGCAAAGUACAAUAGAGACGAGUCGUAUUGAGAAUUUACACCAUUUCUAGAUAAACUGUGAGUUCAAAAAAUUUCGUUCCCACAAUUUUGAAGUAAAUGAUAAAAUUCACAUGUUGAUUCUAAAAAAUCAUAUGUAAUCUUGAAAAUUCUCUACAGGGUGAUCCUGAUCCUUCUCCAUUUAUUACAUGAUGUUGCAGUGCAAGGGACAGUAUUAUUUUAUCGAUUGAGAAUGAAUAUAGGGUUAAGUAAAUAAAGAUUGGACAACUCUAAACUAUUAAUUUUGAGUAUGAAUUACGCUCAUGAGCUUGUAUGCACCACUAUCUUCUAGCGUAGAGAUAUGAUUGAUAAUCCUGUUAGGGAGUUAAUCUCACAUUUUCUGACAUUAGCUAGUUCCUGUGCUAAGUAGAUUAGCUUAAGGAAACCGUUUGAAAUCCAAAGCAUCACACACAUAUUACUAAAGAAAUUCAGCGCAUACGUUAGUCGAUCUAUACUUCAGAAUGCAGUACUGAAUUUAACUUUUUUUUUUAAUUGGUUUCGGAAGUACGGGUUGCAUGAUGAUUUAUGGUUAGUGGAGAUGUUUUGAUGGUCAUUUGUAUUUUGUACCCAUACAAUUUCUCACUGUAUCCAUUAUCCCAGUUCGCUCUUCUUCAAAAUGUACUGUAAAAUUCCAGAAAUGACAUACGCACACGUGUAUAUAUAUAGAAUAAUUUUACAAUAAGUGAAUCUUUUACUUUAACAAAAUAAGGGUUAAAGUAAGGGUCAAGAUAAAAGAAAAGACAUAUUUCAAUGCAUUAAAGACAAAUUACAUUGUAUUGGAAUAUGUGUUUUUUUUUAACCUUUUAAAUUGUCUUCAAUUUUAUUAAGCAAGUGAUUCUCUUUAGGGAUGGCAAUGGAUUAGAUCUGAUCCAAGAUCCACGUGAUUCAAAUCCAAUCGGAUCGGAUUUGGAUUGGUUUAAAAUAAAUUUGAAUUGGAUUUGGAUAUCGAUGUGCGGAUCUAAGACGGAUCUGGAGCAGAUCUGGAUCUAUCUUAAUAUCUAAAUCCAUAUCCAUAUCCACUCAUCUUUUAAUUUUAUUUUAUUUUAAAAGUUUCUUAACAAUUGUGAAAUUAUAAUGAUAAUAAAUUUUAUUCAUAACAUAUUAGUAGUAUUUACCAUGCAUUUAAACUCUUAAAACUUAAAGGUUAGUUUUGUAAAUUUAAAGGUCAGCCAACCCCAAAGCAUGUACAUGCAAUAUUCAAAUUGCAAGACAAGUAAUAUAACCUGGUAAUUUAUUUUAUUAUAUUGGCCAAAUAAUUUUUAAGGAAUAUAAUUAUUCAUAUAUUUAGUCAAAUAUGGUCAUAAUAAAAAUAAUAAAGAACUGAAUAUAAAUCAUAUUUAAUUUAUAUGUUAUUAUCUAAUGUUGUAGGAAUGAAGAUAGGUGUAUCGUAGAUAUUAGAAUGAUGAAUGAGACAAUAGAAUAUUAGAUUGAUCUUACUCCUGCAAUUACUUCGGAAUGAUAUUUUAUUAUCUUUCUUAUUUGUUGUUUUGGUGUAAAAGUAUAAGCUACAAUAUUUAUUAUAUUUUUGAGAUAAAUUAUAUAAUUUAUUUGUUAUCAAUACAUUUUAGCCUUCAAUUUUCAAUCAAAAAAUUAUUACUUUUUUAUUACUGAAUUUUAGAAUUCAUGACGGAUCUGGAGCAGAUUUGGAUUUUAAUUUUUUUUUUUCGGAUUUGGAGCAGAUAUAGAUAUUUAUUUCUUUUUUGGAUCUGGAUAUGAAACGAAAAAUAUGGAUUCAUGACGGAUCUGGAGCAGAUACGGAUCUUAAUUUUUAUUAUGGAUUUGGAUCUGGAGCAGAGUAGAUCCAACCCAUAUCUGCCCCAUUGUCAUCCCUAAUUCUCUUAUUGUAAAAUUGCUGGGUACACAUACAAAUAUCCCAAAAUUCUUAAGGAAAAAUGUAAGUUCACAAUGAAAUUUAGCUUUUUUUUUUUUCUUUUUCUUCCUUAAAUUAAGGAUGAAAGUUGUAUAUUCACCUAAAUGGUGAAAUCCAGCAUUUUUUCUUUUCUUCCUCCCCCCCCCCCCCCCCCCCUUCUUCUCGCGGCCGCAAAUUAAAGAUGAAAUCAAUCUCAGCUCCUCAUUUAAUUAUAAAUUCACUUUGCUUUAUUUUAGUCUUUUUCGUUCUAGGAUUUUGAAGUUUUUCGACCGGUCGGGAGUACCGUACUGCAACCUGCUAUUCAAGUCAAUUAAUCUGCCCCCGCAGCUCCACGUGCCGCGAGUACGUGGCUUAACUUGACAAGUUGACAUAUAAUUGCUGUUACUUACGGCUGGUGUAACAUCGCAGGACCCUUAAUUAAAAGAUUACGGAUUAACAGCUGUUGAAUGUUGAUGUUGAAUUUCCAGAUCGAUAUUGGAAUUUAAAAGAAAUGAAUUUUAUGUAGCUAUAUUGCCUGUAGGGGAAGACAGAAUAAAUUAAUUGAUAUUGCCAGCAAAUUAUUAAUUCGUAUCCAAGUACAGGGCUAGCUAUCGGAAUUAAUUAAGAUUAAUUGGUCAUCUUUCCGAAUUUUUAAUCCAUUCCCAUGUGAACCGAAAACAUAUUAAUUAAUGGAAAUCAAAUAUUAAAAAAAUAAUAGUAAUAACUUAACUAAUAAUUUAUAACUGUCAAAUUAAUUAAUAGUUUAUCUACAAUUAUUUUGUUUAUUUUUAUUAUUAGCCAAUAAUUUAUAACUAUCAAAAUAAUUGUAGAUAAACUAAUAAUUAAUUUGAUAGUUAUAAAUUAUUAGCUAAGUUAUUAUUAUUAUUAUUUUAAUAUUUGAUUCCAUUAAUUAAUAUGUUUUCGGUUCACAUGGGAAUGGAUUAAAAAAUCGGAAAGAUGAUCAAUUAAAUGAAGCGAGAAACCCUCCACAUCAACCCCUCUAUUCUCUUAUAAGCAAUUGGAACGAAACAUCUGUGAUGCUCCAAACACUAUUCAUAUGUUCCAUCUGUUGUUGCUAAUUAGGACCUAGUCGAGGCUUGAUAUAUGUGCAACUUUAAACUUUGUAAAUUAAUUUAAAGGUUAUCACUAUAAAAGUUUAGAAAAAGUAAGGAUAGGAAGGUAACUUAAUUAACAACAGGAGUAUUUUAAAGUAUUUUUAAAAUAUAAGAACAAUCCAAACGCUUAACAUGAAAUAUAGGGAUGGAACAAAUAUUUUUCUUAUUAAUAAAAAGGAUAUGUACUCAAAAAAAGCUCGUCUUAAUGAUUGGGAAAAAAAAUAUUUUUGAUAUAAUAGAAUAGGUCUAAUCGAUUGUAAAAUAUAAAAAUAUUUUUUUUAAAUAUUGAAAUUAUUUUAAAAUGCAUAUAUUAUUACCUUUAUUUUAAUCCUAUAUUUUUAUUUAUUAUAAAAUUUUAAGGUCAAUUUUUUGGGUUAAUAGAGUCAAAUGAUAUUAUGGUAAAAAAAGAGUCUUGGUGUCUCCUAUUAAAAACUCGAUGUCUUUGUGACAAUUUCUCCAAACCUUGAGGGUGUAAGCGUGCUUGGAAAAUUUAAGAUUGUCAAUCCAUUUGGGGUAAACUGAAGUUGACCCUUAAUGUAAAUAUAAAUAAUUUAUGACUUAUUAGUAGUUUGGUAAGACUUAUCUAAGAAUGGCCUGUUUAAACCCUAAAAAAUGGUCAUUAGAUCUGGUUUUAAAUUAAAAUUUUAUUACUAAAACGUCCCUAACAUAAAUUAAUAUUAUAGCCUAAACAGUAUAAUUGAACAGAAAAAAAAAAAAAAUGGUCCAUGCUACUCCAUCUUUAACCCAUAUCUUUUUUUAAUGAAUUAGGGAAAGCAAAGCUACACCACCCAUAAUUUGGCUAAAUGGUCAUGUAGACAUCCAAAUUUUCAACAAUAGACACCAAAAACCCUUCUUAAAAUGUUUUAAGAUACCACAUGUCACUUUGGCUUUUUUUUUUUUUUUUUUUUUGGGAUAAGCUAACCCAGUUUGCCAAAAAUGUAAAAAAACCAAAUAAAUAAAAUGCCUUUGACUGAUCUGUUAUUAUAUAUAUAAAAUGAUGUGUUUUAUUUUUUAUUUUCAGGUUAAUUAAAAUGUUUUAAAUUAAAUUAAAAACUCUGGAAAAACAGUCAAUAUAUCUUUCCAUGUAUAGAAGCAAGUGAUGACAUGAUAUGGGCAUAACUGUAAAUUUAGUAUUUGACAUCCAAAUAAAUGGCAAAAAUAGCAAGAGGGAGUCUUGGUAUCCAUUGUUAAAAUGUUGACAACAAUACCAUUUGUCUCUACUAACUGAAAAAAAAAAUUGAUUCCGAUGUUUUAUAAUAAAUAGAAAUAAAAAAUAAAUUAAAUGUAAUAAUAUAUAGUUUAAAUAAUUUCAUUAUUUUAAAAACUAUUUUAAUACUUUACAACCUUAUAUUAUAUUAAGCUAAAUUUUAUAAUAAAUGGAACAUAACGUUAAAGUAAAUAUAUAAAAUUUUAAAUUAUUUUUCAAUAUGAUAUAGAAUAAUUUUACUAUUAUUAAUAGACUAUAUAUUUUAUAUUAAUUGUAAAAUCUAUUUAACCCAAAGAUUUAUUAAUUUUUUAAUAAUAAAUAUAUAUAUAUUAUAAAAUAAAUAUAGUAAUUUACAUUUAGAAAUUAUUUUUUAUAUAAAAAAUUUUCUAAUAUCAAAUUAAAUUAUUUAAAUUAUAUUUUUAUUUAUCAAAAAAUUUUAAGAUAAAAUUUUAGUUACAAUUUACAAAAAGUAUUAUAGUCAAAAUGAGGUUUUAACAUCCCUUAUUAAAAAUUUGGGGUUUUACAUGACUAUUUUUUCAAACCUUAACGUAUAGGUAUCCUUUUAAAAAAAUAAAAUAAACAAAAAUUAUUUAUUUAUAUUGCCUGUUGGAAAAUACAGAAUAAAUUAAUUGAUAUUGCCAGCAAAUUGUUGAUUCAUAUCCAAGUGAACGGACAGCUGUUGAAAUUAAUUAGGGUUUAAUUUAGAAAUUUUUAGUCAACCAUAUUCCCAGACGGAAUCGGAAUCUCAAUCUUUUUUUUUUUUUUUUUGCAGAGAAAUCGAUCGAUGUAGGAAAUUCAACGACAACAUUUAACAACUGCGGGUUUCUUUAAUAUGCAUGUGUAUCAUACCAGAACUAAGAACACACACAACUGAUAGCUACUUAAAUAAUAUGGAAGAAUAUGGAAGCUACUUUUGUAAACUUUUAAGAAACAAUAUAAAAAACAACAUAAUGAAAACAAAUUUCAUUAAUUCUCCAGCACAAAUGUUCAUUUAUAUAAGUAUUUAAAACAUGAAAAUAGAGGUGAUACAAUUAACAAAUUUAGAGAUAAUGAUUGAUUAACAAAAAUUGAGUUAAUCGAUAUUUCUUAAUCAAUAACUAAGAUAGAGACAAUCAAUCAUUUGAUUGAUUGUUUUGUUUCUAUUAAUAUUGUUGAUCCUUAUCAUUCUCCCUCAAGUUGAAGAGAAUUUUUUUGAACUUCUAGCUUGUCUUUAAAAAUCGUAUCUCCUUGAUUUUUAUUUAUAGUCUCAACCAAGUGUCAUGCAACAAAUAGGGAGUAUUCCUCUAAAACUUGUCUAGGAAAUCUUUUUGUUAUUUUCAUGUACACUUUUUUUAGACUAAGAAAAAUCAUAAGUAAUAAAUUCUUUUUAUCAAGGAAUUCUUUCAAUAUGAAAGUCGUUCCUUCAAUUAUUUUUAAGGAAAUCUUCACUCAAUGAUUUUAUCUUCACUCCUUUGAUAUUGUCAUGAAAUUCUUUCAUUUAGAAAGUCAUUCCAUUGAUCUGGUCAAGGAAAACAUCAAUUUUCAGGAUUCCUUUUCAUUCCCCUUUUCUUUUGGGAUCAUUUCCUUUGUGAUGGUAGAAGUGUGGUGGUUAAUGAUGCAAUUGAACAACUUCUUCUUCUUCUUCUUCUUUUUCUACGAAAUUGAAGAACAAUAAAAAAGGAACUCACAUCUCUCCUUUAGACCACCAUGCUCUAGAAACAUAUCAUCGACACGGUGGCUAAGUAUAAACCCACAAAUUUAAGGACUUUCAAACUUGUCUAAUACCAUGAAAAUUUUUAGAAAUAAAUUAAGAAGAUAAAUUUCACUCUUACUCAUACAUGAGCACAAAAACUCAAUUCAUACAAUACUUGAAACAUGAAAAUGAAAAUGAUACAAUUAACAUAAUUUGAAAUCACGAUUGAUUAAUACUGAUAGAGUCAAUUAAACUUUAUUUUGAUUUAUAAUCAAUCUUUCUAAAUCAAUAAUAUAGAGACAACCAAUCAUUUGAUUUAUUUCCAUUACUAUUGCUUGAUUUUUAUCGGCUUUUUAGGUACUUCAAGUUAGGACAAUUUCAUGUGAAUUUUAUUUCUAGUUCUUAUAUUAAUAAUAUGUCACCUUUUAAUUUAUUUUUCUAUAAUAAAUUUUUUAGGUAAGACUGAAUGGUUUGAGACGCUUAUUACAAAGAAGGGUGUUUUUUUUAGCCAAUGCUGGAUAUAAACUGAUGACGUAGCAUAUGGCAAUCUCAAUCUUCUUGUAGUCUCUAAAUACAUGAAAAAUCCUAAUGAGGCUGGUUAAUUGAAUUAUAAAAUUGAUUUGUUUUCAUUUGAGUAAAUGUUAUACUUCUGAAAGUUUUUAUUUCAGAUACAAGUUAACAUUUGAUAAGAAUAAAAAAAUAUUGAUAAAAAAAAAUAAUUAUUUAUUUGAUUGAUUGUCUUCAUCUUAAUUAUUGACUGAGAAAGAUUGAUUGUGAAUUAAUAUAAAGAUUGAUUGACUUAAUAUUUGCUAAAUAUGAAUCAUUAUUCCUAAAUUAUGUUAAUUGUAUCAUUUCUUUUUAUAUUUCAAAUACUUAUAUAAACUGAGGAGUCGUUGUGCUCAUUAAUUUAUAAGAGAGAAAUUUAUCUUCUUUAUAUUAUUUUUGAAAAAUUUUCAACAUUGCGUCACCUUAAAAUGCCCUUUCAAAUGACUUGUCAAUAUGUGUUAGGAUUUUUAUUAGUAGCAUCAUUGUGUAAAUAAUAUUGUAAUUCAUUUAUUUCUUUUUAUUAGGGAUUUGUCUAGCCUUGGGAAUUAAUUAGAUUAGUUUUUGUGCAAUAUUGAAGAAUAUUUUUGGAGUCACAAAGAAGCAAAUUGGUGUGUAAAUAAGAUUACAUUAUAAUAGAGUUCCAAAUAAAGAUGACUACUAAAUUGGUAAGUAUAUCAAUAUCAAGUAUUUAUGAAAUAUUGGACUCUUAAGGAAGUAUAUCAUAGUAGUCCUCUAAUAGGGUUUGGGUGAAAUACUACACCUUGAAGUAUUUCACACAUUGAAGACAAUGAAGAAGACAUAUUGUAUUUUAUAUUAGAGAAGCAGUCAAAGUAGAGAACAAAAAGAAACCCUAUUUGGCCGCAUAUGAUGUUUCAUCUCUCUAUGAUGUUUUAAUCUUCUUCAUCAAGUAUUCUUCAUAUCAAGUCUUUUAUUACACAUUUGUUAUUAAUACUCUGCUCUCUUUAGGACGAAAGGGUCGUUUGUUGUGUUGAGUGAAUCUUAAGGAAGCAGCAAACAUAAUUGAAGACAAAUAAUGCUUGCUAAGAAAGGUCGACUAGGUUAGCUCCAAUAAGGUGAAGUGAGAGAAAGAGGGAGUCUGAAAUUGGUAAGAAUUAAAUUUAUUAAUAUGAAUAUUUAGGUAAUGAGUAGUGGAUGUCAUUUCAUUGUAGAAGAUUGUCAAAUUCCUCCCUAUUGAAUUAAUAUAUGAAAUUUUUUCAAAAACAAUUUAAAGAAUACAAAUUUUACUCUUAUUGAUUCAUGAGCAUGAAAGGUCAUUUUAUACAAGUAUUUAAAACAUGAAAAAGGAAAUGAUACAAUAAACGUAAUUUGGGAAUAAUGAUUGAUAAUAAUACAAUUAACAUAAUUUGGAAAUAAUAAUUGAUUAGCAAAGACUAAGUCAAUCAAUAUCUUUAUGUUGAUUGACAUUCAAUCUUUCUUAAUUUCUAAUUAAGAUGGAGACAAUCAUUCGAUUGAUUGUUUUGAUUCCAUUAAUAUUGCUUCAUUCUUAUCAUUCUUUCUCAACCUGACAAAGAAACUUUUUGAACUCCUAACUUGUCUUUGAAAAAUUUAAAUCCUUCAUUUUGAUUUAUGGUUUCAUCCAAAUGUCAUGCAAUAAUUCAGAAAGCAUUUCUUUGAAGUUUAUCUAGGAAAUCUUCCAAUUGUUUCCAUAUGCAAUUUUCUUUUGGCUCAUUAAAAGUCAUAUGUAAAUUCCUUUGAUUAAGGAAUUUUUCUAAUAUGAAAGUUAUUGCUUUGAUCUUUUUUAAAGAAAUCUUCACUCAAGGAUUUUAUCUUCAUUCACUUUUUCUUUUUACAUCAUUUCCUUUGUUAUAGCGGAAGUGGAUGGUUGAUAAUGAGGUUGAAAACCCUUCCCCUCAACCCCUCCACCCCCCCCCCCCCCCCCCCCCCCCAACAAAAAAAGAAAAAAAGAAAUGAAGAACAAUUAAGAACGAAUUCAUAUCUCUCUCUCCCUUAGACUCACGAUGCUUUGGGAACCUAUAUUAGACAUGGUGGCUAAGCCUAAACUCAUGAAUUUGAAGACUCUCAAAGCCGCUCUGAUACCAUAAAAAAUUUUCAAAGCAAUAUAAAGAAUAUAAAUUUCACUCUUAUUAAUUCAUGACCAUAAAAACUCAAUUUAUACAAGUAUUUGAAAUAAGGAAAGGAAAUAAUACAAUUAACAUAAUUUCGAAUAAUGAUUGACUUAAAACCUAGAAAAAAUGAUACAAUUAAUAUAAUUUGGGAAUACUGAUUGAUUAGCAAAGAUUGAGUCAAUCAAUCUUCAUGUUCAUUGACAAUCAAUCUUUUUUAAUCACUAACUAAGAUGGAGUCAAUCAAUCAUUUGAUUGAUUGUUUUGAUUCCAUCAAUAUUGCUUGAUUCCUAUCAAUAUACACCACUUAUUCUUCACAGUUUUGAUAAUGGGUAAUAACCUUCUUAGCAGUAUAACUUUACGAUAUUACCCUUAUUUUUAAAUGUAGUUUUAUUCAUAUUUGUUAUAAAUUAAAUAAACCAUAUAAAUAGAAAUUAAAAUAAAAAAUUUAAAAAUUAAGAAUCAAAAACUUUUUUCAAUUAUUAUCUGCAUGUGUGUACAAUUCUGCUUUUAUCUGCAAUUAUUAGUUAGUCCAAGGGACCCAUGCAUGCUCCCACGUAAUUCGCACAAUUGAAUUAGAGCUAUAAACCACAUCGGCUUCUUGUGUUAAUAUGUGUGUGUGUGUCUAUAUAUAUAUAUUAUAUAUAUACACACGUACGUAUAUAUAUCUGCAUAUUGUAAAACCAGAAGAUAGCAAGAACUCACAAAAGCAACUUACUUUGCAUUACGGUUCACCAGAAGCUUUGAAGGAUAUGGAAACUCCUUGCGCAGGUUUCUAGGGCAACUUCGAUUUAAAUAUCAUUUAUUAUAAUUUUAAUUUUAAUACAUGAGUUUAUCGAAAAAAAAAUUGAAUAUGAAUUUUUCAGUUUAAAACGAUUGGUCGGAGGAUGACUUCAAGUUUUCAUGGCAUGUAAAUAUUCCUAAUGAGGAGAUUAACGAUGAUAGUCUUGAUCUUCUUGUUGUCUCUCAAUAUAUUAAAAAUAUUAUCCACACUGAUUAAAUACAGUGUUAUUCUUUUGUUUUUUUUUUAACUAAAUAAAAUGAUGAGUAUAGGUAUUACCUAUCAAUCAUGUGAGUGGCAUAGUUUGGUUUAACUCAAUUUAUAAAAUCUUUUGAGAUAAACAAGAGAUCUUAUUUGUUUACUAUUGUGUACUAUGUUUUCCUGAAAAAGAUAAAUUAAUAAAAGUUCUUUUGUGCGUCAAUCUAUUGAUUAAGUUAAUCUAUACAUAUCAGCUGGAACCCCAUCUACUUGCUAUCCAAAAAGACACGAUCUCUUUCGAUCGUAUAAAAAAUUGGUUACGUUUUGCUAAUUUACCCACAAUGCCCUCCUGAUCCUCCAAAAAGGAUGGUCUGAACAAUUACUCCCAUCUCUACGAUAUCCAGUAUUGUUACUUGUAGCUUAUAGCUUUACGAGGCAAAAAAGCAUUAUCAACAAUUCAACAUAAACUAAUUUUUUUAAAAUAAGUUGCAUGAUUAUUUUUCUGCGUAUUUUGCUAGAACUUAGUCAUAAUUUUUAAUAAGAAUGGCUACUUUCGCCGUUUCCGGAACUACAAGCAAGAGGCCUUAAUUAACUAUUGCCUCUAUCAUUGGAAUCUGAAAAGAAACGUUUGACUGACUUACUCAUCGGUUAAUCCGAAUAGAAGGUCAACUAGAAUCUGUUUUAGUUAAAGAUUGAAAUUGAUAAUGUUUGGAAGCUAAGAAAAUGAAAGAAAGCUGAAGAAAAUAACAACUGGAUCUAAGAAGCUUCGAGAUCAUUUCUUAUUAUUCAACAGUACUGUACUGAAAGAGCUUAAGCUGAUCAUCACAUGCGCAAGCGAUUACAUAACCACCAGGUGCCAUCUGGCAAUCCAUGUCAUCAACUUGUAACCGUAUGCAACAGCUGCUGUAAUUCUCUGUUUUGUUGACCAUGCUGCAAAUGUGAGCUUCCUUAGCAGUUUUUCUGUUUGUUCAGUCAUGACGAAUAGAAGGCCUCUUUGUUCGGUAAGCAUUCUGAAGCUCUCAAUGCCUCUUGCUGCUGCUUAUUUCCUAUUUUCCUUUCUUCCUUUCGACUUGGCGAGAGAAUAAUGUCUCUGGAACAUGACCGCCUAUUUCUCAAUGCAGAUCUGAUGCUUAUGCAUGCACGGAUGGAUGAUUUUAACCAUAACUGAUCCACUCAUGCACAGAUCUAAAUAUAGUUGAGCUAGUUCAAAGUUAUAGCAUGAUUUAAUCAGCAAAGAUUAAAGCAAAACGGACACUGUAAUGUCUUUCUUAUUUAUUCGUACGCUGAUUUUCCUGUUAAAAUUCCAACACCAAUUUCACGAUCCAAAUCCAAUUACAUUUGUCCAAUCCCAAUUUCAAAGCUCAAUCCAUAGAAAAUUCAAAAAUUGUGUACAGAAUGAUAGAUGUUUCUAAUCUAAAACUAUCAAAUGGUGGUGAAAAUAUCUUAGUCUCAAAAUAUCUUGAAUAAUUGGUGAUUUUUGUAAAAUGUAGUUGUCAUAUUUUUAUAAUUCAAUGUUUCUGUGGCUUGUAUUAGUUUUAUGUUACUAUAAAUACCAUUGGACUCUUUGAUGGAGGCAUCAAGUGAAAUUUGAAGAAUAAGAGAGAAAUAAGAAGUGUGAGCCGUGAGUUUUAUGCCUAGUGUCCCUUGUGAAAUAUUUAUAAAGUCCUUUAAAUGUUUGUAACUUUUGGUAUUACCCAAAUAGUUCCGAUUUUGUUCAGUUUAAUCCUAUUCAUUUUUUCAAAGAUUCUAAGGUGGUGUUUGGUUGGGAGUAGAAAAUGUAGGAGAGGAAAGUAAUUUAAAUUCUCUUUUUAUUUUCAUUGUUUGGUUUGACAAAAUAUAUAAGAAUUUAAUUUCCAUUAGUAUUUAAUAUCCAUCAUAAUGUAGAAUUUGAAUUCCACACUAAGUAGUGAAGAAUUUAAAUUCCUCUUAUAUUAGAAACUAAAGUUUCCAAAAUUACCCUUCAAUUUUUUAACUUAUUUAUUGCCAUUAAUAAUUAUUAUUUAUAAUUUUAUUUUAAUGACUUAAUAUUAUAAAUGGACCUCCACCGGAAAGUCACCGGACCACCGCCGGACCUCGCCGGAAGAUCGUCAGACCUCCGCUAAAACUCGCCGGAAUGUCGCCGGACCUCACCGGAAGAUCGUCAGACCACCGUCGGACCUAGCCGGAAGUCGCCUGACCACCGUCGGACUUCGCCGGAAGUCGCUAGACCUCUGCCGCCGGCCACUGGACCGCCAUUUUAUUAUAUAUAUAUAUAUAUUAUUAAUAUAAAUAGUUUAAUAUUUAAGGUAAAUGAUAAAUUUGUCUAAAGAAAAAAUUAUAAUUUAUAUCAAACCAACUAACAAAAUUUAAUUUCACUACUCUUCUCCAUUCAUUUCUUCUCCCUUCCUCUCCAUUCCACUCUUUUCCUCUCCCUUUUCUUCAAACCAAACAUGACCCAAGGGGCUAUGCCGGAUCAGAAAAUUAACCAAGGAUCAACGAAUUCAAACGAAAUAAAUUGUACAGACAGACUGGCUCAUAUAUCGAGUGAUUUGUAUCCAAGUUUCAGGAUUUUACACGACAUGCACAAAAAAAAAAUAAAUAAAUAUCCAACUUUGUGUUGAGAACUAAUUUUCUAGAAUCUACUUGCAUAUAUAAUUACUCUAUUAGAACUCCUUGAUUUAUCACUAACAUUUACAAGAUUAUUAUUGAUAAGAGCAUACUUACAUGACUAAAAAAAAGCCAAGUUGGAAUUCUAAAUACAGAACAGAUGUCAAUUAAGAUAGCAAAUAACGACAAAUAAUUUUAGUCUUAACGACUUCAUCACUACACUCUUGAUGGAGUAGAAAAAUUAUGAAAUUUUGACUGCACAAAGCUUAAUAUGCAAUUAUAAAAUCUUAAAAAAAUUCAUGCUUAAAAUUUGGCAAUUUUAAGAUAUAUAUGUAUAAAAAAAAUAACAAAGAAGCUAUGUCAUAAUUUAUCAACUCAAAUGUCAUCCUAACAAUAAAAUAGGACUACUAAACUUUUGAAAUAAUAAUUAAACUAUAAAUAAAAUCACAAAUCUUAUAAUAGUAACUAAUUGAAUUAAAUUAAGAGUACUGAUAUUUUCAUGUAGAGGCUAAUGUUUUUGUGGCCAAGUUUUUUUCUUUUUUUCUUCACAAAUCAUGGGCCACAAAAACGGGCAGUAGGGGUUCUUUUGAUAUAGGAUGGUUGUGUAGGAUGAACAAGAUAUCUUUUUAGGGCCAUGACUUUUGUUAAAAGUGUCCAUUUUAAUCUCAUAAUAUAUUGUUUCGAAGCUUACAAAAGAUAGACGUAGACAUACAGAAAUGAUGAAUAGAAUAAUUUAAUAGAGGGUCAGGUGUAUGUUUUCUAAUACUAAACUUCCUAAAUCUUUCUAGGCGGAGGCUAUGCGUACUGCAGUUGACUUGAUUAACCUUUCUCCUUCAGCUCUAUUAGAUGGCGAUGUACCUGAGAGAGUUUACACUAGGAAAGAUGUUUCUUACAAACACUUGAGAGUGUUUGGUUGCAGACCAUAUGUUCACAUCCUAAAAGAUGAGAGAUCAAAGCUUGAUGAUAAAGUCUAGGAAUGCAUUUUCUUAGGCUAUGGGCAUGAAGAAUUUAGGUACAUAUUAUGAGAUCUAGUGAUAAGAAAAUUAAUCAGAAGUAGAGAUGUUGUAUUCCUUGAAGAUCAGUUAGUGGGUGAUGCAGAGAAAAGUGACGAGCCUUAGUUAUCUCCAGAGAUUCCCAUUAUUUCAACUUCAAUUUCUCCACUUGUAGUUCAUAAUGAUCAUAAGGGAACUGGAGAAGAUAAUAACGAUGGUCCAGCAGAACCAGUUGACCAGGCACCUCCAAAACCACCUACACUACCAGUUGAGCCAGAAUUUUGGAGAUCCACCAGAGAACGGCGACCUUCCAUUAGAUAUCCUCCACGUGAGUAUGUAAUGCUUACAGAUGAAAGGGAGCCAGAAUGUUUUGAAGAAGCCAUGUCUCAUCAGCAUAAAAGUGAGUGAGUUAAAGCUAUGCAAGAGGAGAUGAAAUCCUUGAAUGAGAACCACACUUAUGAUUUAGUAAGGCUUCUUAAAGGAAAGAAGGCACUGAAGAACAAAUAGGUUUACAGGUUAAAGACUGAAAAUAACUCACAACAGCAGUAUAGGGCUAGAUUGGUUGUGAAGAGUUUUGGUCAAAAGAAAUGUAUUGAUUUUGAAGAAAUAUUUUCUCCUGUGGUGAAGAUAUCGUCUAUCCGAGUUGUUCUGGGAUUAGCAGCUAGCUUGAACUUGGAGAUUAAAUAGCUUGAUGUAAAGACAACUUUCUUGCACAAUGACUUAGAGGAAGAAAUAUAUAUGGAGCAACCUGAAGGGAUCAAUGUUAAAGGUAAAUAAGAACUUGUGUGCAAGUUGUAGAAAAGUUUGUAUGAGCUUAAACAGGCACCAAGGCAGUGGUACAAGAAGUUUGAUUCUUUUAUGGAGAAUCAUGGUUUUAACAAGACAAUGUGUGAUCAUUGUGUUUUUGUAAAGAAGUUUGGUGAUAAUGAUUUCAUCAUUCUUUUACUUUAUGUGGAUGACAUGUUGAUUGUUGGUCAUGAUGCUAAUAAUAUUUACAAUCUGGAGAGGGAGCUGAGCAAGUCUUUUGCAAUGAAAGACUUGGGACCGGCGAAACAAAUUCUUGGCAUGAAGAUUUCCCUCGAUAGAAAAGUUGGGAAGUUAUGGUUAUCUUCAAAAGCAUAUGUUGAAAGGGUUCUUGAAAGAUUUAACAUGGGUAAGGCAAAAUAUGUUUGUUCUCCACUUGCAGGCCAUUUCAAGCUUACUUUUGAACAUUAUCCUACAAGUGAGAAAGAGAAGCAAGAGAUGAGAGGAGUUCCUUAUGCUUCAGCGGUUAGUAGUUUGAUGUACGUCAUGGUUUGUACAAUACCAUAUAUUGCUCGUGCAGUUGGUGUAGUUAGUCGGUUUCUCUCCAAUCCGGGUAACGAAUACUGGACAUCAGUAAAGUGGAUUCUCAGAUAUUUCAGAGGCACUUAUGAGGCAUGUUUAUGCUUUGGUGGUGACAAACAUGUAUUACAAGUGUACAUGGAUGUAGAUAUGGCAGGAGAUGUUGAUUCAAGAAAAUUUCUAUCAGGAUAUUUGCUCACCUUUGCAGGGGGAGCAGUCUCAUGGCAGUCCAGACUUUAGUAGUGUGUUGUCUUGUCUACCACAUAAGUAGAGUAUAUUGCAAUUACUAAAGGUUGCAAAUAAACCUUGUGGAUGAAGAAUUUCCUACAAGAGUUAGGUGUGAAGCAAGAUAAAUUUAUUGUGUACUACGACAGUCAGAGUGUCAUUCACUUGGCAAAAGAAUUCAACAUACCAUUCAAAAUCCAAGCAUAUUGAUGUGAAGUAUCAUUGGAUACGAAACGUGCAUGAGAAGAAACAAUUGCAGGUUUAGAAGAUACACACAACGGAGAAUAUGUUAGAUAUGACGACAAAGCCAUUGCCCAAGGAGAAGCUGAAAAGCUAUAUGGAAAAAGCGGGCUUGGUGGUGCCCCCACAUGAUCUGGAGGGAGAGAUUUGUUAGGUGCAUCUCAUUUGGGUGGCUCAAGCCUAAAGUUUAAUAAGUUUGGGUAAAUAAGUAAUUAAAAGAAACGUAAAGGGCAAAUGAAAUUUACCAUGAAAUUUGGCUACAUAAACAAGCAUAAAUGGAGGUGGCAGUAACCUUUUGAGAGAAGAGCAAGAGAGAAAGGAAGAGACAGUAGAGUUGAGACUAUUUGGGUGCAAGAUUUUCAAUUUUUAAUUGGGCGAUCGGAAGGCGAAAUUAACUUCCUUUUUUCUCAAAUUUUGAGGGUAAGUUCCUAGUAUCGCCCUCUACAACUCUACUAGUCUUGAUUUUUAUUUUAUCUUCUCUUUGACUAUUAUUUGAGAUACCCACUUGUUAGAGAGAUCAUUAUUAAGUUGUUACCGUAAGGCAAAAAUAUUGAGAUUCUUGAUAUUGAUAUCUUCUAGUAUUAUCUAGAGAAGAAUUAGUGCUGCAAUCCUAUUAAUAUAGUGGAAGAUUAUAUCGGACUACGGUCCCAUACUUUUUCUCGCUUUGGGUUUUCCAUAUAAAAUCUAUGUCUCUUGUGGUUGGUUUUUGCUUUGGAUUUUGUUGAUUUAUUUUUCUGCCUAUUUAUUUAUGGUACACAUCCGAUUUUAAUCACACAAAGAGGGAAAAAAAUUUGUUUCCGCUUAAUUUACAGCUACUUUUGUGAGUCCCUUUCCCAACAGCUUAAAUGUACAUAUACACCCCCCAAGAUUUUAAAUGUCACACUAACUCCUUUCUAAAAUAAAGUAUUUUUAAUAGAAUCUGUCCAAGUAGGAAAUUUAACUGGAGAAAAUAAAAAUAAGUUAUGAAGGUCAAAGGGGAGCAAAUAAAGCAGGAGAAAACAAAGAAGCUUACCAAAGUAAAAACUGGAAACCAAGAAGCAAAAAUAAAGAUUUUGAGUAAUCUAUAAUUUCGGAAGGCCCCGCCGUAACUACCACUGAAAAUAGCUUCAUGAAUUGAAGAAGGGGAACAUCGAACUUAGCAGCCAUGUUAUCUUAAUUUAUCAAAGAUGUAUGAACAAGAAUUAAAACGAAAUCAUAUUAGAGAUAAUUGCUUUACGAUUCAACAACUUAUUCUUAAUAUGAGAACGAGUAAAACAAGAACAGCCUGAAUUGACCAAGCAAGAAAUAGUUCCAGCCCAUGGAUAUUAAAUUCUAAUGGAAAUUAAAUUUUUAUAUAUUUUGUCCAACUAAACAAUGGAAAUAAAGAUUGAAUUUAAAUUAUUUUCCUCUCCUUCAAUCUCUCCUCCCAUCCAAACACCACGUAAAUGUUAGCUAUUUCAACUUACAAUCCACAUGUGUCAUGAUGUGUGCGUGUUGGAAUGGUCUAGUAACAUUCAUCAGAUAAUCAUAUGAAAUAAAAUGGAUAAAUAAAAGCUAUUAGAGAGAAGGACUUACAAAUUUAUUUUUUUUGAAGAGAAAAGAACAAAAAUAGUUUUUAUUAAAAAAAUACAAAAUAGAGAAAAUGAUGCAUUUCUUUUGUUCUCCUAAUUGGCCAUCUUUAAAAAAAUCUGUUUAGUUAGAAAAAAAUAAUUUUUUUAAAGUAAAAUAAACAUAAUAUUUUUUUUAAAACAAGCAAACACACAAAAGCAUGUUAUAUGAGCUAUCCCCUCCCCUUCACCAGAUCAAGGCAUUGUCCUCAAUGUCUAAAGAAAAAGAGAUAAAGUUUACAGGGCUGCACCUGAUAAUGUGAAAGGAACAUCAUCAAAAGACCAUAGUAAUGAUUUAUAUCCAAUGGCCUAAUAGGUUGUUGGUGGAUGUUCAGUUGUGCCCAUGAUGCAAUUGUGAAAAUUUCUUCUAAGAUGCCUAGUCCACUUGGUAAAGCAAUAAAAGCAUCAACAUGUUCAAUCUUUACAAUGAGACAUUCAUGUAUACAUAUAACAAUGAGAUCUUCUCCAUUUGUUUUCCCGAUGAUAUUUCCUCUAGUUUAAGGUUUUUGGGACUAUACACAAAACUUGACUUCCUUUAGUGUUUGCAGCUAGCGAGAUGGUAUGUGAAAUCUCUAAUGCUAUGGGUGUCAAUGUGUAAGUGUACACGAUAAGUAAUAUACUGAUGAGUAUUCAAAUUGUCUCAACAGGGAUUGAUGUUAUCAAAUUUGCUACAGUAAUCUUAACAGUGUAGUUUUGUUUUAAAUGAAAAUAAAGCAACUAAUGAAACUAACAAACGAAUCAAAGUAAAAAUGCAGUAAAUAAAAUAAAAUAAAGGAAAUUCUCACGUCAAAUAUAAGGAUGUAACCAAUGGGAAUUGAGUAGUUGAGUGCAUAAACUCACUUAAUAGCAUUAACUAUUUUUUCAAUUAUAGUACCAUUGGUACAGCAUCUACUACAGCGCUGGGCAGAAUCCCUCAUUCAUCCUCAGUUGUCGCAUGUUUGAUAUCUUAUAUCUAAUGCAACCUAACAGUGACCAAUUGUUACGCCAAUAUUAAAUAUACCAUUAAACGAUCUAGGUUCUGUUUACCCUACAAGAUGAAUACAUAUAUCUAAUUCAUCACUAAUUUUAGAUCAAGCAUGACCUUAUUCAAAUUGAGAUUAACUCAACUUGAAAAACCCAAUCUAAAACCAAGUAUUAUCUUAAUGAGAUCCACUGAAUCAGACGUUUUUUAGACUCUUUCUUAGCUAGUAUCUUUAAAUGGGUGGUCAGUCGAAAUAGAGAAUAAAAUAAAUACAAAUAAGACAAAAUGUUAUAGCAAACACAGAGCAACAUGCGUAUAUCAGUCAAACAUCCAUUAAGUUCGUUUAUUACUCAACUACAAUCAAAUUCAGUUCAUGAUUUGCGAUAGAAAAAUAAACAAAAGAGUUUCAGCCAUCAAAUAGAUCCCCAUGAAUAAAUAGAAAACAAGAAAAUAAGAAGAAUGGCUAAUUUCUAUUUUAUUUCUGCAGUUUCUCCUCUGUCGGCCUUCAAUCUCUCUCUUGAAUUUUGUUUUCUUGUUGUUUCUUUGCGAUUUUUUCUCCUUGGGUGAUGGCUUUCCCUUUUUCUCUGUGUGUGUGCUCAUUUAAUAGCUUAAAAUUCAGGAAACUAUAAGUCUAGAGCACGCAUAUUCCAGUUUUGGAAACUCCAUAUCGCAAUCUUCUAAGUAUCUCGCGCGAAAUUUUCUCUAUCAAUGCUUCAAGAUUGCUAUAGCAAAAGUGCUACAGCAACGGUUACUACAUGUUACUUAAAAUUUAAGCUUCCGAACACCUACAAUUAUGCAUAUGAUCUAAGCACAAAUUAAUCUAAAACAAACUAAAUUUAUUAAAAAUAAACAAAAACUGAUGUUCAUACAAAAUAUAACUAAAAUGCUAUAAAAACAUGUCAUUUACUCUCUAAAUAAUUUUGAUUUAAGUCUAAAAGUACCAUGAUAACUCCAUUUCAUAAAGUUAUCAUGAGACAACCCUUAUUAAUCUAAAAUCACCAUCUCCACAUAUUAAAUGUAUUUUUCUCAUAGACAAUAUCCCCUCGAGGUCUUUGACAGCCUCAACGAAAUUUAGAGUAUGUCCAAAAGUUGAUCCAGAGAAUAGAAAAAUAUUUUUAAGUUGUCAAAAUGGAAUUACUGGCAUUAUGAUUUUCUUUCUGUUAAAAAUUAUAUAUGUAUUUACAAAUCCAGGAAAGGCAAUCCAUUAAUGAUAAUAAAUUCGGAGGUUGGCAAUUGUUAAACAGAGUGUCAGAAAUAGUUAAAAUGAUAAUCAGUUAAAUGCUAUAGGAAAUUUCAAAUAAAUAAGUUAAUAAAGUUAGAGCAAAGUAAUAAUAGAAAAUGAAAAUGAUAUGUACUGAUAGUUGUGAUUGUGGCUCACGACUUCUUUUAGUUUUACAUCCAUUAAUGGCUUGAAUGCUUUCUAUGGAUCGGGGAUAGGAUUCCCAACCAAUUUUCUUAUAAAUUAGUGGUGGGUUAUUUCUAUUACUAUGGGUGUUAAUGUAUAAGUGUACACAACAAGUAAUGUAUCAAUGUACAAGCCAAGUAGCCACACCAGAAUUCACCUCAGCAGGUACAUUUUGAACAAUAGCCGCAUUCUCAACAAAAGGCAUCGUUUUAGUGGUAGGUUCUGAUCGUAUUGGUAGCAUGUACACAACAAGUAAUGUAUCAAUGUACAAGUGUACACAACAAGUAAUAUACUGAUAAGUAUUUAGAUCGUCUCCACAAGGAUUGAUGGUAUCAGAUUUGCUACAAUAAUCUUAACAGUGCAGUUUAAUUCCAAAUUAAAAUAUGACAAUUUAUGAAACUAAUAAACUAAUUAAAAAUGCAAUAAAGAAAAUUCUCACGUCAAACACAAGGAUAUAACUAAUGGGAAUAGAGUAGUUGAGUGAUUAAACUCACUUAAUAGCGUUGAUUGCUCCUCUAAUUAAAACCCUAUUGCUACAACAUCUAUUACAGCACUGGGCAAAAUCCCUUAUGCAUCCUCAGAUGUCGUCUGUUGGAUAUCUUAUAUUUAAAUGUAAUGUAACAGUGAUCAAUUGUUAUGCUAACAUUAGAUAUAGCAUUAAAUGUUCUAGGUUUCAUUUACCCUACAAGGUCAAUCCCCACGUCCAGUUCUUCAUUAAUUUUAUAUUAAGCAUUACCCUAUUCAAAUUGAGAUUCACUCAACUUGGGAAACCCAAUCUAAAACCCAGUAUUGUCUUAAUUUGUUCCACUAAGUUGGCCAUUUUCAAGGCUCUUUAUUAGCUAGUAUCCAUUAAAUGUGUGAUCAGCCAAAAUAGAGAAUUGAAAUAAAUACAAUUAAGACAAAAUGUUAUAACAAAUACAAAGCAACACACAUAUGUCAGUCAAACAGAUCGUUUAUCACUCAACCACAACAAAUUCAAUUCGUGAUUUGCGAUAGAACAGUAAAUAAAAUUGUUUCAGCGAUCAAAUACAUCCCUAUAAUUAAAUAGACAACAAGAAGAUAAGAAGAAGAACUGAAGUAUGCUCGAUCUUAGUGAUAUCUUCUUUAGUUCCUCUUUGAAUAUUCUAUUACAUCCUUUGAUUUAUCUCUUAAUGUUUUGUUUUCUUAUUGUUUCUUUUCAGUAUUCCCCUUAGGUGAUGGCUCUUUACUUUUUUUCUUUUCAUGUGUGCUCAUUUUAUAACUUAGAAUUAAGGCAACUGAAAGUGUGUGACGCGUAUCCUCCAUUUUUAGAAACUUUAUAUCGCAAUAUUUUAGUUAUUGCGCAUGAAAUCCAGUCUGUCAUUGCUCCAGGAUUGCUACAGCAACUGCUAUAGCAUCUUCAGUGUUCCAGACUUAUUUCAAUUCCUCUGCAGUCAAGAUAUUUUGUCACUUUUGCAAGUCUGUUGCAGCAAUAUUUCAUCCCUAAAACUUGAGCUUUUCGGUCACCUACAAUUAUGCACAUAAUCUAAGCAAAAAAUAAUCUAAAAAAACUCAAUUUAUUAAAAAUAAAUUAAAAUGGAUGCUUAUGCCAAAUGUAACUAAUAUGCCAUAGAAAUACAUCAUUUACUUUCUAAGUAAUAUUGAUUUAAGUCUAAAAGUAUCAUGAUAACUUUCAAUUCAUAAAGUUAUCAAUUAGCAAAUUGAGUAAUUUGAAAUUGGCUUCCUAAGACUAAAUUGUUUACCUUCUUUUAGGAAUUAUCUCUAUAAAUUGUGAAUCUCGCGUUGCACAUAGUCACUUGGAUGCAUCUUAAGAGAUCGCAAGAUAUCAUCUAAUGCUUGUUUACAUGGACCAUCCUUAAUGAAUUUAAUUUAUCUUCACGAUUUUAAAAACCAUUCCUAAAGUUGUACAAUACGCUUCACAAGAAAGUCUUUCACAUUUAUGAUAUUUAGAGCCAAUUCGUUUAGCUCUUCUUUUUUUAGCAAAUGAUAUCAUAUAAGUCCAAUGAACCAAUUAACACAUACAAUCCAUUCUUCUUUUCACCUUUCAUCACAAUAGAACCCUCCUUAGUCACUUUUAUGCCAUCACUAUCUAACUUGAAUGAAUAUCUAGAGUUGUCCAACAUGCCUAAAGAGAUUAAAUUUCCCUUUAACUCAGGAGCAUGUCUAAGCCUAUGUAAAGUUCUGAUGAUCCCAUCAAAUAUUUUAAUCUUGACAAACCUUAUUCCAACAAUUUAACACUUAUUGGUGUUUCCCACAAAAACUCUACCACCAUCAAUAAACUCAUAUUGAUGAAAAAGUGACUUAUUAGGCAUAUGUGUAAAGAACAACCCAAGUUUAAUACCCACUGACCUUCUAAGUUGCCUUUUGAGGUUAUAAAUAGAUCAGCACUAUAAUAACCAUCAUCAAAUGAGAUAUUUAAAGCCACAGCCACACCUCAUAACCUUUAUUGACUUUCCUUCUUUUUUUUCUAUGCACUCUCUAUGAUGUAAUGCAUUUGUUUCCUACAAAAAAAGCAUUUCCUCUUGUUUUUCUUCUUUUUGCAUUCUCAUGGUUCUUUCCUUACCCCUUUCUUUGAUUAUUGUUCUACUGUUCCUUCUUCUUUCGGUUCUGGCAAUCAGCCCUUCACCAUUACUUACUUCAUGGCCAUCAUGCUUUUCAAUCUCUUUUGAGCUUAGUGAUGUCGUGACAUCUUCCAAAGUCAAGGUUUUCUUCUAUACAACAUUGUAUCCACAAAACCUUCAUAUGAUUGUGGCAAUGAACUUAAAAAGAAAAUGAUUUUGUCUUCAUCUCUAAAUCUUCACAUUUUCAACCUCUUCAAGAUCAAGAAUGAUCUUGUUGAAAGUGUCAAUGUGUUCUUAAAUAGACACCCCUUAUAUCAUUGAAAAAGUGUACAACUAUUUCUUCAAGAAUAACUUGUGAGCCAAAGAUUUCUUUAUACAAAGGCCUCCACCUUAUUCUAUAUCCCAAGGUAUGUUUUUAUUUAGAGAUUGCCCUCAAGAUUGAGUCACUAAGACUCAAAAUUAGGGUUUUGAAGGCUCUAUUUUAAAUAUGUUUCUUCUUUUCAUCAGGUUUAAAGCUUGUUGGCUUAUCAGGAUCUUCUUCUUCUAAGACGGAUUCAAGGCCCUGAUGCACAAGUAGAGCCCUCAUAUUCAUCUUCCAAAGUGAGAAAUCACCACUGAGCUUCGCAAUUUCUAGUUUUAAAAGUGACAUGGUCAAGGUUCACUAAGUCUCUGAUACCAAUUAUUGUAAUUAAUGGUUAACAAUCAAGAACUCAACCAAACUUUCGAGCUUUAAUCAAACAAGAUUAAUUGAAAUCAAGAUUGAAGAAAAACAUAGCAAGAACAAAGAAAUAGAACUGGAUCACAAAGAACAAGAAAAUACAUCCACAAAUUUUUAUAAUUUAUUUCAUUAUUUCCAGCAAUUAAAAUUUAAAAAAAUCCUAACAAUUUAAAUAUAUAAAACACAUCUAGAAAUUGUCAUAAAUUUAAUCCAUUUUCAGCAAUUAAAAUAAAAAAAAUCCUAACAAUUUAAAUAUAUAAAACACAUCCAGAAAUUGUCAUAAAUUUAAUCCAUUACUUUCUAACAAUUUAAAUUAAAAAAUCCUAACAAUUUAAAUGUAAAAACGCAUCAAAUUUUUGUACAAAUUUAAUACAUUACUUUUUAUCAAUUCAAACUAAAAAAAAAUCAUAACAAUUCAUAACAAUUUAAACAUAUAAAACGCACGCAUCCAAGAAUUUUUACAAAUUUAAUCCUUCACUUUCUAACAAUUUAAACUGAAAAGAAAAAAUCUAACAAUUUAAAUAUAAACAACAGAACCAAAAGCUAAUUUUAUUUUAAUGUAAUGGGAAAGUGAAAGUUACCAAUUAUCCGGCUAAAAUUUCAUCAACGUUGUUGGUGUAGUCUUUGGCACCAAAUUCAUAUCUCUGAAUGCAGAUCUCCAGAUAAUAGCCGCUAGUUUUACUUCAAUUUUCUUCUGUUAAUGCAAAUGCAUAUCUGAGUUGGUUUGGUUUGGCUUCUUUGUCGGGUUUGAGGGAUAAUGGCAAUUUUAGUUUUUUGUCAUUACUUUCUUAUUUUGCCAUUUUCUUUUCGUUACUUUUGGUUUCCUUUUCAUUAUUUUAAUGUUUUCUUUUUAUUAUUUUAAUUUUAAAUGAAAAAAGCAACAAACAAAGGGACCCACAAAAAUGGCAGCAGGCAUUGCCGUUUUUGUCGUCCCUUUAUCGUCUGUUUGUUUAUUUAGCACUACUCUAAGGUAGUGUUUACUUGCUGAAGUGGGAGUGAGGAGUCUGGAUUCCUCCCACUCCAGUGUUUACUUACUAAUUUUAAGAGGGGAGUGGGAAUCCCACUCCGUGGGACUCACUUUUUUUUGGAGUGGGGAGUGGGAUUCUCACUCCCAUGGGGGGAGGUGGGAGUGAGAAUCCAGUCCCCUCUCUUCCAUUUUUAUCCUUACAUUUAAUCAAAUAAAAUAAUAUCAUAUUUAUUUAAAUAAUAUUAUUAUAUUAUUUUAUAAAUUAUACUUAUUAAAAAUAAUAAUUUAUAUUGAUUCUAAGUUAAAAUUACUUAAAAAUAAUAUUAUUAUACUCAUAAAGAAUUAAUAAUAUUACUAUAUACUUUUUUAUUUGAAAAUAUAAUAUUAUUAUAUUUAUUUAAAAAUCAUAGUAUUAUAUUUAUUUAAAAAUCAUAGUAUUAUAUUUAUUUAAUAUUAGUAAUUAAUAAUAAUAAUAUUUUAUUCUAAGAAAAUAUUAUUUUUGUAUUAUAUUAUUAAUAAUAAUGUUUCAUUUGUGUUGCUCUUAAUAAUAAUUUUUUAUUUACACAAUUAAAAUUAAUAAAAAAAUUAUUUACAUAAGUAAGAAUAUUAAUAAUUAUUAUUAUUUUACAAAUAUAAUAAAAUAAAUAUUUUAUUUUUCAAAUCUAUUUUUUAUUAAUUUUGUAACUAAAAACUAUAAUUCUUUAAAUAAUGAUAAAACUGUAAUUUAAAAUCAUUUAAUCUCAAUUCCAUGCUUUCAUUCCUGUUAGGGGUGGGCAAAAUCGGGUUCGGGUCAACCCGAUCGGGUAUCGGGUUAUUCGGGUUGGGCGAAUAUUGAUCUGAAUACAACCCUAACUUACAACCCAACCCGACCCGACCCGAUCCGAUCCGAUAUAUGUUCGGAUCAGUUCGGAUCGGGUUAAAAAAUCGGGUUGAUUUCGGGUCUUGGAACAAUAGAAUGCAGUUCGGGUCGAAUCUUAGAGCAGCAUAAUGCAGAUCGGGUUUUGGAGCAGCAGCAAAAUGCAGAUCGGAUUCGGGUCUUGGAGCAGCAGCAAAAUGCAUAUCGGAUUCGGGUCUUGGAGCAACAAAAUUCAGAUUGGGGCGGUGGCACUUGGCACUUGGAUGCAAAUCAGUGGCCACGGACGUGCAGCAGCAGACGGGAUGACGCACACUCACGCAGCAGCAGACGGGAUGAUGAACACUCGCUCAGCAGCAGCAAUCACGGACCAGCGAACUUGCAGCAACACCGAGCAGCAGUGAGCACAUAGGCGGACGCUUCUUGAGGUGUGGACUCCGUUGGCGACUUGCUGUUGGCCAUUGGGUGCAGUCCGUGGAUGUGUUUUGUGCGCAACAGCAGCCUUGUGUUUGUGUGUUUGUGCUGUGAGUGAAUCUGUGAUUUGUGUUGUGUUUGUGUGACUGUGUGUGCAGCAGCGUAUGUGUGUGUGGUUGUGUGCUGUGUGCAGUGUUAGCUUAGGUUUUUUUUUUUUUUUUUGGGAACCCGAUCGGGUAUUUGGAUCGGGUCGGGUUUGACCCGAACCGAUCACAACCCGAUCGGGUUUGUAAAUUUCAAUCCGAUCGGGUUUCAAUCCCGACCCGAACCGACCCGAACUCGAAAUUUAUCGGGUCGGGUCGGGUCGAAUCGGGUAAAAUGCCCACCCCUAAUUCCUGUUUAAGUAAACAACUUACUUCCACUCCCACUCCCACUCCACACUCCUAAUCCCAGAAUUCUCACUCCUCAUGAUUUCUAUUCCAAUCUAAAAUGUAAACGCAGCAUAAAUUUUAAUAGAGAGAAAUAUCGCAACCAACUCUGACUAGUGGUGCAAUUCGACAUAUAUACUACAACUCAUUUUUCCUUUUCACCAAAUGAGACAAACUAAUUUUCUAUGUUUAUUUUUUCCUUUCCAACCGUUGACAUGUGCUCACGACUAAAUUUUGAUUAUAGCUUUCAUUGCUAACCAUACUCAAAGUUCAGCUUUGGUGAGGGCCAAUUAUGGGAGUUUUCCAAAUAUAGUGUCAAAAUCAAAAGGAACAAACCAUAAAAAUGAAUGAUGUGGGAAAUAUUUGGUCAACACAAUUUUAUAAGACGAUGUAUGAAAUUUUAGCAAUAUCAGUAUGAUUCAAACGGCUCUAAGUUCGGUUUUGGUGAGGAGCAAUUUUUAGAGUCUUUCAAAUUUAAGUGAAUCUACAAAAUCGAACGAGAAAGCUAAUUCAAUAAAGUGUUUAGUGAUUUGAAUUCUUCCCCAUAGUAUUCUUAUUUUCCCCUUUCUGAAACCCUAAUUACACUAAUUUUUCCCUUUUUUUUUUUUGACACCUAAAAUAUGCGCUCAUCACUUUUCUUUUCCCUAUCUAAAAUUCAUUGUCCAUUACCUCAUUCUUUAAGAACUUUUUUUACAGGUUGCCCGCCUUUUGUUUAGAAUAAUUAUUUAACCAUUGUAUUUGUACCUUAUUUUACAUUAAAUUUGUUUCCAUCCGUUGGAUUUGAGAAAUGGCAAAUCCAAGAUCCAUAUCGUCAGGCUAUUUAUUUCUGCACUUGUAACAUAGGCGCUGCCAAAAUAAUCUCUCUUACACCUUAGUAAUUUGGUCAUUUCAAACUAGACAGGUUGUUAAUCAAGGACUAAUUUGAUAUAAAUAAAUAUAUUAUGUUAUUAUUUAAAAGAAAUAAAAAGGUAGGGAUGUAAAUGUUAUUAUACAUUCAGUUAUUAGCAAUAAUCCCCUCUGACUAGCGAUUUUCUUUCUAUUUUUAUUUUUUUAAUUGAAGCAAUUUACAAAUAUUUUAAAGUAUUAAAUACAACUUAGAAUUCUAUAUAGUUCAAAAAUCACCACAACUAGUGUCUAGCCAUCUAUUCCUGUGUUUAGGAUUAUAUAUACUCUUUUCCAUAAUUGUGAAAGAGAAAAUAAAUUGUGAAGUCCCCACAUCUUAUAUUGAGGAAGGUUUCUACCCUUUCUCACAAUAAGCCCACUUUACAGGGUCCAAUUACCCCAGGCUACAGCCUCGGUGCUAUUUCUAUUUUUGAACUAAUUUAUUUAUAAAGUUUUAGUCUUUAAAAAUAUAUGUUAAAAACAUAUAUAUAAGUUAUUAAAGAAAUAGCAGUGAUAUAACCACAAAUAAUUUUAUAAAUUAUGACAAAAAUAGAAAAAAAAAAGGAUAAAAUAGACUCAAUUUCAAGUUAUAAUGUAUUUAAUAGGGGUGGGCAAUUUCGGAUUUGGAUCGGAUUCGGAUAUAAUGUAUUUAAUAGGGGUGGGCAAUUUCGGAUUUGGAUUAGAUUCGGAUGAAUCCGAUCGGAUUUCGGAUGAAUCCGAUCGAAUUUCAGAUAAUUCGGAUUGAAAAAAAAUUCAUCCGAAUUCAAUUCGACUUUAAAUCCGAUCCGAAUAAUUCAGAUCGGAUGAAAAUUUCAGAUUACUCGGAUUCGGAUCGGAUCGGAUGAGUUUAGUUUUUGGAUUAUAUUUCGGAUUCGGAUUAUAUUUUGGAUUCAGAUUGAAAUCGGAUUUGGACAUUUUUAACAAUUCUCACAAAAAAAUUAUGAAAUAUAUAAUUAAUGAAAACUUACUAACCAUUAAAAAAAAAAACCAAAACAAAUUGACAAAUGACAAUGUAUUAUUUCCUUGACAAUAUGGCAUUGACAUAUACCAAGAAAACAAGCCGAUACAAAGUUUCCAUUCACAAAAAUAAAAAAAAUAUAAUCCAUUAAAAUGAAAAACAUUUAAAUAAUCAAAUCUAAUAAUCUAUAAUCAACGACCCAUUUAUAUUCUCAUAUGCAUUCAUUUUGUACAAACACUCCCAUUUAAUUUAAUUAGUAAUCCUCUUACAAGCUAGGUGCAUAAACAUUACUCCAAGUCCAAGCCUGCAAAUAAGCAACACAAAAUAAACAUUGCUCCAAGCCUCCAACUCUCCAAAGUCCAAAUGAAUAACACAAAAUAAACUUUGCUCCAACUCCAAUCUCCAAGUAAACAACACAAAAUAAACAUUACUCCAAGUCUCCAAACAAACAACACAAAAUAAACAAUCAACUAUUACUCAAAGCCUCCAAAUAAAUAAACAACACAAAAUCACAAAAUAAAUAUUAUCAUUAUAUCAUCCAACAAUAAAAUAAACCAAAAUAAAAAUUAUCAUCCAAAAACAUUUAGUCAUUUAGCUUAUUUUUUUAAUUUUCAGUUUUUUUUUGUUUACAGUGCAAAUCCGAUCGGAUGAUUCGGAUUGAUCCAAAUCCGAUCCGAUCCGAACCAAAUCCGAUCGGAUCCCACAAAUUUCAUCCAAUCGGAUUUGCCUUCAAAUCCGAAUCGGAUGCCCACCCCUAGCAUUUAAGUUGGAUACGGUGGUUGAAGAUGUAGUUGCCAUUGUACAUACAAGAUAAGAUAUUGCUUUAUCGAAGCGGUUCGAAAAAUACAAGCCUGAAAAUAAUUGUUUUAUAGGAAAAAUAGAAGAUCUUAUUCAAUCAUACUCUGAAUUACACAAUAACAAAUUUUUUCUUAAUAAAUCCACUCAUUAAAUUAAACUCAUAUAGAAAGGUUGUAAAAAGAUCCCAAACUAAUUAAAAUUUUUAAAAAUUACCCUACAUCAAAUUUUUUUUUUUGUACCAUAAAACAAAACGGAGUCCGCCUAUGUUACCACUGUGGUAAGGUACCAUACUUUUUGUCUCCAUCCUAAAUUGCCGUUGGAUGUAAACUGAAUGAAUCUAACGGUCGAAAAAGAAAAAUGGGUAAAGGCCUACUGCCGGUUGUUGAAAGAUAAUUUAAUAAUUAAACAAAGGAAAAAAAUAUUAAAUAAGCGUCCACCAGAGGCCUUCAUCAAAAGAUUUUUCACACCCCAGGAAGGAAUUAAGAUCAUCAAAAUCGUUUCCUCCCCUAGAAAAUCUGAUAAUUGAAUUCUUUUUCACCCCCAGAAAUGACGAUCAAUUUCCCCUAGAAAUUGCUAUUGUGAAGUUUAAAGUUUUGGUAUCUCUCAAUAAAGGCAGAAACGAUGCAGGUAAAAUUCACGGCGGAUACAUGACAACGAGAACCAACUGGAAAAGAUAUUGGGUGGUUGUGGAAAUUUAGCAAUUAGACACAUCAAUUUGCCUUAGAACAGAGUCAAUUUCUCACGUGCACUUGAUCUAUUGUUGUGCCGCUGGAACGGAGGCAGCAGGUAAUUAAAAAGAAAAAAAUUGUUUAUUUUUGUUUGCAACAGUAUGGCAAUGGUAAUUUGCUUAGGAGUGUCGGUCAUGUUUAUUUGUUAGAAUAAGUGAAGGCGAGAUUAGUAACAAGUACUGCUUGUUUAAUUUGAUUGCAAUAAGCACUACGUUGAAGGAGCGAGCGAGAGGGAAAUAAUUCCUUGGAGAAGAUAUUGUAGAAUGAUUGGGCUAUUAUCUUGCAAUCAACUGUGCAGGUACAUAUUUCUUUCUUUUUGUAAUGGUUAAAUGUAACCAUAUCGGUGAUUCAAUUAACCUUGCUUGGUUAUUAUUUUUAUUUUGUUUUGUUUUUUGUGUUAUCUGCUGGUGGCCAAUUAUAUAUGGAUGACAUUGGGGUUAUGAAUUGUUAAUUUAGUUUUGUGAAUAGGGUGCACGUAGCUGAGGAAAAAAAUGAGUUGCUUGGCUAUAAAAGCAAGCAUGUUCUUGCGCUUUGGGAAUGUACCCCCUUGAAAUGCUUUGUAUACUUGGUAUAAUAGGCUAUAUAUCUGUUGCAGAAAAUGAAUAAAUUUUCAUGUUGACCAUGUUCUUUAUGGGCCAUGAUUUGAUGUUCAUGAUUGUUUUAUAUUGUAGGACUGCUCAAUGGGGUUCUAUUAAGAGAAGGUCAGGCUCUACCAGGUAGUCACCUUAUGGCUCAACAUUUUUUUCAUAAUGUUCCCAUCACAUGAGUCUAUUUGGACAAGUUCUGCCUGUUCAACAUGUAGUGUCUCCGAAGUCUAUCUUACUGUUUGUGUGUGAGGUGUUGCCAUCUCCAUUAGUAGCAAGGAGCCAAGGACAGGGCUGUUUGCAGGUGUUCUUAAAUUAAGCAUGCAUUUGGAACAUGUAAAAUAGAGUGCCUUUCUCAUGGCAUGCAGAGGAAAACACCCAUGAGAAGAAUUUAGCAGUAAACAUAUUAUAAAGGGCAUCUGAUUUUGUUCUUGGAUGAUGAUAUGGUUCUCAGCUGUUUUUAUGAUUAUAUUCAUAAUAGUCUUAAUUCAUUUUUGAGUUUCUCUUUUUGUCUUCAAAAUGCUUAGAAAGUUUUAUCUUUUGAAGCCUUAAUUGCUUCCUGAUUUGAUGUGUAUACAUACUCCUGGAAUUAACGAACUUUCAGGGCAAGGAUCCUUGACAAUCUCAGGAGCACAACAUUUGGAUUUAGUCCAAGAGUUAGAUACUGUAACCAGGUCCUGCGUGGCUGGACAAUGUGUUGAAAACUUGCACAAUAACAUGGAGAUUGAGGUGAUCACUGAUAUGAAAAGUUUAAUUUUCAUCGAGUUACUUGUUUAAUUUCUUUAACUUUUAUAUUAAUUUUUAGUUACGUUUUAAUUGCACCAACUUCCAAUGAAUUUAAGGAACAAAUUUUGUAGGAGUCGAUGCUACGGCAGAAGCAUUGUGAACCGAUUAAAAAUUUGCCAGCCAUUACUAUUUGUGAUCGAAAAUGUUGUUCUUUUGUCAAUCAAGAGUUGCCAUUUAUUAAAAUAUGUCCUGAAAGAGGACGUUAUCGGGUUGGACCAUUUCUUAUGCCUAGCCCUUUUGGUAUUGAAGAGGAAAGUUUGAUUAACUUCUGCAUGGAUGAUGAUCUAAAAAAAGGGUAAGAUUAAUUUGAUAUUGUUAAAGUAAUACAGUUAUGUGCAUUAAUUAAUAUGAACAAUAAUUUCGAGAUUGAAAUACAUACAAUUCUUACUUGUUGAUCGAUUCUGUGGAUGUAUUGAAAGAAACUUCAUAAAUGAUGGUAUUUCUGUGGCAGGGAGAUGCUUUUCCAAACUAACUUCUAUGGGAUUACUAGGAAUGAUAUCAUGUCGCUGUCUCCCAGAAGUAUAAUCAAUAUGAAGGUACAAUCGUAACUUCUAUUAAAACUUGUAUGUCCGGCAAUAUUAUAUAUCGACAGCUUGGCCACUUUAAAUAUAGAGGCAUAUUGUAUUUUUGACUUUGGUAUUUCAAUAAUUAACUUCAUAUGUGCUGUCGAGAAGUCAUAAACAUUUAAAUUUCAGGUUGUGUCAGCUGUAUCGGAAUUGCUAUCUGCUCAAACAACUGUAAACGUCGGACAAAGUAAAUUCAACCUUUUUCUGCCUGCUUAUAACACUGUAAGCAAUAUAUUUUAUAAUAUGGCGUUGAUCUUUUGUGUUUAGAAUAGGUUAAAAUACAAGUUGGUGUGUGCUGCACUGUGAUGUAUUUGUUUAAGUGCAAAUGUUGGUGUAUAAAUAUAUCUUUAUCAUUGUAUUUACAAGUUGAGAUGAAACUUGAUUUUGUCAAAUAUGUGGCAUGGUCAAUGUUUGUACUGGAUAGAAGUUUCGGUUGCCAUGUGAUGACACAAACAACCAUUAUGUCCUUUCAGUUGCAGGAUCAUGUUGGUGGCGAGUAGGGAGACGCAAGUGUUGCUGUUGGAAAGUUUAUACCCUCUGAUUUGUAGGCAAAGAAUAUUCGUUCUUGGGAAAAAGUAAGUGAAACCAUAUAAUGGUUUUACAAAAGCUAUGUUAAUAUAAACCUUCGUCAUGAAGUAAUUUUUUUUUUUUUUUUUUGUGGCAAUGCAUCAUGCGUUAUAGAUUUUUGUCCCUGUCAAUUGUGGUCAUGGAUGCUGGUACAUGUUGGUUCUAGUAAUUUCUGAAAUGCGAGUAGAGAUAUUGGACCCGCUUCCUACUUCAAUGUGUAUGCAUUAUAAUAUUGCAAUAUGUAAACGACUGGUACGUAUUCUGUGUUAAUUAUUUCAUCAAAUGACUACUAACUUUAUUUAAAAUAGUACACAAGUAAACUUGUUGUCUUGAAAUUUUUGAUGAGGCAAGGUCACGUUGUUUUGGUUUUCUUUGAACUUUUUCACCUAUUGUCUGUUAUUUUACAGCUAAGAUCAAUUGAGAUGAUGUUGGAUCAUGGCGGUUCAAAUGUUAACUCUAGUAGUUUAAAGUUGAUGGGUUUUUCGGUUGACUAUACCCGACAGCCUUGCAUAUGCAGUGAAUAAGAUUGUGCACUGUAUAUAAUUCUGAUGAUGGAGAGACAUAAUAUGAGGUCAACCCUUAAUGACGCAGAGGUUUAGUGAUUUUAUGUUACCCACAAGAACACAUGUAUCUAAUAAACUUUUUAUUUCACUUGGCAUUGAAACCUUGGGAUAACCUUCUAUUUAAGCUGUGUGUACAUUGUUUUUCUUGAUCAAUUCCAGUCGGAUGCCGAAAGAGCACGAAUUGUCAUCAAACUCAUCACGUGUAGUUUCAACUUUUUGAAGGAUAAGGUUCGCUCAAGUGCUGAGAUGCAUCAAAGGCGAAUCGAUGUUGCCGAACAUAAUGCAGGAGAAGCCAUUCAGAAAAGAAGGUUACAUCAGCUUCGAAGGUCCAGACGCAUGGGGCAUGGUCCCCGCCGUUAGUCACGUUUGCAAUAUAAUUUUUAAUAUAUAUGCAUGGAUGUCCCUUGAGACAACAGUACAUGCCAAGAUUUGGAAGGUGCACGUGAUAAGCUUGUUUUUUACUAGAGCAGAGACUUAGGUAUCUGAACUUAUUAUUUUGCUGGUCUGUUCAAACAUAGAUUAAGUAUUCCCUACUUUUAGUAAUAUCAAGAUUUAAGCAUCUACUGGUUCUCCAUGUAUAAGUGAAAAAAAAAAAUUUGAAUUAAAGUGGAAGAGGUGACCACUGAUAAUUUAUAAAAUACAUGCUGCUGCUAUAACUAAUAAAAUACCAAUUACGUGAAAAAGUCUAUUCAACAAGUAAAAUUGGUAUGUACUCUAUGGCCCAACUCCUUGAGCUCCAUUAUUUAUAAUUGGACUAAAUAACAAUCUUCACUAAAUUCAAUCUUCACGAUACCAAACAUCAUGGGAAUGCUUCUCACCGUUAGUUAAAUAGUUGCUAACGUGCAACUUCUGAAGGAAUCUUCAAGAACGUCUCCAUUCAGAUGAUGACCUGCCAGGGAAAUUACAACGAAAGUUUAAAUGAGGGCAGCUAGGAGGGAAAGAGCUCAAACAAAAUUAUUUUUUUCUUUUUUUUUCGUGGGAAGGAUUUUAUUGAAAAAUAAUGCAGCAACACCAUUACAUGAUUAACUAUAAAAACUAUCUUAUUCAUCUGUUUCUCCUCUGCUCUCCAUUUUCGAGCAGGAACAAUCUCAUAAAUCUCCUUGACAGCCUGCCAACCAUUCAGAAACAAAAAAUUUUGAAAUGAGACAGCAUUCAUCUAAUCAGCAGAGGCAACGCCAUUUAUUAGAAUAAAGAAAAAUUUGCAUUCAUCGGUGAUUAAUAGCGCCAAUAACCAAUGAUGAAGAAUUUUCAAUUAAAUCGGAGGCUCCUUCCAACUGAAAUUUGUUUACAUUAAGCUUAACUAAUAUGAUUACAAACUUGAUUUCUACAUAGAUUUUAGAUAGCUCUCCGUUGAUUCUAAGGUAGCUUCCCAUUAAUUUCGGUGAAGAUUUCUUAAUAAUCUUGGGAAUCCAGAUUGUAUUUCGAGAAUUUAUCAAACUUUUUACUUUGCUAUGAAACCAUCCGAAUCUAUCUAUACAUUAAUCGAGAGGUCCCUGAAUACCAUUAACCAUUUCACAAUAAAGCUAACAACAGGAUUAAAUAAAUUAUUGAAAUUGUUGCCAUUUCUUCUUCCAACUACUACAUGUCUUGUUGCCAGAUUUUAACAAUCCAUAAAAGAGAAACUCAAAAAUGAAUUAAGACUAUUAUGAAUAUAAUCAUAAAAACAGCUGAGAACCAUAUCAUCAUCCAAGAACAAAAUCAGAUGCCCUUUAUAAUAUGUUUACUGCUAAAUUCUUCUCAUGGAUGUUUUCCUCUGCAUGCCAUGAGAAAGGCACUCUAUUUUACAUGUUCCAAAUGCAUGCUUAAUUUAAGAACACCUGCAAACAGCCCUGUCCUUGGCUCCUUGCUACUAAUGGAGAGGGCAACACCUCACACACAAACAGUAAGAUAGACUUCGGAGACACUACAUGUUGAACAUGCAGAACUUGUCCAAACAGACUCAUGUGAUGGGAAAAUUAUGAAAAAAAUGUUGAGCCAUAAGGUGACUACCUGGUAGAGCCUGACCUUCUCUUAACAGAACCCCACUGAGCAGUCCUACAAUAUAAAACAAUCAUGAACAUCAAAUCAUGGCCCAUAAAGAACAUGGUCAACAUGAAAAUUUAUUCAUUUUCUGCAACAGAUAUAUAGCCUAUUAUACCAAGUAUACAAAGCAUUUCAAGGGGGUACAUUCCCAAAGCGCAAGAACAUGCUUGCUUUUAUAGCCAAGCAACUCAUUUUUUUCCUCAGCUACGUGCACCCCAUUCACAAAACUAAAUUAACAAUUCAUAACCCCAAUGUCAUCCAUAUAUAAUUGGCCACCAGCAGAUAAUACAAAAAACAAAACAAAAUAAAAAUAAUAACCAAGCAAGGUUAAUUGAAUCACCGAUAUGGUUACAUUUAACCAUUACAAAAAGAAAGAAAUAUGUACAUGCACAGUUGAUUGCAAGAUAAUAGCCCAAUCAUUCUACAAUAUCUUCUCCAAGGAAUUAUUUCCCUCUCGCUCGCUCCUUCAACGUAGUGCUUAUUGCAAUCAAAUUAAACAAGCAGUACUUGUUACUAAUCUCGCCUUCACUUAUUCUAACAAAUAAACAUGACCGACACUCCUAAGCAAAUUACCAUUGCCAUACUGUUGCAAACAAAAAUAAACAUUUUUUUUCUUUUUAAUUACAUGCUGCCUCCGUUCCAGCGGCACAACAAUAGAUUAAGUGCACGUGAGAAAUUGACUCUGUUCUAAGGCAAAUUGAUGUGUCUAAUUGCUAAAUUUCCAUAACCACCCAAUAUCUUUUCCAGUUGGUUCCCGUUGUCAUGUAUCCGCCGUGAAUUUUACCUGCAUCGUUUCUGCCUUUAUCGAGAGAUACCAAAACUUUAAACUUCACAAUAGCAAUUUCUAGGGGAAAUUGAUCGUCAUUUCUGGGGGUGAAAAAGAAUUCAAUUAUUAGAUUUUUUGGGGGAGGAAACGAUUUUGAUGAUCUUAAUUCCUUCCUGGGGUGUGAAAAAUCUUUUGAUGAAGGCCUCUGGUGGACGCUUAUUUAACAUUUUUUUUCCUUUGUUUAAUUAUUAAAUUAUCUUUCAACAACCGGCAAUAGGCCUUUACCAUUUUUCUUUUUCGACCGUUAGAUUCAUUCAGUUUACAUCCAACGGCAAUUUAAGAUGGAGACAAAAAGUAUGGUACCUUACCACAGUGUAACAUAGGCGGACCCAACAAGACGAUAGUCGCAAACUUAUUUUGUACUAGGAGUAAUGAUUAUGUACAAAAAUGGGCACAGAAAGGUCUUUGGCUCUACAGUCUACUCGGUGAUUCGUGAAAUACUGAAAUGCUUUCAAAGGGGGGCAAAAAGAAAAAAGAAAAAAGAAAAAAGAAAAUAGAAUAUAUUCUAAUUUUUUUAAUUAAAAAAAAAAAACCCUACUAUGUACUUUUAUAAUAACUCCCUCGAGUGCAAUGUCUCAAAGGUUGUCUUCUUCGUCCCGCUGACAACCCAAAAGGCAGAAACGCAAUGUCGUCGCAUUCGAUGGAGUCAUUGAUUCUCCAACUCCACGAGAUCUCGGCGGUUAAAUUCGGAAACUUUAAGCUAAAAUCCGGCAUAUCGUCUCCCGUUUACAUCGACCUACGACUUAUCGUUUCUUACCCUUCCCUCCUCCGCCAAAUAUCCAAAACCAUCAUCUCCUCCCUCCCCUCCACAACCAAAUACGACCUCGUGUGCGGCGUUCCGUACACCGCCCUCCCAAUCGCCACCUGCGUCUCCGUCUCCAACGACGUCCCCAUGCUCAUGCGGCGCAAGGAAAUCAAAGACUACGGCACCGCCAAGGCCAUCGAAGGCAAUUUCAAGAAGGAAGAAAUCUGUCUGAUCAUCGAAGAUUUAGUCACCAGCGGCGCGUCGGUCCUCGAAACGGCGGUGCCAUUGAGAGCGGCGGGGCUGGUGGUGACGGACGCCGUCGUAUUGAUCGACAGAGAGCAGGGAGGGAGGGAGAAUCUGAAGGAGAACGGAAUUGAGUUGCAUGCGAUGAUAAAGCUGAGCGAAAUGGUUAGGGUUUUGAGGGAGAAAGGGAAGCUUGAUGAGGAAACGGAGAGAGUGGUGAUGAAGUUUUUGGAGGAGAACAAGAAAGUGGCGGCUUCGAAUUUAGGUGGGGUUAGGGUUAGGGUUAAGGGUUUGAAAUACGAAGAGAGGGCGAAUUUGAUGAAGAAUGAGACUGGGAGAAAAUUGUUUCAAGUGAUGGUGAAGAAGGAGAGUAAUUUGUGUUUGGCUGCUGAUGUUGCCACUGCUGCUGAGUUGCUUCAAAUUGCCGAGAAGGUUUCUUGUUUUAAGUUAUUCAAUUUUCAAUUUUUGUGCUUUAAACUGUAGGUACAAAUACUUACAGCAGAGUGUACAGCUACUUCACAGCAUAAAUUCUGUUGUGAAAUUAAUUCUUUUUUUUUAAUUUCUGUUUUAUAAAUUUCUUUUCCCUGAAAAUUGAGUUCAUUCCUUUCAUCCCCAUUAUUAGAAAUUAGAAACAUCCUAGGCUAGGUCUUGGACACGCGGCACACAUGUGGGUCAUGGCAGCCGCUGCUGGGCCUGAAGUUUAGGCCCAAUCUAUUAAUGGUUUUGUUGCUGGCAAUACCAUUUGUACAUUUUUUUUUUUUUUUGGGUUUGACCUUUGCCACCGAAAAAAUAAAAGAUGUUGAAUAUAUUAGAGUACUUUACUCUGCCUACUGCCUGUUGCCUGUGGUUUGGUUGUUGAUUUUGUGACAUUUGGAUGUAAUAAUGUAUAAGAAUGUCCAAUAUGAUCAUUCUGGAUUAUCUUUUAGAGUGCCAUUUGUUCUUUUGUAGUAGUUCAAUUUUUUCUCACGCAAUUUAAGGGAAAAAGAGGGAAAAAAAAAGAGGUAUAUGCAUAGGUGAUAAUAUUACUUAACUAAUUUAAUAUUGUUUUGUUAAUCAUUAAUAUUUCCUGAAUGAUUUACAUUCAUGUUUUUCACAGGGUUCAUGAUAGCACUGCACAUAAUACGAUGCUUUAUUCAUCUGAUUUUCAUAAGAAAGAUAGUUUGUUUGUUUUUUCUUCUCUCUAAUUCUCAUUUGAGAUUUUCAGGUUGGACCAGAGAUCUGCUUGUUGAAAACCCAUGUCGAUAUAUUGCCUGAUUUCACCCCAGAUUUUGGUUCCAAACUUCGUGCGGUAUAGCUCCUCAACCCAUUUUCUAGGGAAAUAAACUCUACUAUAUUCUGAUUUUGUGGAUUCUUAUGAAAUGUUAAUUAAGCAAUACUAGUUAUAGCUAAAAAAUUUUCAACUCUUGAAGAUUGCAGAAAAGCAUAACUUCCUAAUUUUUGAAGAUCGCAAGUUUGCGGACAUUGGUAACACUGUGACCAUGCAGGCUGAAGGGUAAGACUCUGCGCUUCUAUAUUUCUUAAUUUCUUUGUUCUUUGUGUCCUUGCUUCCUCUUGAGGGUUCCUGUCUCUGUGUCUGCAGUGGUAUAUUUUGUAUAUUGGAUUGGGCCGAUAUAAUAAAUGCUCACAUAAUCUCUGGACCGGGAAUUGUGGAUGGUCUGAAAUUAAAGGUUAGAAUCAACUAUUUGGUAUAACUUUUGUCUGCCUUGAAGUAAUCAACUAAUCUGUUUCUAAUGUUAUGCAUAGUAUUGAUUUACCAGGGAUUGCCUCGUGGUAGGGGUCUGUUGCUGCUGGCUGAGAUGAGCUCAGCUGGUAACCUAGCAAAGGGAGACUAUACAGCAGCAGCUGUGAAAAUUGCCGAGGAUCAUUCUGAUUUUGUCAUUGGAUUCAUCUCAGUUAAUCCAGCAUCAUGGCCAGGGGCACCAGUCAAUCCAGCCUUUAUUCAAGCAACCCCUGGAGUUCAAAUGGUAAGGGGAGGUGAUGAUCUAGGCCAACAAUAUAACACUCCAUACUCGGUAAGUUCUGUUCGUUCACUAGCUCCCCUCAACAUGUUUAUUUUUCUAGCAAUACUAUCCAUGAAAACUAUUAAUACAAACUUAUCUAUGCAAAUGAACAUGGGAAUACAAUUAUUAAGGUAAACGUUAAAAGAAAGUCAAUUUAAUUGCCACAUCACCCAUUUUCAUUUGUGGUUUUUUUUUUUUUUUUUUAUAAUCAAAUUUCAAUGUGCCAGGUUAGUUUAUAUUGGUUGAGUGUGUAUGUCUAGUAUUUUGAUAAAUUUGUCACAAGUUGUAAAAUAGAUGUAAACUUGAGUGAAGAAUUAGCAAUUGAACAACCAGCUCCAAUCGAAUUAGCAUUUUUGCCUUAUGUUCAAAUUUGAGAAGGCCUAACUGAAACAUUUUUUCUUAGGGUCCCAGGUGCAUUGAGCCAGCCGAUGGACUAAUGGGUGCUAGUUACUUAAUAUAAUCUAAGAAAUAAAAUCAGCAUUUUACAUGUAAUGGAAUUUUAGGCAUGUCAAUGAGGCAUAAGGGGAAGAAGUUUUGAUUGCAAAUUUGGGAGGCCAUCAAAAUGAUUUGUUUGGUGUGAUAACGAAAAAUUCUAAUGAAUAAACCCAAACCCUGGAAUGUUUUGCCAUAUAUCACUAGAUCCUCAAAAGGUUAGGAAAAUGAGGUAAAGAAGAUCCAUUUUCCUCCUGUUUUAUAUAUGUAGGAACUUUAUCUUUUCAUGGGUACAUCAUUGCUAUCACUAGAUCCCCAAGAGAUUAGGAAAAUAAGAUAGAAAAGAUCCAUUUCGUCCUUUUUUUUUUCACAUAUAGGAAUUUCAUCUUUACAUGGGUACUUCAUUUCUAUGGAGCCAAAGAUAUCAUUUGCUCUAGUUUCUGAAAUUGGGCUUCGUAUACCAUGCUUUCAAAUUGACCCUUGACUAGAGAGAAAAAAUUUUCGUUUAUGACCAGAAAUUUUCUGUAAAUUGAAAUGAGAAAAAGUUGGAGAGGAAAAGCUUGGGGUUUAUAAUUUGGUAACAUGGUUUAUCUUUUCUUCAGGCAGUAAACUUUGCUUAGCUGUGUCUAGAUAUCUUUUUGUCCUUGAUUGGCUGAAUUCCUAGAUAUUUCAUCCUAAAGACUUAUUCGUAUCCAUCUUUUCCCUCCAUACAUUGAACCAAUGUUGUAUCUUGUUUCAAAACAGGUAAUUUCUCCAACUUCAAAUUUAGCCUAGCCAACUAUAAUUUAACCAGGGAACAAGCUAGAAGGGGCAGAGUUAAUGAACUAAGGUUAACUGGUGUUUAAAAUAGUUGUAACUUGUACCUCAGUGAUUUUAUUCGAGAGCCUCACAGCCAUGUGAUAUUCCCUUUGUCACACAUAGUAUGACUAUUAAGAUGCUUCUUACAGGCUAACUAAUCAAACUUGUUACACCAACAAAACAAUAGCUGAGUGCUCAACUGCUCUAAACCUGUUCUAUUUGGUUGACACUGUUGCAGCUUUAAUAACUUUAACGUAAAAUUGUUCUCCAGGUCAUCUACGAUAGGGGUAGUGACAUAAUUAUUGUGGGUCGUGGAAUUAUAAAGGCAGCAGACCCUGCAUUGGCAGCCCGUGAGUACCGGCUUCAAGGAUGGGAGGCCUACUUGGCUAAGUGCAGCUGAUCCUCCAUUUAGGUCUGGACUUCUGCUCGCUUCAACGGUUGCGAUAAUGAACAGAUGAGUCAAGUUCUGUUUAAUAUACCAUGCAUUGGUAUGUCUUAUGAAACCGAGAGAGUUUGAAGCUUUUGGCUGCAUUGUACUUAUAGUAACUUCUCAAGUCUGGUAAUGCUGCUUGUCUGGUUUUCCCAAUGAAACAUGGUUGCAAGAUUUCUGAGUGUUGUGUUAUCAACAAUAUAUGAAAUUUAUGAACAUGGUGUUUGGAGUUGCCAACCAUCUCAUUCAAAAUUAUCAUAUUGAAUGAUUCGGAUGAUUCCUCUUUUGUGGUUUGGAUGGACACGUGGCAAGGCGCAGUAGAUGCCUGGGAAAUUGGUAUUGUGCAAUUAUCUUUAAAUGUUGAUAUGGUAAAAUGACCAGGAUUACUUUAUGUUUAGCAAAACGAAUCAUUUUCUCUCUAAUAUUUUAUAACCUACAAAUAAUAAUGUUAGAAUGUCAGUUUUUCCAAAAAAAAAUUGAUAGCAGAAUAUUAAAUAAAGGGAUAUUUUUUUUAGAAAAGGAAAAUAGUUAAUUUAGCCAAAUAGAAAGAAGAUACUCAUUUUCCCAAUGGUUUUUUUUGAACUCUCAUUUUCUCAAUAUAUAACUAAUAAUUUAACGGACCUGUCUAUGGUACAGAUUCUGUAACAAACAUCUCCCGUCAUCCCACCAUCCGAUUUUCUAUUGUUUAGUUUCUCACUCCACAUCCAACCACAUCCAACGGCUGAUGCUGCAGUCUGUACCUUACAGAUUCUGUAAGCUAGUCGAGUCCUAAUUUAACAAAGUGUUAUUAAUAUUUUAAAAUAUUUCUUAGGAUGAAUUGAUUUUUAAACGCGAGCGAGAGGAAAUUGACAAGAUUUAAUUAGUAACAUUAAGAUCGGUAAAUGAUAUAAUAUAAAACAAAACUAGUAAAGAACAAAAAGGGCCAACAUGAAGAAAACCCAGAAUUGAAAAAUGUCCUUUUUGUAUUUUCUCGAGAAAUUUCUCUCUCCGACUUACAGCUCAACGGCUUUAAUUUGAAAUUCUUCACACUCUUUCAAUUGUCUUUCAACGCGCACACUUCGUAUCCUUCGUUAUUAAUUGUUCACACACGCUCCCCCAACACCGAGCAGACUCUCUCUCUCUCUCUCUCUCUCUCUUCUGUCCGAAUUAGGGUUCUGUUGGGCUGUGAAACAUUAUAAUGCGCUUCUGAUUUCAAAUACUUUUCCAGGUAAUUUAAUCUUUUUUUCCUUUCUUGCUUUCUGGAAUAUUCUAAGAUCUUAAUCUAGAUUUGUUUCCUCAUUUCGGCAUUUUAAAAAAUUUGCUUUUUUUUCUCUCUUACGGUUUAGGGUUCUCAAAAUCAUAUACGAUACUGUUUUACUGCCACAUUUGUAAUUCGGCCAUUUUUUUUUUUUUUUUUUUUUUUUGUGAGUGUUGAAAAGGAAAAAAGUGAUAUUUUCCUUUCUGGGUAUUGCUGGAUUUUGGCCCCAGAAAAAAAACUGUAAUUCCGUCUCUUUGCGUGUAUAUAUGUAUAGGUAUCUUCUACAUUACCAUCUUAUUGCCUUUCCGGGUGACGAAAAUGGGUAGCUUAACUUUCUUAUAAUUGAGUUAUGCUAUGUGGGUUUGUUGUGGUGAUUAAAUACUGAUGGCAGUGUCUAAUGAGAUGAUGAGGGAACUCUAUCUAUGCGAAAAUGCAUGGUGUAUUUCGUGUUUAAAGAUUUUUAUGCAAGUUUUAUUGUAUUACGUUGUUUUAUUAAUAUUACUGUCUCCCAAUAUUUGAGUUCUUGUGUUUAUCAAAUGAUAGAAAAGAGUUUACCCUGAUUUAUGGUUUUGAUUGAGAUGUAAUGGAUAUUUUUAUUUGAUUAUAGGUUGGCAAGUCAAAACUUGACCUUGGUGCCUGCAAGGAAGAAGUCAAGAAGAUUGACUAGGAAACAAGAUCUGUUGGUAAGAAUUCCUUCCCAACGAAAACUUUAAUACUGAUUAAUGUCAUAAACUUGUUGGUUCAUUUUUUUUUUAUUUAAAUUUUCAUUUGCCUGGGCAUGUUUGCUGUACUAUUAUUCAUGCAUUGGGAAUUGAUCUUUGAAUGAGUAUUGGAAUCAAAUAAUGAUGAAAGUAUAUAAUGAACAGUUGAAUGUUCUUUGGUCAAAAUAAAUUCACUUUGGCAUGACUUAAGGCUGAAAGAAAAGAUUAUGUAAUGAAAAGAAGACAAUUUUUAUGAUGAUUAUGUAUACAUGUCAAACAAUGUCGUAAAAAGGAAAUAUGUCAUAGAAUGCAGAAAAUAAAAAUUUUAAUAUAGAUAAGUUUAUUAAUAAGUUUUGAGUGAUGCUGUAGAAAAGAAAAAUGAAAAUUCAAAUAAGUUUGUUUUGAAAAUUUAAGUGACAAUGCUGGUUAAAGUAUUGCUGGGUCAGUAGCUUUUAAGGACCAUUUUCAGUUCACUAUGUUGGCAAUUUGCCUUCAUUUGUUGAUUUGGUUGAUAUAACAUAAGAGUUUUAUUAUGAAGAAUUCCCCUCUCUCCGUUUUCUGUUGCUCAUUGUUGAAACACCAUGGUUUGGUUACCAUCCCUAUUCAACAAAUAUGUUAAUAUUAUGUGAAUCAAGCCCUUACAAAUUAUAAAUGGAUUGUGCUGCUGUUUCAUGUGUUUGUUUUGCACAGGCUAGCUGUUCCACCAUGGCAUCGGGGAAUCCAUUUUAUGAUGAUCUGCGGAACAAACCUGAGGUUAUUGAUCCUCCUGAAAGUGAGGACUUGGUGGAGAUCGUUAGUGAAUCCUCUGUGAAUGAUCCUGCCCAAAUUGCUCUAAAACCUAACUUGACUGUCUCUAGCAGUGUUCGUGAACUCUUGGAAUGUCCUGUGUGCUUAAAUGCCAUGUACCCUCCCAUUCAUCAGGUUUGUUUAUGUCAUAUAUCCCAGCUAAAUAUUUUGGUAUGCUCAUGAAUCUAUGUAAAUUAAUUUUUGAAAAAGCUCUUAGAUAACAAGGUUGAAUGUGUUUUAUCUUCAUGAAGUCUGCUUCUAAAAUACCUUAUCCCUUGCCAUACUAUGUGCUGCAGUUGUCACAGUGUUAUGUUUAUUUAUCCUAUAAAAUCAUCUUUUGACAUUUUGUUGAUUCAUCCUCUUAAUUUUUCCAAUUGUUGCAUCACACAAGUCAAGGCCAGUAUCACCCAUAAUCUAGCCGUCUAACCAUGCCUAUCUUUUCCCUUUGUUGCCAUCAGUAGCAACAAUCGAGAUAUAUAUGUAUGGAUGGAUGGAUGGAUGUAUAUUAGAAGUUUAGGAAGAUAGAAAGAGGUUAAUGAAGAUGUGAAUUGAUGUAAAGGUUUUUAUUUGUUUGUUGCCGUCAGGAGACAUGGAUGUUCAUUUUUCUAAAUGUAAAGGCUACGGAAUCACUAGAAUCAAACUGUAAUUUAGGCAUUGUUCAUGAUACUAAGUUCAUGAUUACAACUUAUCAAUUUCUUAUUAGUUUCAUCUUGCAAGUGCUGGCUACAUUUGCUAACAGUGGCUGACACCCAUACAGAAAAAAGUGUGUAUUUAUCAACUUAGUGGAAAUUUGACUUGCCAAGUGCACUUCAUCAACAGGAACAUGAAGUUGCUGUUUUUGUUGUGUCAAACAUCUGCUUGUUCUUUAAAAGACUUUUUAGUUAACAGAUGAGCUUCUAGAGGUGCUUCCACAUGCAAACACAUGUCAAAGCAAAGUUCUUCUAUACUGUAUCUUGAAUGGGUUUUGAAUUUAAUUUAUUGCAGUUCUGGUCUUUGUUCUUUCUUAAUGCUUGCUUUCUCUCCAUUUUCAUUAUUCUCAUUGCAGUGUUCAAAUGGGCACACAUUGUGUUCUGGUUGCAAGCCUCGGGUGCACAAUCGGUGUCCCACUUGCAGGCAUGAACUUGGUAACAUCAGAUGUCUUGCUCUGGAGAAGGUGGCUGCAUCUCUUGAGCUUCCCUGUAAAUAUCAGAGUUAUGGCUGCAUGGGCAUAUAUCCAUAUUACAGCAAGCUAAAACAUGAAUCCCAGUGCAUUUUUAGGCCCUAUAACUGCCCUUACGCUGGAUCAGAAUGUACAGUAAUGGGUGAUAUUCCUUAUCUGGUGGCCCAUUUGAAAGAUGAUCAUAAAGUUGACAUGCACAAUGGCAGUACUUUCAACCAUCGUUACGUCAAACAAAAUCCACAUGAGGUUGAGAAUGCCACAUGGAUGUUAACGGUAUUGUUGCGCUUUCUUUGUCUCAACUUUUUGCUCUUCUACAGCAGAGAAGAGUUAACCUUUACAUGUUAGUGACAUAUAGGUAGUUUUUUGCAAAUCUUGUAACCAGUUUACAAGAUUAUAGCAUCCUAGUAGAAUCAGAGCUCUUUUGUAUAUUGAAAAAAUAUAACCUGUUUGUUGUAGACUUUUUUGCGUGCUGAAACUACUGUCCACUAUGGAUUACCUUCAUGAAUAAAAAAUGCCCAUACUACUAACGGAAGGACUGAAGAGGGGCAAUGUAGUUUCCUUAUAUAUAUAUAUAUAUAUACACACAUACAUACAUAUAUUUAAGUUAUUUGUUUAAAAAAAAAAAGAUUUACGAAGUUUUAAGAAAAUGUAAUUGAUUGUUCCAAUACCUUUUCUCAUCUUUUAGGUUUUCAGCUGCUUUGGUCAGUACUUCUGCCUCCAUUUUGAAGCCUUCCAGCUUGGUAUGGCUCCUGUCUACAUAGCAUUCUUGCGCUUUAUGGGUGAUGAUAAUGAAUCGAAAAACUACAGCUACAGUCUUGAAGUGGGUGGUAAUGGAAGGAAGAUGUCAUGGCAAGGUGUGCCUAGAAGCAUACGGGACAGCCACAAAAAGGUCCGUGACAGUUUUGAUGGACUUAUUAUCCAACGCAACAUGGCUCUAUUCUUCUCUGGGGGUGACCGGAAAGAGUUAAAGCUUAGGGUGACUGGUAGAAUUUGGAAAGAACAGUGAUGGAUGGAAGUGCUUUUUGUCUUGCAGCUUCGUGCAAUCAUGUUUUGCCGUCAUAGCUGGUAGUUGAGUUUGAUCUUGUUGGUGGGUAGUCCAGUGAGUCCUCUGGUUCAUGUAUUUUUUUGUUAUGUAGAAAGCAAAUUCUCUUUGCAUGUCCUUGCACUGAGUGCAUGAGUGGGGAAGACGUGUCGUGACUCUUUAUGCCUACAAUUGUAAUAUCUAUCUAAAUAUAUUUCAAUGUAUUGCAUUGCUGCAGUGCCAUUAGUUUUCUCUUUGCCUAUGAUGCAUAUGAACGAAGUCAGCAGGAAUUAAAGCUUUGUGGCAUUAGUUUAACCAUGAAGCACUUGAAAGAGUUUUGCGGAAAGUUUUUCAAAGAAACAAAUUUUCUUAUUACCAAUUUGCAAUUGAAUAAAAAAAUGACACAUUAAAUUCUCUCUUUUUAAUUAAAAAUUUUAUUAUCUAAAUAAUUUUUAAAAAUUACUUAAUUAAUUCUUUUUUUUUUUCUUCUCAAUUUCAUAAAUUCUCAUAAAUUCAUUCAGAUAUUCUUUUUUAGCUACAAAUAAUCGAUAUCACUAAGUAUUUCAUGUUUGCCAAACACUCUCUAUGACUUUACUUAAUGUUGCUGAGUGCCUUUUAUUUCAAUUCCCAAUCAUGAGUUUAUCUCAAUUAAUCCCAGGCCCAAAUGUAGUGCUGUGCAAUGCUGCAAGUCAAACAUACCCUUCGUGUAAUACAUACACACACGCACUCUCUUUUUUUAAGUAAGAGCAUCCCCACAUUGUUAAAGUAAAAAUGUCACUAAAAUACAAAAGAAUAACAAGUUCAAUAUAUAUAUAUAUUAUUUGUUAGUAUAGUGAAAAUUGUGUUUUUUGUUUGUUAGUAGCUUCCUCAUUUUAACAAAGUUAAGAUGUCCUCACUAAAAAAUGAUUAUAUAUAUCGGAGUGAGUUUUCAAUUAAAGAUCCAUUAUUAUAUUAAAGUCAAUGAUAAAUUAAAAAUAAAAAAACACUGGUUAAUAAUAUAUAUGCAUCGGAGUCUGUAUUUUUAUUUUUUAACUUAUUGUUGAUUUUAAUAUAGUUAAGAUUCAUGUAUAUAUAUUUAAAAAGUGGAAGAAGAAAUCAAUUUAAAGGGCCAUUGAGAUCCGGAUCCAAAAGCCCAGAAAACUUCAAAUUGGACUAUGACCCAAACAUUAGAAAACAUUCACCAAAACAAAACCCAAACAGAACCCCAGAAUCAGCUUACACUCGACCUCUCCCGGAAACGGUAUCGAGCUGAUUUUGCAGGUGAAAAUCCGUUGAUUUUAAUUUCUUUUUCUCCAAAAUUUUCAUUUCAUUUCUUAUUAUUAUUAUUAUUAUUAUUAUUUCUUUUCAAUAAGUUCAUUGAAUUUGUUCUCUGUUUCUUAACCGAGAAAAUAAUUAAAUAAAGUCUUCUUGUUGAUUCAGGUUUAUACUCGUAAAUAAUAUAUCAUGCCGGACACUCAGGUUCUUGUGAAUGACUUUCUUAACAAGCUUAAAAAACGGUGAGGUUUCGGACAGUAUAUUUUAAUUAUUCUUUUUUUUUUUUUUUUACUGAUUUUAGGAGCUGAUUUUGUUUGUUUGUUUUGUGAGUGGCAGUAAGAUCGAGGGCUCGCAAGCAACGGCAAGGCAGACCGCGGAGCUGCUUCGCUCUGUGAUUUCGCAGCAGCGCGUGCCGUACACAAAUCAGGCUGGAGCUUUAAUUGAUGCUGUCAAAGCUGUUGGCGAGCAGCUCAUUGCUGCCAAUCCUGUUGGUUCGUUUUUUUUUUUUUUUCCGUUUUCUUUUCGACUAUUAGUUUGCUCUUGAAUAAAUACAAAUAUGGUACUUAGUCAUGUUAGUUAUUUUUAAUAUCAUUGUGAUGAUAUCACCUUUUUUCAGCUGAAUUGAUUUUUAUCAAAAUGUUAUUAACUUGAAGUAUGUUAAUUGUUUUCAUCGCUCUUAAUUUAGUUUUGUUGUAAUCUAGCAUCCUCCAAUUAGUACAGCUAAUAUAGUGUAUGUGCUGUAGGUAAUUUGGCAUAGUUACCUCUGAGGUUGGGGUCUUGUACAAUUAUUGAUGUUAGGCACAAAGAACUUGCAUUUGUUUGGGGCAUGCAUUAGAUAAUCUGGUAUCUACAAAUUUAUUGUACUUCCAUAGCAAAUAUUCUUCUUUUCUUUUUGAAUCACAUGGAUGAAACUAUGCAUUCUGCUGUUGAAAAUUAGUACUGUUGCUAUAUUCACUAUCAAAUGGAUUCGGCAUCGCUAAGAAACCUUUUCUACAAAGUUAUACUUGGUUUUUUAUUUAUGAUUUGUUUCUUUUAUUUCUUUCCCUUUUGUGGCUUUUCAAUUCUCCCUAGCACUUUUUUCCAGAUCCUCUUUCCAAAAUUAAAAAUGAUUAAUUUUCUUCUUUGUUUGUGAUGUAUGUUUUCUUCACUUUUCUGAUUGAUUAAAUGAUAUAUCAAUGCAGAGCUUGCCGUGGGUAAUAUUGUGAGGCGUGUUUUACACAUCAUUAGAGAGGAAGAUCUGUCUUUGACUGCGGCUGCUAUUGGUGGGCUGAACUUAUCUGCUGUAAGUGAUGAUGAAAAUGAUGAUGAUCGAGAUGGCGACUCAACUCUAUCGGCAGCUGCUGUUGCUGCUGCUGCUAGAAGUACUUUGCGUCCACCUUCUUUGCAAACUCUGCUCGAGGACACACCUGUCUCUGCAGCUGUUCCUCAGACUUCCUCAUCUGGGGGUGAUUCUGAAGGAAAAAGCAAAUGUGUGUUACUUUUUUUUUUUUUUUUUUUAAUAAAGUGUUUUUGAUAAUUCUUCAAUCACAGCAUCUUCUGGUAUUUUCCCUAAAUAAGCUUGUCUUAUGUAACACAUGUUUUAAAUAUGCAAUCGGAUGCAUCUUCGUGAUAAACUGGUGUUCCUGAAUGUUUUAGCAUUGAUGAUUUAGUUAAUUCAGCCUUAUGAUGGUAGAUAGUUAACAUACUAGUUUCCUUCACAGCUGCUGAUAAAAGUUCAAGAAGUCGGAAGCUGAAGCAUGAUGUUAUUGAAGCGGUUAAUGAACUUAUUCAAGAUAUUGUCACUUGCCAUGAACAGAUUGCUGAACAAGCAGUGGAGCAUAUACAUCAGAAGUAAUUAUUCCUUUUCCUGAUUUCAACUAGACAAUACGUUUUUUCUCUCUCAUACCUUUUCUCCAUACUUGGACUUUAUUUUCAGGAGAAUUGGAUGUCUACAUAAUUCCUUUUUACCUGUUAUUUUAGGAUAUAUGUAUUCAGUUUGUUGUUUAUGCAUGUACUACACUUAAAAAUGCAUGCAAUAUCUCAUUUAGAAGCAUAUAUAUAUGCUCUUUUCAUUCUUGUUAGGUUUUUUCUAUGUCACUUUCUUAAGUCUAAAAGAAUAAUGUUGUUUGUCUAUUCUCUUGUUGUCUUCCCAAGGAAUUGUAGGAUGAUAAUUUCAUGUAUCAAUGAUGAACUGUAAGCAGUUUUCAUAUCUGGCUUGCAAGCAUUCCCUUUUAGUAUGAUGUGGAGGUUAGGUUGCCGGAAUUGUUGGUGAUUCAUUGACCUGAGGGCUAAUUACGGUGCUGGCAUGAGUAUAAUUGACUUUUAAUGACUUUUCUGCACAGAACUAAGCUAGGCUGUGUAUUUCUGUAUCGAUCACUCAUUUGUGCUCUUUAGAACUUAGAAGUGCAGGAGGGUAGGUUAUGAGGGGAUUUGGAAAGUAGGAAUUCAAAUGCUUAAAUUGAUAGGCAUACUUGGGCAAUAAGGCGUUUAAAUGCUUCACUUGUAUGAUUUAACUACGAUUUGCAACAAGAGCGGCAUCAUUCAUUUAAACAUAGAAGAUUUAGAAAAAUUGUAUUGGAUGUGUUAGUGCUAAUGAACUUUUAAGCAUUUGGUGUUUCUGUGCUUUUUUCCUUCUAGGUGAAAGUGAAUAUGUUUUGAUCUUCUUAGUGGCAUUAUGUUUGGAGUUACUUAGAUGUUUUCAGAUCGUCUUAUGAACAGAUAUAUCCAGCUUCUACACCCUUGUCUAGUUCAAGUUUGGAUGAUUUAUUUAACUCAUUCAACAAAUUGCAAAUUUGGUAAGGUGGUAGCUGCGACUUUGCUCAUGUUAUUGUUUGACUGUGUAACGAGUUCAACUGUGUGCUUCACUGCCGAGAGAGCUCUAAUGAAGCUGUUUUUGGAUUUUGAGGGGCAACUUCAUUAGCUCUUUCAUUAGGAUUGAAUUCUUUUUUCUUUUUUCCUGUGAUGAAAAGCGAAAAGAGAUUGCCUUAACAGUUUUUUUCUUUUUUCCCCCCGAUAAAGUAUGUUUUGUGCUAACGUUGACCAGUUGCACUAGUCAAAUAAGAUUAUCAAAUCAAUCAAGCUGUUCUAUUGAUUUUGGGUGGAUACCUGGUUCACUACUAAAGUGCAUUCUGUCCAUUGUUUAGUAAUGCAGAUACUCAUAGUUUCGUAUUAAAAAAAUAUAAAAAAAGAUUAUCAAAGGAAUUGUGAAUCCAAUUUUUUCAUUGAUAGUCUUAUUUGACAUGUGCAAUAGGUCAAUGUUAGGACAGAACAUACCUUAUCAAAAUAAUAUUUCAAAGAAAAACAUGUUGUAGCAGCCUCCUGCUGCCAGUCAAAGUUGGCCUCUGACCACCGUCUAAACUUUUUCUCUUUGAGCUUGAACAACUGUGUAUGUAGUUAGUUGUAUUAAGACUUAAAAAUUUGACUUCCCUUUGAUAUCAUUUCCUUUUUACAUAGGAAUGUUUCCUCCGAGUAGUGUCUGUGAUUUUCAAUCAUAGUUGGGAAAAUCUAUCAUUCUUCAUAUUUGAUUAAUACAAGCAUUGACACUAAUCUAGAAGUAUUUAUUACAUGUCCUCUGUUUGUAGACAUUCACAUGUUGCCGUUGCAAGGACUGUCUACUGAAUUUGUUUUGGAAAGGAUAUCCUCUACGCCCUUGUGUUUUGUCUUAAAAUCAGUGAAGUCCAUUUUGAGAAAUAGUGAAAUGCCUGUAUCAUUAAUUUGUUUUUCUGUUGCCAUUAAGCAAAACAAAUAUUCAAUGGGAUGCAUUUGACUCUUUCUGAAAAUUGACUCCUGGACAAAGCAGCAGUGAAUGUUAUUUGCUGUAAUUUUGCUUACAUGGUGAUAGCGCUUAGUCUCAUUUGAUUUUUUUUUUUUAAUUACAAAAGAGAGCAAUAUGUGCAACUUUUGCUCACAGUUCAAAUGUUUUGGUCCUAGUUGACUUGCGAAUGACUAAAGUGGUAAUAUUCUGAACUUGUAAUGAUGGGAUAUUUGCGUAACUUGCUGGACGUCAGGGUUAAAUUGUGGUCGGGAAAACUUAUACAUAUCAGCAGUAUACAAAAGUUUGGCUCAUUUUUAGCAGGGGAAAUAUUGUGAUUCAUGGCCUUUAUCUAGUUUGGGUCAGCUAUGGCAUAUUAUAUGUUCUCUUGUGUCUUAUCUCCUAUAUUGUCCAAUACAUGUAUAUGCUUAUUUCUAAAUUCUUCAUCUAUGUUUCUUCCUACCAUUUGCUACUUCCAUUAAUUUUAGCUAUUAAAUGUAUUUUCAGUGAGGUAAUAUUAACUUUAGGCAGUUCGAGGACGGUGUUGGAAUUUCUUUUUGCUGCAAAGGAGAAAAAAAGAUCAUUCCGGGUAUUUGUCGCAGAGGGUGCUCCAAGGUUUGUGCAAUGACUUGCUAUUUGUUGAUUGCAAAGAAAUAUUUCACUGGCUACUUUGGCUCUGAUGUUCUCUCUCUCUCUCUCUCUCUCACAUUCUCUGUUUGGUUGCUGUUCUGCUACUUCUUGUUUUAUAGGUAUCAGGGGCAUCUGCUUGCAAAAGAAUUGGUAGCAAGAGGUUUACAGACCACACUGAUUACUGAUUCUGCAGUUUUUGCCAUGAUUUCCCGAGUAAACAUGGUAUGUUUGGGCCACUUUUCUCGUUUGGUUUUGGAUUUCCUGAAAUGUUGUAGCUUGAUCUAAAAAUUUGCAAUGUAAAGGUUAUAGUUGGAGCUCAUGCUGUCAUGGCCAAUGGUGGGGUUAUAGCUCCUGUUGGGAUGAAUUUGGUUGCACUUGCAGCUCAGAAGCAUGCUGUCCCUUUUGUUGUACUCGCCGGAAGUCACAAGGUAGUUUGGUGCAAUAAACUGCUUAACUAGAAAAUUAAGUAAAAUUUAGAAAGCCCAUUUUCCUUAACUGCCAUUCCUAAAUUCGUUGGUCUUGUGUAUGAACUGGUGUGGAGUUUAAGAUGGUGCUCAGUUAUUCAUGUGAAGCGAACUUCCCUUUCAGAUAAAACUGAUCACUAAUGUAAGGAGUAGUAUGUGCAAGAUGCAAAUGUGUUUAUGAAUAGUAUGUGGGUGUAAAAGCUCAUAUUCUUUGUACCAAAUAUUAUUGAAUGUUGGUUGAAUUAAUCUCUGUAGCUGCAGUCCUUUUUAAUGCGUCAACAUUUUUGCUGGGUAUUGAAUUGCAUACUGGUUGUAAUAACAUUGUAGUUGGAGAUAAAUCAUUGAACUCUGGUACUUCAGUUCUGGGUAUGAUCUUUUUGACAAAUGUGGUUGGUCUAUAUGACAGUUAUGCCCCCUCUAUCCGCACAAUCCUGAAGUUUUACUGAAUGAGUUGAGAUCCCCAUCAGAGCUGCUGGACUUUGGAGAAUUCUCAGACUGCAUGGAUUUUGGGAGUGGCAGUGGUUCCCCUCUUCUUCAUGUGGUCAAUCCAGCAUUUGACUAUGUUCCACCGAAACUUGUUAGUCUUUUUAUUACUGACACGUAAGUUUAACCGCCCUUUUAGCAUGAGACAGAGACAAUCUACACCUUAUGUGCAAUUUUUAUGCAGUAUAUAUAUAUAUAUAUAUAUAUUAAGAUUACUUAUUUGAUUUCAUUGUAGAGUACCAGUUUUCUGGCCCCUUUAUUUUCCAUUGGUGUUCCAGUUCUAUCUCAAUAUAUUUCAUUUUUUUGCCUCUGCUAUUGCUGUGUUGUUCUGCUAAUUUCUUUUCUUCUUCACAGGGGAGGGCACAAUCCUUCAUACAUGUAUCGGUUGAUUGCUGAUUAUUACUCGGCUGAUGACUUGGUUGUGCAGCGAAGAGCUACUGCUGGGAAUUGAUUUUGGUUUGUAUCAUAUAUUGUGUAAGUAGUCUUUUUGUGCCAAUGCUCUGGUGGAAAAUUGUUGAUUUUAACAAAAAGGAUAAUCUUUUUAAAUUGACAUAACAAUUGGUACUCUUUCUGAUUGUUAUGAUUCCAAUAAACUUAAUUGAUAUUGCAAACUGCUUCAUCAUGGGAUAUAAAAUAAUUAAAAGAUGACAAUGAGUGAAUGCUGUAACUUGGUGUAUCAUUUUGAGCUUUGACUUUAUCUAAUCUUUGCCCUAUUUUAAGGUCAAGAAUUUAUUACGGCAAGAGCAUUAGCUUUGGGUUUGAGAAAUUUCAAAUCACUGAAUUUGGAGCUGAGCUGAUGCUGUAAAAGAACUCAGGGACAUAGCGAUUGCGAGGCAAUGGUGUGAACUUGUGCAAAUUUUAGGGACGCAAACAAUGAUAGGAUAAUUUUUGUUGGCAGAAAUAUUAAAAUGUAAAAUAGAGGCUAAGAGUUGUACUGAGAUAAAAAGGUGGAUACGGUUAGAUAAUAUUUUUUGAUUGUAUCAAGGUUGGUGGUCAAGUGCUGUAUUCUUCUUCAUCAGUGAUUUUCAGACGGACGGUAUAACAUUGUUGUAUUGCUUGUUGCUUAAAAUUUUCAUAGCAGAAUGUAGCUGUUGAGAUGUUUCCUAGAAUAAUUUUCUCGUCUUUGCAUGAAUAACAUUGGAGAAUAAUUAUCUGUUUAACUCUGUGUUUUCUUUCGUUCCUCGACGGUUGAGACAUGUUACUUUUGAGUAAUGAUAUAAGCCCAAAGGUCGACAUAAAUGAGUGCCAUGUGGAUGCCUCCAAGAAAGAAACAGGGCGUCCAAACGGCAUCACGAGAGUGACAUAACGUUUCUGUCGGGUUCAAUAUAUCAUUACAUGUUACGUUUUGGAACAUAAACCAAGGAUUUGAAAUGCAUUAUUUUACAUUAAUCCCCCUGACAUAAUAGGGCGAACCCUUUAAGCCAUUUUUCAAAUGUCGCAUUUGAGAAGGGUCGAGUGUUAAAAAGGGAGUAACAAGAGCUACGAGACUAGUCUCUUGACUCGCAUUACGAGACUAGUCUCUUGACUCGCAUUACAAGAGGCUACAUAAAACUUCGAAUAUUAAAAUUAAGGCGCACAUAAUGCAACUUAGAUAAUGAGAAAUCAGCAGUAACUUUGCAAACAGUGGAAAAUGUUACAUAAAAAUGAGAAUACAGUUUUCAUUGAUGGUCUACAUCAAACCAGAAAUACAGAUAAGUCCUGGCAUAUAUAACUCGAACUCGCUGCAGCAGUAGAUCUCCACUAGUCAAAACAGCCUUGGCACCUCCUUCAAUUCGAGUAUGCAAAACAGUAACACUAUCACCAUUACUCUUCAUUGGAGUAGAUGUAAUACAGCUACGAGCUGUACUCACGAUUGGGCAUGAGAGGAAGUCCAGUGGAUUCGUCUCACACUGAAGUACACACCCAUCUAUAGUUAACCUUCCACUCCGAUGGAGCAAGCAGCAGCCAAGCUCUGCUU
rnacentral:lncRNA from 1 species